GAACAGCAAGUGCACCUAAUUUUUUUGGUAUUUCGUGUUCCAUAUCCAUAACUAAUUAUAAAGAACAACUAAGAACAGCAAAUAAAAAUUACUUAGUGAUAAAGCAAACAAGCACACACGAGAAUAUUCACCCCACGCUAUGACUCCCCGGCAACGGCGCCAGAAAAAGGUCUUGAUAACCCACAAGUGUAGGGGAUCGCAAAAGUUCUCGAUAAGUAAGAAUGUCGAACCCAACGAGGAGCUAAAGGUAGAAUAAAUAUUCCCUCAAGUUCUAUCGACCACCGAUACAACUCUACGCACGCUUGACGUUCGCUUUACCUAGAACAAGUAUGAAAUUAGAAGUACUUUGUAGGUGUGAUAGGAUAGGUUUGCAAGAUAAUAAAGAGUACGUAAAUAAAAACUAGGGGCUGUUUAGAUAAAGAUGCAAUAAAUUAAAUAUUAGUAGAGAGCUUUUUGUCACGAGAAAGUUAUUUGUCCCUAGGCAAUCGAUAUCUAGACAGGUAAUCACUAUUGCAAUUUUAUUUGAGGGAGAGGCAUAAGCUAACAUACUUUCUCUUGUUGGAUCAUAUGCACUUAUGAUUGGAAAUCUAGCAAGCAUCCGCGACUACUAAAGAUUCAUUAAGGUAAAACCCAACCAUAGCAUUAAAGUAUGAAGUCCCCUUUAUCCCAUACGCAAACAACCUACUUACUCGGGUCUAUGCUUCUGUUCACUCACGCCACCCACCAUAAGCAAAUCAUAAACAUAUUGCAAACCCUACAACGGGGAUCCCUCAUGCUUGCGCGAUAGGGAGAGCACCAUAGGACAGCACCAAUAAUAAAACAUGCAACUCAAACCAAUCACAGUCAUCAAUUAACCCAUAGGACAAAACGGAUCUACUCAAACAUCAUAAGAUAGCCAUACAUCACUGGGAAAUAAUAUAUAGCGUUGAGCACCAUGUUUAAGUAGAGAUUACAGCGGGUAAGAGAGGGGUUACACUGCUGCAUAGAGGGGGAAGAGUUGGUGAUGAAGGCGGUGAAGUUGUUGGUGAAGAUCGCGGUGAUGAUGAUGGCCCCCGGCGGCGUUCCGGCGCCACCGGAAGCAAGGGGGAGAGGGCCCCCCCUUCUUCUUCUUCUUCUUCCUUGACCUUCUCCCUAGAUGGGAGAAGGGUUUCCCCUCUGGUCCUUCGCUCCCAUGGCGUGGGAGGGGUGAGAGCCCGUCCGAGAUUGGAUCUGUCUCCCUGUCUCUCUCUGUUUCUGCGUUCUCAGAUUCUGCCCCUUUGCCGUUUCUUUUAUAUCCGGAGAUCCGUAACUCCGAUUGGGGCGAAUCUUUCGCCCAGAUUUUUCUCAUAAAAUUAGCUUUCUUGCGGCAAAAGAAGAGCAUCAACCGCCUUACGCGGUGGCCUAGGAGAGUGCGAGGCAUUCCCAGGGGGGAGGGCGCGCCCCUAUCUCCUGGCCAUCUCGGGCACCGUUUCACGUUGAUUCUUCCUCCGUAAAAUCCCAAAUAUUCCAAAAUAAUUCUCCGUCCGUUUUUAUCCCAUUUGGAUUCCAUUUGAUAUUGGGUUUCUGUGAAUCAUAAAACAUGCAACAAACAUGAACUGGCACUGGGCACUGGAUCAAUAUGUUAGUCCCAAAAAUAGUAUAAAAAGUUGCCAAAAGUAUAUGAAAGUUGAAUAAUAUUGGCAUGGAACAAUCAAAAAUUAUAGAUACAAUGGAGACGUAUCACUCACCAGAGGGGACACGCGUUGUCUUGCAAUUUCACUGACAUGUGGGACUGCAAUUGAAUAAACCGCCGAUAGCCGAAAUCUAAUCGCUCGACGGGCGUCGGCUGAGAAGAGAGAGAGACGGGGGAGGGAGAGGAGAUUGCCCGCCCGCCACGCAUGGACUCCAAGAAAUAUAUGGUGAUAAUGUGAGGUGGGCCAUGCAGGAGUCCGGGCCGCUCCCAAGCCCGCUUCUGACCGCCCUGGCCCCUUAGACGCCAGCUGCCUGCCGCAUGCAUGCAUAGCAAGUAGUACGAGUAAAAUACUGGGUUAUAAGCCCGCUUAUGUGGAGGAGAGAGAGGCAUUGACAAAGUCAACGAGUGGGCUCUGCAAGAGCCCGUGUCCACACAUGCUCCUAGGUAUACAAAAAAUAAUUCUAAAAAAAGAGGCAUAAGAAAACAAUUGUGUCUAAAAAAAGAAAGGAAAAAAACAUUUGAGAGGAAAUAGAUAGAGAGAAAGUGAGAAAAAGUUGUAACCUUAUAGCCAACCUUAUAGUCAACAGUAUGGUAGUAUUACAUGAGGAAGGAGGGAGUGGUGCACAUGCCAAGUUCACUGGGCUGCCGUGUUUCACACUCCUCCAUCGUAACAGUGGAGACAAUAGCUUUCAUCAAAAGUAAACAAUGAAUACUCGUUGCAGGCCCAACCUUUCCCAUUGUAAGUUGGUCGGACGAAGGAACCAUGAUGACUUCAUUGAAUUCCGCUUCUUCAAGAAAACUUACUAUACCCGCAAUACUGCUACCACACGCGAAGACUGGACGACACUGUACCACGUCAUAUCACUGAAACCCACUAGGCCAUCCUAAAAAAAGCUACUAGGCCAAAGUAGCCCACCUAUAGGUCAUCUAUUUUGGAACAGAGGGAGUACGUCUCUGUACUGCUAUGAUUUUGUGUUGUACGUCUUUGUACUUUUGCUACAAUUUUCCUACCCUACGAACCAAAUGAGGCCUGAAUGUAUCCGUGUCGACUAAGCCUACAAUUUUAGGAGCUUGGGCUAUUGACCGAUCGACGAUGGAUAAGUAUAAGCAUACCACGAGCUCAUCAGCCCCAACGUUUCUCUUUAGUGAUUGUUUUGCAAGUACUAUAGCUCGCACAGUAGCUAGCCUACUAACACCAAGAAUCAUCAAACAAGCCCUGCUGAUAUGAUAAAUAGUUCAAACUUACAUCUAAGCAUGCCAUAUAUUACAUCAAAAGCUGGUGAGGAUACAUCUGUUUCCAUAACUCGGAGAGGGUCACAUCAUUCACUAUCAAACAAAAGUAGCAAGUACCGCCGACACAAGACAGUGCAUUAGCCCUAAGAUGGUUUGAUAACACACAUCGUUCUGGUGAUUAAACAUAGGGCAAUGCAAACUACCCUAAAGGAUUAGCGCGACCAACUAUUUCUUGUCAGCGAUCUCUCGGGCAAUGACCACAGCACGGACAGUGGCAUGGGAAUCGAUCUUUGGGGCGAUGUCCACAGGACUGACCGCGACAUCGGAAUCGAUCUCAGGGGCGAUGUCCAAAGGAUGGACAGCGGCAUCGGAAUCGAUCUCCAGGGUGAUGCCAACAGGAUGGACCGCGACAUCGAAACGAUCUCUGGGGCGUUGUCCACAGGACGGACCGCGGCAUCGGAAUCAUCAAGGACGUCCACCGGCACCUUCACAACCCUAACAUAUUAGCAAGCACAUUGCAAAUAAUCAAAAACCACAACUAUGGUAAUAAGCCAUUAUUUUUUACCUUGUGCAGCUCACCGGGGGAUCCCAUCCCUCCGGGGUGUUGGGGAACGUUGCAUAAAAUAAAAAAAUUCCUACAUUCACCAAGAUCAAUCUAUGAGUUCAUCUAGCAACGAGAGAGGGGAGUGCAUCUACAUACCCUUGUAGAUCGUGAGCGGAAGCGUUCAAGAGAACGGGGUUGAGGGAGUCGUACUCGUCGUGAUCCAAAUCACCGGAGAUCCUAGCGCCGAACAGACGGCACCUCCGCGUUCAACACACGCACGGUCAGCGUGACGUCUCCUCCUUCUUGAUCCAGCAAGGGGGAAGGAGAGGUUGAUGAAGAUCCAGCAGCAGCACGACGGCGUGGUGGUGGAUGCAGCAGAGUUCCGGCAGGGCUUCGCCAAGCGACUACGGGAGGAGAAGGUGUAGCAAGGGGGAGAGGGAGGCGCCAAGACUUCAGGGUGCGGCUGCCCUCUCCCCCCUUUAUAUAGGCCCCCUGGGGGGGCGGCCCUGGAGAUGAGAUCUCCCAAGGGGGGCAGCGGCCAGGGGGGUGGAGUGCCCCCCAAGGCAAGUGGAGGCGCCCCCCCACCCUAGGGUUUCCAACCCUAGGCGCAGGGGGCCCCAAGGGGGGUGCACCAGCCCACCAGGGGCUGGUCCCCUCCCUACUUCAGCCCACGGGGCCCUCCGGGAUAGGUGGCCCCACCCGUGGACCCCCGGUACCCUUCCGGUGGUCCCGGUACAAUACCGGUGACCCCCAAAACUCUCGCGAUGGCCGAAACUGCACUUCCUAUAUAUAAUUCUUUACCUCCGGACCAUUCCGGAACUCCUCGUGAUGUCCGGGAUCUCAUUCGGGACUCUGAACAACUUUCGGUUUGCUGCAUACUAAUAUCUUUACAACCCUAGCGUCACUGAACCUUAAGUGUGUAGACCCUACGGGUUCGGGAGACACGCAGACAUGACCGAGACUUCUCUCCGGUCAAUAACCAACAGCGGGAUCUGGAUACCCAUGUUGACUCCCACAUGCUCCUCGAUGAUCUCAUCGGAUGAACCACGAUGUCGAGGAUUCAAGCAACCCCGUAUACAAUUCCCUUUGUCAAUCGGUACGUUACUUGCCCGAGAUUCGAUCGCCGGUAUCCCAAUACCUCGUUCAAUCUCGUUACCGGCAAGUCACUUUACUCGUAUCGUAAUGCAUGAUCCCGUGACCAGACACUUGAUCACUUUGAGCUCAUUAUGAUGAUGCAUUACCGAGUGGGCCCAGAGAUACCUCUCCGUCAUAUGGAGUGACAAAUCCCAGUCUCGAUCCGUGUCAACCCAACAGACACUUUUGGAGAUACCUGUAAUGCACCUUUAUAGUCACCCAGUUACGUUGUGACGUUUGGUACACCCAAAGCACUCCUACGGUAUCCGGGAGUUACACAAUCUCAUGGUCUAAGGAAAAGAUACUUGACAUUGGAAAAGCUCUAGCAAAACGAACUACACGAUCUUGUGCUAUGCUUAGGAUUGGGUCUUGUCCAUCACAUCAUUCUCCUAAUGAUGUGAUCCCGUUAUCAAUGACAUCUAAUGUCCAUAGUCAGGAAACCAUGACUAUCUGUUGAUUAACGAGCUAGUCAACUAGAGGCUCACUAGGGACAUAUUGUGGUCUAUGUAUUCACACGUGUAUUAUGAUUUCCGGAUAAUACAAUUAUAGCAUGAAUAAAAGACAAUUAUCAUGAACAAGGAAAUAUAAUAAUAAUCCUUUUAUUAUUGCCUCUACGGCAUAUUUCCAACAGUCUGCCACUUGCACUAGAGUCAAUAAUCUAGUUACAUUGUGAUGAAUCGAACACCCAUAGAGUUCUGGAGUUGAUCAUGUUUUGCUCGUGGAAGAGGUUUAGUCAACGGAUCUGUGACAUUCAGAUCCGUAUGUACUUUGCAAAUAUCUAUGUCUCCAUCUUGAACAUUUUCACAAAUGGAGUUGAAACGACGCUUAAUGUGCCUAGUCUUCUUGUGAAACCUGGGCUCCUUGGCAAGGGCAAUAGCUCCAGUGUUGUCACAGAAGAGAGUGAUUGGCCCCGACGCAUUGGGUAUGACUCCUAGGUCGGUGAUGAACUCCUUCAUCCAUAUUGCUUCAUGUGCUGCCUCCGAGGCUGCCAUGUACUCCGCUUCACAUGUAGAUCCCGCCACGACGCUCUGCUUGCAACUGCACCAGCUUACUGCUCCACAAUUCAACAUAUACACGUAUCCGGUUUGUGACUUAGAGUCAUCCAGAUCUGUGUCGAAGCUAGCGUUGACGUAACCCUUUAUGACGAGCUCUUUGUCACCUCCAUAAACGAGAAACAUGUCCUUUGUCCUUUUCAGGUACUUCAGGAUAUUCUUGACCGCUGUCCAGUGUUCCUUGCCAGGAUUACUUUGGUACCGUCCUACCAAAACUAUGGCAAGGUUUACAUCAGGUCUGGUACACAUCAUGGCAUACAUAAUAGAUCCUAUGGCUGAGGCAUAGGGGAUGACACUCAUCUCUUCUUUAUCUUUUGCCGUGGUCGGGCAUUGAGCCGAGCUCAAUCUCACAUCUUGCAAUACAGGCAAGAAACCUUUCUUGGACUGAUCCAUUUUGAACUUCUUCAAUAUCUUAUCAAGGUAUGUGCUUUGUGAAAGACCUAUGAGGCGUCUCGAUCUAUCCCUAUAGAUCUUGAUGCCUAAUAUGUAAGCAGCUUCUCCAAGGUCCUUCAUUGAAAAACAUUUAUUCAAGUAGGCCUUAGUGCUGUCCAAAAGUUCUAUAUCAUUUCCCAUCAAAAGUAUGUCAUCUACAUAUAAUAUGAGAAAUGCUACAGAGCUCCCACUCACUUUCUUGUAAACGCAGGCUUCUCCAUAAGUCUGCAUAAACCCAAACGCUUUGAUCAUCUCAUCAAAGCGAAUGUUCCAACUCCGAGAUGCUUGCACCAGCCCAUAAAUGGAUCGCUGGAGCUUGCAUACCUUGUUAGCAUUCUUAGGAUCAACAAAACCCUCUGGCUGCAUCAUAUACAGUUCUUCCUUAAGAUAGUCGUUAAGGAAUGCCGUUUUGACGUCCAUCUGCCAUAUCUCAUAAUCAUAGUAUGCGGCAAUUGCUAACAUGAUUCAGACGGACUUCAGCUUCACUACGGGAGAGAAAGUCUCAUCGUAGUCAACCCCUUGAACUUGCCGAUAACCCUUAGCGACAAUCGAGCUUUAUAGAUGGUAAUAUUACCAUCCGCGUCCGUCUUCUUCUUAAAGAUCCAUUUGUUUUCUAUCGCUCGCCAAUCAUCGGGCAAGUCUGUCAAAGUCCAUACUUUGUUUUCAUACAUGGAUUCUAUCUCGGAUUGCAUGGCUUCAAGCCAUUUGUUGGAAUCUGGGCCCGCCAUCGCUUCUUCAUAGUUCGAAGGUUCACCGUUGUCUAACAACAUGAUUUCCAGGACAGGGUUGCCAUACCACUCUGGUGUGGAACGUGUCCUUAUGGACCUACGAAGUUCAAUAGCAACUUGAUCCGAAGUACCUUGAUCACAAUCAUUAAUUUCCUCUCCGGUUGGUGUAGGCACCAUAGGAACAUUUUCCUGAGCUGCACUACUUUCCGGUUCAAGAGGUAGUACUUCAUCGAGUUCUACUUUCCUCCCACUUACUCCUUUCGAGAGAAACUCUUUUUCCAAAAAGGGUCCGUUCUUGGAAACAAUGAUCUUGCCUUCGGAUCUAAGGUAGAAGGUAUACCCAAUGGUUUCCUUAGGGUAUCCUAUGAAGACGCAUUUUUCCGACUUGGGUUCGAGCUUUUCAGGUUGAAGUUUCUUGACAUAAGCAUCGCAUCCCCAGACUUUUAGAAACGACAGCUUAGGUUUCUUCCCAAACUAUAAUUUAUACGGUGUCGUCUCAACGGAUUUAGACGGAGCCCUAUUUAAAGUGAAUGUAGCUGUCUCUAGAGCGUAUCCCCAAAAUGAUAGCGGUAAAUCGGUAAGAGACAUCAUAGAUCGCACCAUAUCCAAUAGAGUGCGAUUACGACGUUCGGACACACCAUUACGCUGAGGUGUUCCAGGCGGCGCGAGUUGUGAAACGAUUCCACAUUUUAUUAAGUGUGUACUAAAUUCGUGACUUAAAUAUUCUGCUCCACGAUCUGAUCGUAAGAAUUUUAUCUUUCGGUCACGUUGAUUCUCUACCUCAUUAUGAAAUUCCUUGAACUUUUCAAAGGUCUCAGACUUGUGUUUCAUCAAGUAGACAUACCCAUAUCUACUCAAGUCAUCAGUGAGAGUGAGAACAUAAUGAUAUCCUCCGCGAGCCUCAACGCUCAUUGGACCGCACACAUCGGUAUGUAUGAUUUCCAAUAAGUUGGUUGCUCGCUCCAUUGUUUCGGAGAACGGAGUCUUGGUCAUUUUGCCCAUGAGGCAUGGUUCGCAUGUGUCAAAUGAUUCAUAAUCGAGAGACUCUAAAAGUCCAUCAACAUGGAGCUUCUUCAUGCGCUUGACACCAAUGUGACCAAGGCGGAAGUGCCACAAGUAUGUGGGACUAUCGUUAUCAACUUUACAUCUUUUGGUAUUCACACUAUGAAUAUGUGUAACAUUACGUUUGAGAUUCAUUAAGAAUAAACCAUUGACCAUAUGGGCAUGACCAUAAAACAUAUCUCUCAUAUAAAUAGAACAACCAUUAUUCUCGGAUUUAAAUGAGUAGCCAUCUCAUAUUAAACGAGAUCCAGAUACAAUGUUCAUGCUCAAACUUGGCACUAAAUAACAAUUAUUGAGGUUUAAAACUAAUCCCGUAGGUAAAUGUAGAGGUAGCAUGCCGAGGGCGAUCACAUCGACCUUGGAACCAUUCCUGACGCGCAUCGUCACCUCGUCCUUCGCCAGUCUCCGCUUAUUCCGCAACUCCUGCUGUGAGUUACAAAUAUGAGCAACGGCACCGGUAUCAAAUACCCAGGAGUUACUACGAGUACUGGUAAGGUACACAUCAAUUACAUGUAUAUCAAAUAUACCUUUAGUAUUGCCGGCCUUCUUGUCCGCUAAGUAUUUGGGGCAGUUCCGCUUCCAGUGACCCUUCCCUUUGCAAUAAAAGCACUCAGUCUUAGGCUUGGGUCCAUUCUUUGACUUCUUCCCGAAAACUGGCUUACCGGGUGCGGCAACAUCCUUGCCGUCCUUCUUGAAGUUCUUCUUACCCUUGCCCUUCUUGAACUUAGUGGUUUUAUUGACCAUCAACACUUGAUGUUCUUUCUUGAUUUCUACCUCUGCUGACUUCAGAAUUGAAAAUACUUCAGGAAUAGUUUUCACCAUCCCCUGUAUAUUGUAGUUCAUCACAAAGCUCUUGUAGCUCGGUGGGAGCGACUGAAGGAUUCUGUCAAUGACCGCCUUGUCCGGGAGGUUAAUGUCUAGCUGGGACAGGCGGUUGUGCAACCCAGACAUUUUGAGUAUGUGCUCACUGACAGAACUAUUUUCCUCCAUCUUACAACUAUAGAACUUGUCGUAGACUUCAUAUCUCUCGACCCGGGCAUGAGCUUGGAAAACCAUUUUCAGCUCCUCGAACAUCUCAUAUGCUCCGUGUUGCUCAAAACGCUUUUGGAGCCCCGGUUCUAAGCUGUAAAGCAUGCCGCACUGAACGAGGGAGUAAUCAUCAGCACGGGACUGCCAAGCGUUCAUAACGUCUUGGUUCUCUGGGAUGGGUGCUUCACCUAGCGGUCCUUCUAGGACAUAUGCUUUCUUGGCAGCUAUGAGGAUGAUCCUCAGGUUCCGGACCCAGUCCGUAUAGUUGCUGCCAUCAUCUUUCAGCUUGGUUUUCUCUAGGAACGCGUUGAAGUUCAUGUUGACAUGAGCGUUGGCCAUUUGAUCUACACAACAUAUUUUGCAAAGAUUUUAGACUAAGUUCAUGAUAAUUAAGUUCAUCUAAUCAAAUUAUUUAAUGAACUCCCACUCAGAUUAGACAUCCCUCUAGUCAUCUAAGUGUUACACGAUCCGAGUCGACUAGGCCAUGUCCGAUCAUCAUGUGAGACGGACUAGUCAUCAUCGGUGAACAUCUCCAUGUUGAUCGUAUCUUCCAUACGACUCAUGUUCGACCUUUCGGUCUCUGUGUUCCGAGGCCAUGUAUGUACAUGCUAGGCUCGUCAAGUUAACCUAAGUGUUUUGCAUGUGUAAAACUGUCUUACACCCGUUGUAUGUGAACGUAGGAAUCUAUCACACCCGAUCAUCACGUGGUGCUUCGAAACGACGAACUUUAGCAACGGCGCACAGUUAGGGAGAACACUUUCUUGAAAUUGUUAUAAGGGAUCAUCUUAUUUACUACCGUCGUUCUAAGUAAACAAGAUGCAUAAACAUAAUAAACAUCACAUGCAAUUAUAUAGUAGUGACAUGAUAUGGCCAAUAUCAUAUAGCUCCUUUGAUCUCCAUCUUCGGGGCUCCAUGAUCAUCUUCGUCACCGGCAUGACACCAUGAUCUCCAUCAUCAUGAUCUCCAUCAUCGUGUCUCCAUGAAGUUGCUCGCCAACUAUUACUUCUACUACUAAGGCUAACGGUUUAGCAAUAAAGUAAAGUAAUUACAUGGCGUUAAAUCAUUGACACGCAGGUCAUACAAUAAUUAAGACAACUCCUAUGGCUCCUACCGGUUUUCAUACUCAUCGACAUGCAAGUCGUGAUUCCUAUUACAAGAACAUGAUCUCAUACACCACAAUAUAUCAUUCAUCAUUCAUCACAACUUUUGGCCAUAUCACAUCACAAAGCAAUUGCUGCAAAAACAAGUUAGACGUCCUCUAAUUGUUGUUGCAUCUUUUACGUGGCUGCAAUAGGGUUCUAGCAAGAACGUUUUCUUACCUACGAAAAAGCCACGACGUGAUUUGUCAACUUCUAUUUACCCUUCAUAAGGACCCUUUUCAUCAAAUCCGCUCCAACUAAAGUGGGAGAGACAGACACCCGCUAGCCACCUUAUGCAACUAGUGCAUGUCAGUCGGUGGAACCUGUCUCACGUAAGCGUACGUGUAAGGUCGGUCCGGGCCGCUUCAUCCCACAAUACCGCUGAAGCAAAAUAAGACUAGUAGCGGCAAGAAAGUUGACAACAUCUACGCCCACAACAAAUUGUGGUCUACUCGUGCAAUAGAGAACUACGCAUAGACCUAGCUCAUGAUGCCACUGUUGGGGAAGGUUGCAUAAAAUAAAAAAAAAUCCUACGUUCACCAAGAUCAAUCUAUGAGUUCAUAUAGCAACGAGAGAGGGGAGUGCAUCUACAUACCCUUGUAGAUCGCGAGCGGAAGCGUUCAAGAGAACGGGGUUGAGGGAGUCGUACUCGUCGUGAUCCAAAUCACCGGAGAUCCUAGCCCUGAACGGACGGCACCUCUGCGUUCAACACACGUACAGUCAGCGUGACGUCUCCUCCUUCUUGAUCCAGCAAGGGGGAAGGGGAGGUUGAUGAAGAUCCAGCAGCAGCAUGACGGCGUGGUGGUGGAUGUAACAGAGUUCCGGCAGGGCUUCGCCAAGCGACUACGAGAGGAGGAGGUGUAGCAAGGGGGAGAGGGAGGCGCCAAGACUUCAGGGUGCGGCUCCCCUCUCCCCCCCUUUAUAUAGGCCCCCUGGGGGGGUGGCCCUGGAGAUGAGAUCUCCCAAGGGGGGCGGCGGCCAGGGGGGUGGAGUGCCCACAAGGCAAGUGGAGGCGCCCCCGCACCCUAGGGUUUCCAACCCUAGGCGUAGGGGGGGGCCAAGGGGGGGCACACCAGCCCACCAGGGGCUGGUCCCCUCCCUACUGCAGCCCACGGGGCCCUCCGGGAUAGGUGGCCCCACCCGGUGGACCCCCGGUACCCUUCCGGUGGUCUCGGUACAAUACCGGUGACCCCCGAAACUCUCCCGAUGGCCGAAAAUGCACUUCCUAUAUAUAAUUAUUUACCUCUUGACCAUUCCGGAACUCCUCGUGAUGUCCGGGAUCUCAUUCGGGACUCCGAACAACUUUCGGUUUGCUGCAUACUAAUAUCUUUACAACCCUAGCGUCACCGAACCUUAAGUGUGUAGACCCUACGGGUUCGGGAGACAGGCAGACAUGACCGAGACUUCUCUCCGGUCAAUAACCAACAGCGGGAUCUGGAUACCCAUGUUGUCUCCCACAUGCUCAUCGAUGAUCUCAUCGGAUGAACCACGAUGUCGAGGAUUCAAGCAACCCCGUAUACAAUUCCCUUUGUCAAUCGGUACGUUACUUGCCCGAGAUUCGAUCGUCGGUAUCCCAAUACCUCGUUCAAUCUCGUUACCGGCAAGUCACUUUACUCGUACCAUAAUGCAUGAUCCCGUGACCAGACACUUGGUCACUUUGAGCUCAUUAUGAUGAUGCAUUACCGAGUGGGCCCAGAGAUACCUCUUCGUCAUACGGAGUGACAAAUCCCAGUCUCGAUCCGUGUCAACCCAACAGACACUUUCAGAGAUACCUGUAAUGCACCUUUAUAGUCACCCAGUUACGUUGUGACGUUUGGUACACCCAAAGCACUCCUACGGUAUCCGGGAGUUACACGAUCUCAUGGUCUAAGGAAAAGAUACUUGACAUUGGAAAAGCUCUAGCAAAACGAACUACACGAUCUUGUGCUAUGCUUAGGAUUGGGUCUUGUCCAUCACAUCAUUCUCCUAAUGAUGUGAUCCCGUUAUCAAUGACAUCUAAUGUCCAUAGUCAGGAAACCAUGACUAUCUGUUGAUCAACGAGCUAGUCAACUAGAGGCUCACUAGGGACAUAUUGUGGUCUAUGUAUUCACACGUGUAUUACGAUUUCCAGAUAAUACAAUUAUAGCAUGAAUAAAAGACAAUUAUCAUGAACAAGGAAAUAUAAUAAUAAUCCUUUUAUUAUUGCCUCUAGGGCAUAUUUCCAACACGGGGCCAUACCCUCGUCCUCGAUGGGGGCCAUCACCUUGCCAGGGAAAACUGCUUCUCAACGGCGACUAUCUCCUCAAACUCGGCCUUGAGCCUCGCAUAGGUGGCCAUCAAACGGUGGGGCCCUUGCUUUUCUUCCAACUUUCUUUGCGGAGUUCGUCCGCCAACGUCGUCAACUCUUUGGCCAGUGCUUGUUUCUUGGAGUUCUUCGUCUCCAUGGGUUGGCCCGCCAACAUGGUCAACUCGUUGGUCGGUGCUCGCUUCCUGGAGAUCGCUAUCUCCAGUGGGUUGUCCACCGGCAACUCUUUGCCUAGUGCUCCAGGAUCUAUCAAUGAACUGACAAACAAAAAGCAAUCGAAAGGAAACCACAAUCGCAAUAAAACAGGAAAAGAAUAGGCUGUGAGAAUCGGUUGGUGCUUCGCAAAAAGAAUAUUCUUGGAAUGAAAAUAUAGCAGCAUCACUGAUUCGCCCACCUUUCCUUUGUCCGUAUAGAAGAAAAAUGGCAUAAGUGAGUAGCCUGGAGUGAGGUUUUCUUCAAGAAAGGGGAGAAGGGGCUUCAACGAGCGUUCUAGUGAAAUGAUGGUUGCUUCAUCCAGUCCAACUUCGAGGCCACUUUACCACUGCUGCUAAAGGUGUGGGUUUUGUGAUAUGACGGGUCAUGACGGCCACACUGGGGUGACUGGUGAGUCUCGACUGUAGCACCUCGCUGUGAUUUCGUGGAUGGCAGGCGGGCCCGGAUGCUUUGAUGUCCCGCAUGUAGAUAGAGCAGCUAGUCAUAUGGGAGUGCUCAAUAUUGUGCACCGCGACGAAGGCGCGGAGGAAAAUGAGAGAACUAUGUAAUUAAUGCAUGAGUUUAAUUAGGGUAGUUUUGUAAAGUAUACGAGAUACAUUCUUCCAAUCGCAAAAUUCCUUGGUUGAUGAGAUUUGAGAUUUGAGCCCUAUAAACCGGAAGGGAGGGAGUACUGCACACGGUGUAUUCUAGUCACUUGUUGAAAUCUCUAGAAAGGCAAAUACUCCUUUCCGGUUUAUAGGACUAUACUAGCAAGUACUAGUACUACAAUAGUGGGCUCAAAUAGCAAUUUUGUCUCAUGCAAGAGCCUGGCUAUAUGUGUGCUCCAAGGCACCGCACCACGCCCCACCCCUACACAAAGACUGCCACGCGAGGGUUCGCAACUGCCACGUUCCGGUUGCGCUUGGCUCUUCGCCUCUUCGAGAAGACGAACAAUGAUGUUACUCCUACUUCUAUAGUAUCGAAUUGACUGCUGCAUGUCCAUCCACCUCGUGCGAGGGGAAUAGCAUGCAGCAAAAGCUUCUACUAGUCCUGCCAUCCACCACACUCAUGCGCGAGGGAGGGACGCAGCUUCAUUGACUUACUGAUCCUGCCUUUGCGUCUAUGACAGGUGGGCCCAACAGGUGGUUGGCCCACCUGUCAUGUAGCCAAAGGCAGGUGCAGUUAAGGCACCGAAGCUCAGUCCGCGAGGGAGAGGGCGUUGUAGUAAUCAAACUUCUCGGUCGUGUACGAGUUGAUGAGACACAUCAAAGCACUGCACUCGAUAUAAGUCUUUUUACACAUUUCAAAUGGACUACCACAUACAGAUGUAUGUAGACAUAUUUUGCUUCGUAUGUACUCCCUCCGUUCCUAAAUAUAAGUCUUUCUAGAGAUUUCACUAAGGACUACAUACGGAACAAAAUGAGCGAACCUACACUCUAAAGUGCAUCUACAUACAUCCAUAUGUAGUUCCCAUUGAAAUCUCUAGAAAGACUUACAUUUAGGAACGGAGGGAGUAGUCACUUGUUGCAAUAUCUAAAAAGACUUAUAUUUGGAAACGGAGGGAGUAGAACGCAUGCAUGCAUGUCGUGACUUUCCUUUUGAUACUUGCAUGUGUUGAUUUGAUGCACCUUGCCAAAUUUGACUAUAAAUUUAACUAACCAAAUUUUCAUGCAUGUCACAAAAAAUUACGGGGCUGUUUGGAUUGUGACUAUGUUUGUCUUAUGUUGCCACAUUAUUUUUCCCACACUUGCCACACUUGCCUAAGUUGAGUUGCUCAAAUUGUUAGACACACUUUGGCUUGCCUAAGGAAAUCUUGCCACACUUUUUGUGUUUAUGACAUGUGGGGUUCACUGCUAAUAAAAAAAUUCUUGUCUUUGGUGUGGCUAAUAAAAAAGACAUAUAUUUAGGAAUGGAGGGAGUAGAAAAUGUAAAUAAUAAUGCAUGUUGGGGCAACCCACGUUUCCGAUAAUUUUAGCCGUGGGUUUGUUCAACAUUUUUACGAGGGGGUGGUUGUUCAUUUAAUGGAGGGACCUGUACCUUACUUGAAUGAUACAAAGCGCGACCUGGCACACCGUAACAUCACUUGGAACAAGCGGGUAGCUAUCUCAAAAAACAAUCAACAACUAAAAAAUGGCGACCUAGCACGUAGUACACAAUUUUAAACGAUUGUUUUGAUGGAGUGAAAAAGGAAAACUACCCUACUAUGUAUAUAUAGGCCGGAGCCUCCGCGCUUCCUUGCUAGGGCUGCUCUAUUCACACACUCUCAUCCUCUCUAGAUCUAAACAAGAUAGGGGUGGUAACACUGUCUUUCUCCCUUCAAAAAACAUUGUCUUUCUAUCAUCACUGCUGGUUACAGAUCCGGACGUAUCCCCCUCCGCCGGUGAAGGGGAGGAGGGGCAGCGUUUAGGCCGUCGUCGACAGCGAGGGAGGAGACCCACUGCCGGCCGCACCGUUAUCUCUGGCCGAGCGCCGGCGCGGGAGGUCCUCUGAUCCCUUCAUCGUUGCCCUAGUGUGGGAGGAUCCGGCCUCCCGCCGCCCACCUAUCCACAUCCCUACGACCUUCAGGUAUAUCUUCCUUCGAAACCGCCUUAGCUCUACUUCCCCAGCUCGCUACGUCGCUGCAUGUGCAUCAUUUUCUACCUCUCAGCCCCUCUCGAUCGGAUGGUCCAACGUCACCUAUUUUUUUCUUCUAUUGUUAGAGGUAAAGCUAAUUCAUGGAGUCGAAUCUUGUACUUGGUUCAAACAAUAAAUAAAGUGGGGGUGGGGGAAUUUAGUAUGUACAUCAGACUUGGUACAAACAGGAAGGAAAAGGGGUGAAAGUAGUACAGUCUGGUCAUCCAACCGGUCUCUUGGUCGAAAAGGGAAAUAUAGGGGUAACGUUAUACACAGUGGUAUGACCAGGACUAGAUUUUCUAUCCACACAUAGGAGUAGGUGGCUAGAGUGAACAAAAAUGGGACCAACGCAGAUAUGUUUCUUGGAUGUUUGUUUCUCGGGGCAACAAACUAUGAAUCACUACUUUAUGCCCCUAUUUAGGUACAUGGUGCUGGACUGCUGGUGCACCCACUAUCCCAUGCCCUUAUACCAAAUAUAUAGUUGUUCUUAAUCUAAUGCCCCUGGUAAAAUGAAGCCAUGCCACUGUUAUAAGCCAAGACAAGUUUAGCCAAAUGCUUUUGCCUGUAAUUGUUUGAGACUCUGACUGUUUCCUCUGUAGCUUUUUGUGCAAACAGGGGUAUCCAUCGCACCUGGUUGCUAUUGUGACCUUUUGGUGCACUGCACAAAACUCUUCUUAAAAGAAGUGACUUUUGUGUUGUUUAACUGGAAUGUCAGAAUGGAACAGUUGGUUCAUUUCGGUGGAACUACACAAAGGGAGAUUUGUGUUCCAAUCCUCAUCAUCCAUAUUGGCGCCAUAACCUUCCUUUAGGUAAGAAUGAUAUUUAAUGCAUUUGUUCAUCUCUAUUUUGCGACUGCCAUGAGAAAAUAAUGCUAUUUUUUACUAGUACACGUGUACUCCCUCGCUGACAAAACCAAUUCUGAAAUAGAAGGCCAAUCAUGUACUAGGUUUCACCAACUGGUGAGGAGAAAGAGAAACAAAGCAUGAAGAGGAAGAGGAAGAAGAAUAAACAGUGCCAAGGCGAUCUUGCUGAAGCCAGAGGCCUCAGUCGAGGCCAUUCAAGGGCUCCGCAAUGACUGCCUUACAUGUGAGAUGAUCCUCCAGGGAGCCCUUCCACUUCUGCUGUCUCACUUAAUUAAUUAGGAGUACUUAAGUAUCACUAAUUUAUUGCUGCCUAAUUUUCCUGUCGGAGUUAAACAAAUCUUUAGUAGCACCCUAUGCUGAAUCAUGUACGUGUGUAUGUUUGUCUAUGGAGGUGAAUCAUGUGGUGGAGCAGGGAGGGAAUAUUAUUAGUGUCAUGACAUAAUAGUGCUAUUGUUUUGCAUGUCAAUUUAUUGCCAUUGGUUCAAUGAGGCAAUGUUUUGCGUAUUGCCCAUCAUGAAUUUGAUGCUGCUAUUAGAGUAAUAUGCUAAUGUCUUUCUAUCCUAUCUCACUAAGCUAAUGAAGGUUUCACCUUGUUCCUACUUGUGCAAAUAGGGAUCAUGUUGUGCCAAUCAUACAUUUUAGUGGAACUACACAAGACAAUACAAUGAACUGUAUCCCAACCAGUGCUUUAACUCUGCUGGAAGUUCUUGAUAAUCUUUUGAUAUAAUCUCAGCACUGGUAAACAAGAGUGAUUUCAACCAUACAUUUGAAGUGCACAAAAAUAUAUACUAUUGAGUGAUUCCAGUGAGUGCUUUAUCAUCUCUUAUGGGACUACAUGAAUAAGCUUUUUUCCUCAGUUUCGUACGGGCCUAAGACCUUCAUCCAUAUUAGUUUGCUGUCAUCUCUAUUUGUAUCGUGCUACUGUCAUGAGAAACUCCUUUAUCUUUGCACAUAAAAUUUUUGCAACCUAUGAUACAUGGCAAUGCUUUGAGUGUUGAGCUAAUUGGCAAUGAUUAAAUACACUAAUACCUCUCUUUAAGCAAGACUACUAUGUUGCUAACUUUACCCAUUAAGAUAAUGAGGGUGCUUCUAUUUGUUAGUGUAUGUUUCAUCAACUAGUCCCACUAUUACAGUAAUCUCACUCUCUCAACAUAUGUGCCAACAGGGAUGCUCGAUUUUGGUGGAACUGCACGAAAACUUUGGGUGCUUCAUUGCCUCGACAGUUUCCAUCCUUUCCUGUCAGUCGCUAAUCUGGGCCUGCUUUCUUCCUUUGCUGUCAGUCGCUUCGCUUAUCUCGGCUUCCAGUCAAAGGAAAUAGUAAUUGAUAUGCUACCUCACACAGGUUGGUACUAGUCUUUAUCCUGAUUAUUGUGCUUGUCAUGUAUUGGUAAUUUUGUAUUGUGCUACUGUUUGCCGAUUUUAUAAAGGAGUAACUUGGAGCCUGAACUCACAGGAAAAUCAUUGCAUUGGGUGAUUUCAGUAGAACUGCACAAAAAGAUUAGAUGGACAGAUACUUAUGCUGCUACUAUGUACUCCAAAGUUCACUCAGACAAGCAUCGAUGUUGACAAGUAGUGCCUAUAUUCAUUUGAGUAUCAACCGGCGUCAACUAGUUGUCAAACUCCAAGUAUUAGGAGAGUGGAUGCCAAAAAUAUUUCUUGGCGCAUAGCCCAGAAAAACACAGUCCAGUCUUUGGUCCCAACUUGUGCCUUUUGGUUAUUGGCAGAUAUGGUAGCGAACUGUAUGGCAUGGAGUCUAAAGAUUCCAGACAAGUUGGUUGACGCGUAUAUUCAUCUGGCAGUUAAUCAGUCUGCAUGCCAGGGAUGCUCCAUUUUAGUUGAAUCGCACAAAAAAAAUUGGGUGGUUCAUUUUCUCAACCGCCUCCUUUCUCGUGUGCAAUGUAGAAUUUUGGCGAGCUAUAGGAUCAAGAUGAGCCAGUAAACUAGUUGGAUGAAAGUACUGGCCAAGUUACUCAAACCUACCUCGGCACAAGGUCACUAUUUGAGGAUAAACCUACAAGCAAAGUUUAGAUUGUCUAUGCUGCCUCUUAUGUACUCGAAAGUUUACUCGUACAAGCAUUAAUUUUAGCAAGAAGUGCCUCCGACUGAACACCAUUUUCCAGUCUGUACCCUACGUAAUUAAAGUUCGUCCAUGGAUCAUAUUGGCUGUGAUAUCAAUCAUUUGGAUGCAUAAACAUAUUGAAUAUGUGUAUAUCUAAAUCUUUUUGUGAAUUAUCUAUCAAUAUUGUCGUGUGAUCUAUCAAUCAUUUGGAUGCAUAGACAUGCUGAACUUGGGUAUAUAUGAAUCUUUUGAGUUGUUGAUAGUGAAUGUUGGCUAUGAAUAUGAACAUGUCCUAUGAACCUGAGUUUGAUACGAAUGUUUACCUUUUCUAUUGUACUUGUGUGUGAACUUGUUAGUAUACCUACUGUGGGGUAUGUGACGUGUGGGUGUCAACGGCACACCUUCUUCCCGAGAAGAAUUGCACCUGCUUUGUUAGGGUAGUAACGACGCAUCAGCUCUUUUUAAUCUUUUUGCUCUGUCUUCCCCCCUCCCUCGCUCAACCCCUGCCAUAAUGUUUUCGGCCUCAAAACAAACAUAGUAUUGCGUUGUUUUUGGGGCUUGAUGAAAAAUCGAGUGCUGAUUUCUGUAGGUUGGCCCGCCCAGCAAAUGGGCUGCUGGUCCACCACGGACUGGGAGGCUAAAAAUACAAGUUGUAUGGUGCAGAGGCAAGUAAAAAACGCCAUCGAGAGCCAUCCACUGAAGAAAAAAAUCGCUCAUGAUGUGCUUCUUCAGUCGUGCCGCCGGCCCCCUCUUUAAUCCAGUUCGCUCGGGGAUCUGGUAUCAUUUUUUCCGGAGGGCGAAUAAGUAUCAGCUAGGCCUAGGUUUUGUAUUUUAGCAUGCGUAGCCCACGACAUACAAAGACAGUGGUUUCAACUUAUUUUUUGAGGUCCAUACCGGCCUAUGGGCCUUUUCUUAAAGAUGUGCAGCCCAAUGUAUUUUUUUAAUAAAACGCAGGUCUCUGUUCUAUAAGAAUAAUAAUGUUGUGUCCAAUUUAUGUUUUCCCUUCUAACCACAUUAUAUAUAUAUAUCUAUAUUAUUACUAUUAUCGUAUAUUUUAUAGAGACUUGUAUAUACAUUAUAAAAACAUCCCACGUCUUAUUAACUUAUAAAAGUAAAUGUUUAUCAAAAGUUGGCAAGGAAAAUCCUGGUUGUUUUUGACUCACAGGCAAGGAAAAUCCUGGUGAUUGCGUACAAAAGCUUGCGAAGAUUUUAAGGACCAAUGUAAUAAUAACAUGCUCAAUUUUAUUUUGAGCAAUAACUCCCUAAUUUGUUAAUUAUAUAUAUAUAUAUAUAAUGUGCCUCUCCGGUUUAUUUUUUGAUAUUAAUUGCUCCUUCUAACAUAACAUUAUAUAUAUAACAAGCCCGGCUAAUUCGUAUAUUUCAAGGAAGUGCAAAUGGGCUGUACAUUCUAGAAAACAUGGGUUAAAUAUAUGACACAUUUUUGCAGGCUGACAUGUGGGCCAAUAGGUCGAAGCCUACGCAGGGCAUUGUCAACUUGAUCAACAAAUGAUUAUGACAUCCACAGCCAUUGGAUUUAUAUCUAACGGCCGGCAUGCACCUUCAAUCUCUCGUCUUCUUCCUCCAGCGUCGCCAGGACCGCCUGGUCCGGCCUCUGGCGGCUAGCGGCUCUGCUUAGCAAGCAUCACUGCAAAGCGCUACCCCACCGAUGGCCAAGCUAUCCCUCCACCCCUCCACACCUCUUGUUAUUCUCCACCGACUGCGGCCCCACGCCGCACCAGAACCAGUUAUAACCCUUCUCCUCCUCUCAAUCUGCGACUCCACUGCAACGUCUUCCCAUCUCUAAGUCAUUCCCGUUCGAGGCCUCGCCGUCAUCCACCGACUCGCUGCGCUCGGUGCGGCGUGGUCAACAAACGAGAGUCAUCCGAAGAGGACUCUAUGUGGAGAGCCUGACGGCUGGGACCCACGAGGUCCAUGGUCGCACACAAGGAAAGUUCCUCCUUAUUAAGAUGGAAAAAAAUGUUUCCUCCACCUGACAGCUGGGACACACCGGCUGUAUCUUCGCACAGAAGGAAGUUCCUCCUUGUUAUGCGAAAAAAAUUAUUCCUCCCAUUGACAGCUGGGACCUGUCAGAUUUGGUGGCUGACUUGUGGGCCUACUAAGCGGACGUGUACGCAGGGCUUUGUCAACUUAAUCAAUAAAUGAUUCUAGCAGCUGGACCGUUGGAUGUUAAUCCAACAGCUGUGCUCCUUCUUCAACCUCUGUUCUUGCUCCUGUCUCCCGUGGGCGGCACCGCGGCUGUGCUGCCGCGCACCCGAACCAGUCAAGUUUCCAACUCAUCUCCAUAUGCAACUCCACUGCCCCAUCUUCCCCAUCUCCGGGUCAUUCCAGUCUGGGGCCGAGCUGUCGUCCACCGACCUUGGUGCGCUCGGCACGGUGUGGUCAACAUGGUCAACAACCAAGAGUCAUCGGAAGAUGACUGUACAUGAGAGGCUGACAGUGGGGACGCACCACACCCAUGGACGCAUGCAUGCAAUGGAACGCGGCGUGGUCAACGUGGUCAAGGAACGACUUCCAUCAGAAGUGUACUGUACGUGGAGAGGCUGACAGCUGGGUCCAUGGCUGCAGCAAGGAAGUGCCUCCUUAUUACGCGGAAAAUAAUGAUUCCUCCACCUGAUAGCAGGGACCUACCGGACGGGCCACCGUAUUUUGCGAAAAAACGUUUCCACCCUGACUGCUGGGACCCACCGGACGGGCCACCAUAUUUCACGAAAAAAUCAUUCCCCCCGUUGUCAGCUCGGACCCACCGGAAGCGCCUCCUUAUUACGCGGAAAAAAAUGGAUACUCCCCCUGCUAGUUGGGACCCACCUUGGUGGGAGGCUGACUUGUGGGCCUACUAAGUUGACGGGGACGGAGGGCUUUGUCAACUUAGUCAAUAUGAACGAUUCUAGCUCCAGUGACCGUACGAUGUCCAUCCAACGGCCGUAGUGCUUCUUCAACCUCUGGUCUUCUUGCUCCAGCCGCCCAAACCAGCGCCAGCCAUGCCGCGUGCUCCUGCCUCCCGUGGCCGGCUGUGAUGCCGUGGAGGCCUCACCACCCCCUACUACUCCCAUCGCUGGCCAGGCCAUCCCUCUACUCACCCACACCCCCUGUUAUUCUGCGGCGAUGGCAGCCUCACACCACAGCCGAACCAGUGAACCCUCAUACUCCUCUCCAUGCGGGCUUCCACUGUUGCGUCUUCCCCGGCUCCGUGUCGUCCCCUUACUAGGCCUCGUCGUCGUCCACCGUUGUGGUGCUCUCGGCGCGGCAUGGUCAAUGUGGUCAACGAUCGACUUCCAUUGGAAGAGUAUUGUACGUGGAGAGGCUGACACCUGGGUCCACGGCAGCCACAAGAAAGUGCCUCCUUAUUACACAGAAAAUAAUGAUUCCUCCACCUGACAGCGGGGACCCACCGGACGGGCCACCGUAUUUUGAGAAAAAACAUCCCCCCCCCUAACUGCUGGGACCCACCAGCUACAUCUUCGCAUGCGAGGGAGUGCGUCCGAGCAAAAAAACAAUUUGCCCCCUGACUGCUGGGACCCACCAGCUACAUCUUCGCAUGCAAGGAACUGCCUGACAGUCGGGACCCACCUGGUCGAAGUGUACGUAGCGUUGUCAUUCUGGUCGCGAACAUGUACGUACAUACUGGUCGAUGUAGAGGCGCGCACAUGUCGUAGUAGAGGCACGCAUAUGUCAUAGUAGAGGUGCGCACGUAGCAUGUACACAUACGUACAACGGCCAGGGUGCAAGAAAGUAAAUACGGCCAUGCACGUACAUACGGGCGGGGUCUCGAACGCAUACUCGCGCAUACGUACGGUCAGGGCUCGUGUACAUGGCUGGGUCGGAACGGAGAAACUGUGUCGUCGUCGUGUUCAUGGGGAGGCAACGGAAUGUGUCUUGUUCAUCGGGAGGAAACAGAAUGCGUCGUGUUCAUGGGGAGGCAACGGAACGCGUGGGAGCCAACCGGCUUGGACGGAAUAGCCGAUGGAAACGAGGCCUGGCGUACUGCACAAUAGAGGAAACAACCUUGUGUUUGACUGACCAUGUUCGAAACGGGAUCCUGUCAUUGGGAGGGGUCUGGCGUACCGCAAAACGGAGGAAACGGACUUGUAUUGGACCUCCUACGGUUGAAAUAGGGUCUGUUGAUCGGGAGGGGUGUGGCGUACCGCAAAACGGAGGAAACGGACUUGUGUUGGAGCGCUACGGUCGAAACAGGGGUCCUGUUCAUCGGGAGGGGUGUGGCGUACCGCAAAACAGGACUCCACGGGAUACUGUUCAUCUCCACCGUUGACCUCCUCCAGCCCCCAGGGGCUACUGUUCAUCCACCGUCGACCUCCUCCAGCCUCCACCUGCGACUAUUCAUCCACUGGCUCCUGUUCAUCCAGCCUCAAACACGCGCUACUCCACUGGCUACUGUUCAACCAGCCCUCUCCACGAGCUCCUGUUCAACCACCCCUCCACGGGCUACUGUUCAUCCACCCCUCCACCAUCUACUGUUCAUCCAGCCCUCCACGGGGUCGUCCUGUUCAUCCAGCCCUCCACGGGGUCCUGUUCAUCCAGCCCCAACCGGCUCGAUCGAUCGGGGUCCUAUUCAUCCAGAGGCAACACCACGGGGUCCUGUUCAUCCACCCCACCACUCACUGUUCAUCCAGAGGCAGCAUCGAUCGGCUUCAGUUAGCAGCAGUAGCGAAGGAAUCACUCGGGUUCAAUAAUGUAGCUAGUGCAAUCACUCGGGUUUAGUUAGAGCCCAACUCCUCGCACACACGUGCGUACAUGUAUGAGAGAAACGCACAUCGCUCGACCCCGACCACCCACCUUAACCAGGAAGACCCCAAAAUUUUCAUCGCCCUCGCUUCUACCAUAGUUUUUUCCGUCAUGGACGGCCCAAAGAAUGUCAUGCAGCUGCGUCUCCAGCCCGCCCAGGACAAAAAGCCCAUUUUCUGUCAUGAUUUUUUGUCAUAGAAGUAGGAGCCCACCACAUCUAUGAUGAUACCAGGUUUUGUCACAAUUAUCAUCAUAGAAGUGUCAUAAGUAUGACAGGACAAAAUUCGUUCGGCCCAAAAUGUCACGGGUGUGUCUUUUUUUGUAGUGCUACGGGUUCAAGAACUAUGUAGACAUGACUGAGACACCUCUCCGGUCAAUAACCAAUAGCGGAACCUGGAUGCUCAUAUUGGUUCCCACAUAUUCUACGAAGAUCUUUAUCGGUCAAAUCGCAAUGUCAAUAUAGUUAUUCCCUUUGUCAUCGGUAUGUUAGUUGCCCGAGAUUCGAUCGUCGGUAUUUUCAUACCUAGUUCAAUCUUGUUACUGGCAAGUCUCUUUACUCGUUCUAUAGUGCAUCUUCCCGUAACUAACUCAUUAGUCACAUUGCUUGCAAGGCUUCAUAUGAUGUGCAUUACCGAGAGGGCCCAGAGAUACCUCUCCGAUACUCGGAGUGACAAAUCCUAAUCUCGAUCUAUGCCAACCCAACAAACACCUUCGGAGAUACCUGUAGAGCAUCUUUACAAUCAUCCAGUUAUGUUGUGAUGUUUGAUAGCACAAGAGGCAUUCCUCCGGUGUCCGGGAGUUGCAUAAUCUCAUAGUCGGAGGAAUAUACAUAUGACAUGAAGAAAGCAGUAGCAAUAAAACUGAACGAUCAUUAUGCUAAGCUAACAGAUGGGUCUUGUCCAUCACAUCAUUCUACUAAUGAUGUGAUCCCGAUAUCAAAUGACAACUCAUGUCCAUGGCUAGGAAACUUAACCAUCUUUUGACUAACGAGCUAGUCUAGUGGAGGCAUACUAGGUACAGAUUGUUUUGUCUAUGUAUCCACACAUGUAUCAGGUUUCCGGUUAAUACAAUUCUAGCAUGAAUAAUAAAUAUUUAUCAUGAAGAAGGAAAUAUAAAAUAACAACUUUAUUAUUGCCUCUAGGGCAUAUUUCCUUCAGUCUCCCACUUGAACUAGAGUCAAUAAUCUAGAUUACAUUGUAAUGAAUCUAACACCCAUGGAGUCUUGGUGCUGAUCAUGUUUUGCUCAGGGAAAAGGCUUAGUCAAUGAGUCUGCAACAUUCAGAUCUGUAUGUAUUUGGCAAAUCUCUAUGUCUCCCUCCUUGAACGAAUCUCAGAUGGAGUUGAAGCAUCUCUUGAUGUGUUUGGUCUUUUUGUGAAAUCUGGAUUCCUUCGCUAAGGCAAUUAUCCAGUAUUGUCACAAAAUAUUUUCAUUGGACCCGAUGCACUAGGUAUUACACCUAGAUCGAAUAUGAACUCCUUCAUCCAAACUCCUUCGUUUGCUACUUCCGAAGCAGCUAUGUACUCCGCUUCACACGUAGAUCCUGCCACGAUGCUCUGAUUGGAACUACACCAACUGACAACUCCACCAUUCAAUAAAAAUACGUAUCCAGAUUGUGACUUAGAGUCAUUCGGAUCAGUGUCAAAGCUAGCUUCGACGUAACCAUUUACGACAAGCUCUUUGUCACCUUCAUAAACGAGAAACAUAUCCCUAGUCCUUUUCAGGUUCUUCAGGAUGUUCUUGACCAUUGUCCGAUGAUCCACUCCUAGAUUACUUUGGUACCUCCCUACUGAACUUAUAGCAAGGCACACAUCAAGUCUGGUACACAACAUAGCAUACAUGAUAGAACCUAUGGUUGAAGCAUAGGGAAUGACUUUCAUUUUCUCUCGACUUUCAUUUUCUCUUUGGUACCUCCUCUGCCAGACCUACGAGGUUCUGUAGUAACUUGAUCUGAAGUUUCAUGAUCUCUAUCAUUAGCUUCCUCUCCAAUUGGUGUAGGCAUCACGGGAACAGAUUUCUCGGAUGAACUACCUUCCAAAUUGAGAGCUGGUACAAUUACCUCAUCAAGUUCUACUUUCAUCCCACUCACUUCUUUCGAGAGAAACUCCUUCUCUAGAAAGGUUCUAUUCUUAGCAACAAAAAUCUUGCCUUCGGACUUGUGGUAGAAGGUGUACCCAAUUGUUUCCUUAGAAUAUCCUAUGAAGACACAUUUCUCCGAUUUGGGUUCGAGCUUAUCAGGCUAAAGCCUUUGGACAUAAGCAUCGCAUCGCCAAACUUUAAGAAACGAUAGCUUAGGUUUGUUGCCAAACCACAGUUCAUACGGUGUCAUCUCAACGGACUUUGAUGGUACCCUGUUUAAAGUGAAUGCAGCUGUCUCUAAUUCAUAACCCCAAAAUGAUAGAGAUAAACCGGUAAGAGACAUCAUAGAUCGCACCAUAUCCAAUAAAGUGCGAUUACGACGUUCGGACACACCAUUAUGUUGUAGUGUUCCAGGUGGCAUGAGCUGUGAAACUAUUCCACAUUGUUUUAAAUGAAGGCCAAACUCGUAACUCAAAUAUUCUCCUCCACAAUCAGAUCGUAGAAACUUUAUUUUCUUGUUACGAUGAUUCUCCACUUCACUCUAAAAUUCUUUGAACUUUUCAAAUGUUUCAGACUUGUGUUUUGUAAAGUAGAUAUACCCAUAUCUGCUCAAAUCAUCUGUGAAGGUCAGAAAAUAACGAUACCUGCCACGAGCAUCAACACUCAUUCGACCGCAUACAUCGAUAUGUAUUAUUUCCAACAAGUCACUAGCUCUUUCCAUUGUCCCAGAGAAUGGAGUUUUAAUCAUCUUGCCCAUAAGGCAUGGUUUGCAAGUAUCAGAUGAUUCAUAACCAAGUGAUUCCAAAAGUCCAUAUUUAUGGAGUUUCUUCAUGCGCUUUACACUGAUAUGACCCAAACGGCAGUGCCACAAAUAAGUUGCAUUGUCAUUAUCAACUUUGCAUCUUUUGGCAUCAAUAUUAUGAAUAUGUGUAUCAUCACGAUCAAGAUUCAACAGAAAUAGACCACUCUUCAAGGGUGCAUAACCAUAAAAGAUAUUACUAAUGUAAAUGGUACAACCAUUAUUCUUUGGUUUAAAUGAAUAACUAUCUCGCACUAAACAAGAUCCAGAUAUAAUGUUCAUGCUCAACGCUGGCACCAAAUAACAAUUAUUCAGGUCUAAAACUAAUCCCGAAGGUAGAUGUAGAGGUAGCGUGUCGACGGCGAUCUCAUCAACCUUGGAACCAUUUCCGACGUGCAUCAUCACCUCGUCCUUAGCCAAUCUUCGUUUAAUCCGUAGUCCAUGCUUCGAGUUACAAAUAUGAGCAACCGAACCGGUAUCAAAUACCCAGUCACUACUACGGGAAUUAGUAAGGUACACAUCAAUAACAUGUAUAUCAAAUAUACCUUUAUUCACUUUGCCAUCCUUCUUAUCCGCCAAAUACUUGGGGGAGUUUCGCUUCCAGUGACCAGUCCCUUUGCAGUAGAAGCACUCAGUUUUAGGCUUGGGUCCAUUCUUAGGUUUCUUCCCGGGAGUGACAACUUGCUUGUCAGUCUUUUUGAAGUUGCCCUUCUUUUUACCCUUGCCCUUCUUCUUGAAACUGGUGGUCUUGCUAACCAUCAACACUUGAUGAUCCUUCUUGAUUUCUACCUCUGCGGCCUUUAGCAUUGCGAAGAGCUCGGCAAUAGUAUUUUCCAUCCCUUGCAUAUUGUAGUUCAUCACGAAGCCUUUGUAGCUUGGUGGCAGUGAUUGAAGAACUCUAUCAAUGACACAAUCAUCUGGAAGAUUAACUCCCAGCUGAGUCAAGUGAUUAUGGUACCUAAACAUUCUGAGUAUGUGCUCACUAACAGAACUCUUCUCCUCCAUCUUGCAGCCAUAGAACUUGUUGGAGACUUCAUAUCUCUCAACUCGGGCAUUUUAUUGAAAUAUUAACUUCAACUCCUGGAAAAUCUCAUAUGGUCCAUGAUGUUCAAAAUGUCCUUGAAGUCCAAUUCUAAGCCGUAAAGCAUGACACACUGAACUAAUGAGUAGUCAUCACCAAGCGACUACCAGGCAUUCACAAUGUCUGCAGUUGCUGGGGCAGGUGGUACACCUAGCGGUGCAUCAACGACAUAAUGAAAGCACAAGUGCUCCCUAGGUGAUUUUGGUAAUUCAUGACAACAUAUCUCUUGUUGGACUAAUACUUCUACCUAGUGCAUUUCAGAAAAAUUCAACAUUGGAGUGGCAUGGACAUGGACAAGAGGAUGUGGAACUCGUUCAAGAUGCUAAGGACAAAUAUUGGCGAAAGCUCAAGACUCUUCAUUUUCUAUUUUAGUGAUCCAAGAUCACAUUGAGUCCAUAGGAAAGCCAAUACUAUUAAAAGGGGAUGAGGUGUUGCUUAAUGGCUUGCUUGCUCAAAGUUCUUAGUGAUAUGCUCCAAAACCCUCAGCCACUUUCUCACAUCCACAUAUGUCCUAAAAUCUCAAUGUCAAACUCGGCCCCACCGAUUUGAUCUAUCCGGCGCCACCGAGUUCAUCUUCUUCAGCCACUACCAAACCUUAGUUACUUUGGUCUCACUGAUGGGAUCUCGGUCUCACCGAGAUCGGUUUGCAAUCUCUCUGUGAUAUGGUGCAACCUUUUCGGUCUAACCAAGUUUGUGCAGUCGGUCCCACUGAGUUUGCUUGACCAAUCCUCUAUUUACUUAUUACCAAAAUCGGUCCCACCGAGUUUGAGUAGUCGAUCAAACCGAGUUGAGGUUUUACCCUAACCCUUGCACAUCGGUCCCACCGAGAUGAUUAUAUCGGUCCCACCAAAAAUCCUAAUGUUCACAUUUUUACCUGGAUCGGUGUGACCGAGUUUGCUGAUUCAGUCCCACUGAGGCUAGUAAUCUAUGUGUAAUGGUUAGAUUUUGUGUGGAGGCUAUAUAUACCCCUGCACCCACUCUUCAUUCAUGGAGAGAGCCAUCAGAACAAACCUACACUUCCACUACUCAUUUUCUGAGAGAGAACCACCUACUCAUGUGUUGAGGCCAAGAUAUUCCAAUCCUACCAUAUGAAUCUUGAUCUCUAGCCUUCCCCAAGUUGCUUUUAACUCAAAUCAUCUUUCCACCAUAGCCAAAUCUGAGAGAGAGAGUUGAGUGUUGGGGAGACUAUCAUUUGAAGCACAAGAGCAAGGAGGUCAUCAGCAACACACCAUCUAUUACCUUUUGUAGAGUGGUGUCUCCUAGAUUGGUUAGGUAUCACUUGGAAGCCUCCGUCAAGAUUGUGGAGUUGAACCAAGGAGUUUGUAAGGGCAAGGAGAUCGCCUACUUCAUGAAGAUCUACCCUAGUGAGGCAAGUCCUUUGUGGGCGAUGGCCAUGAUGGGAUAGACAAGGUUGCUUCUUCGUGGACCCUUCGUGGGUGGAACCCUCUGUGGACUCGCACAACCGUUACCCUACGUGGGUUGAAGUCUCCAUCAACGUGGAUGUACGAUAGCACCACCUAUCGGAACCACGCCAAAAAAUAUCCAUGUCUCCAAUUGUGUUUGCACACUCCAAUCCCAUCCCUUUACUUUCUUGCAAAUUGCAUGCUUUACUUUCCGCUGCUCAUAUACUCUUUUGCAUGCUUGCUUGAAGUUGUGUUAUUCUACCACCUCAACUUGAAAAACUUAAAAACUGCCAACUUUGUUUGUUGAGGGUCUAAUCACUCCCCCCCCUCUAGAUACCUCUUCUCAAUCCUUUCAAUUGGUAUCAGAGCUUUGGUCUCCAUUGCUUUGGUUUAAUCACCAUUGGAGGAAGAUGGAUGAGUCUACGUUGGGGAGUCUUAGACGUAGAGUGCCUAUGCUUGAUGGAGAGUUCUUUGGUGAGUGGAAAAAUGAGAUGCUUGGAAUUUUUCAUGAAUAUCACUUGAACAAGUACAUUACUACUCCUUGUGAACCCCUUGUUGAUCCCUUGCAUCCUACCCAUGAUGAUUAUCUUGACAUGAUUCGCAAUCUUAGAACUACCAAUCUUAUCAUUAGAGGCUUGCUUAGAAAUUUGAUAUAUCACUUGCCUACUCUUGAUUGUGCUUAUAGAUUUAUUGAGGAACGAUUUCUUGACUAUUCCUUGAAAAACUUAGAUGAGAUUCUUCACAAGUCUAUUGCUUUGAAUAAGAUGAAUCCCAAUGAUCCUAAGUUUGGAGAUUGUUUACUUGAGGUUACCAAUCUUAUGCAUGCCAAAGGAGAUGUUGGAAUCAUUAGCAAUAUUAUUUCCAAAGCUAUUAGAAUUCAUAGAGAUGAACAUUGUCAAAGUCAUUUAUCUAAUGAAUCACUCUCUAUAGGAAAUGAUCAUUUGCAAGAUGAUGUUUAACAUGGAUAUUAUGAUGAGGAUGUGAUAAUGACUUUGAUCUUGAAGAGUCUGUGAGACACUUUGGUCUUAUGGCAAAUCUUCGCGGCUACAUGGCUGGAGGAAAGGAAUCGGUCCUUGAUAGUGGAUGUACCGAUCAUAUGACCGGCGAUAAAGAUAUGUUUCGUGAGCUUGCUAAAAACGACGGCCCUCGAAAGUAUGUCACUUUCGGUGAUAACUCAAAGGAUAAGGUGGUUGGCCUCGGUAAGGUAGCCAUCUCACAUGAUAGCUCCAUACAAAAUGCGUUGAAUCCCUUGGCUAUAAUCUGCUUUCUGUAUCUAGACUAGCUGACUUUGGUUUCAAUGUCCUAUUUACCAAAGUAGAUUGCCAAGUGUUUCGAAGAGAUAAGCAUAAAAUGGUCUUUACCGGCAUACUCGGUUAUGGCUCAAACUCUCACACUUAGUGUGUCUACAACAAUUUCACCCGAAACGUUGAAGAAACGGUAGAUGUGAAGUUUGAUGAAUCUAACGGCUCGCAAGUUGAGCAAUUGCCAAUUGAUGUAGGUGACAAAGAUCCUUCGGAAGCAAUCCAAGACUUGUCUAUCGGCAAGAUUCGCCCAACGGAGGUGAAGGAGAGUACCUCGUAUGUCCAAGUGGAAGCCUCAACCUCAAGUCAAGGUGAACCACGAGUUGACUUGGCAUCCACAAGUGGGACAUGCCAAGACAAUGAGAACAAGGACAUACAACAAGAUGAACCUCAACGAUCUCCUUCUCCACCUCCACGGGAGAACGACCACGCCAACAACAACAAAGAAAGACAAGAAUAAGAACAAGACAAUGAAGAGGAUGUUCCACCCCGACCCAAACAAAAGCUAUCACAAGUUCGAGCAAGAGUCUCAAGAGAUCAUCCCGUCGAACAAAUCUUUGAUGGCAUUCAAACCAGGAGAAUUGCUUGCUCUAAAACUCAUUUGGCUAACUUUUGUGAACAUUACUCAUUCAUUUCUAGCAUUGAACCUAUGAAGGUUUAAGAAGCAUUGGAAGAUCUAGAUUGGAUAAAUGCCAUGCAUGAAGAGCUACACAACUUUGAGAGGAACCAAGUAUGGACGUUGGUUGAGAAGCCCGAUGAGAAGCACAAUAUCAUUGGAACCAAAUGGGUAUUUCGGAACAAGCAAGAUGAAGAUGGACAAGUUGUAUGCAAUAAGGCUCGUCUCGUUGCUCAAGGCUACACUCAAGUCAAAGGUAUGGACUAUGGUGAGACCUAUGCCCCCAUUGUUACACUUGAGUCCAUUUGCAUCUUACUUGCCUAUGCCAAUCAUCAUGACAUUACCUUAUAUCAAAUGGACAUCAAAAUUGCUUUUCUUAAUGGUGAAAUUGAGGAGCAAGUUUAUGUUAAACAACCUUACGACUUUGUUAAUCCUAAGAAACCCAAUCAUGUUUUACAAACUUCACAAAGCUCUUUAUGGUGUUAAGCAAGCUCCUAGAGCUUGGUAUAAAUGCUUGACUAAGUUUCUUCUUGAUAAAGGGUUUGAAAUUGGUAAACUUGAUUCUACACUCUUUACCAAAAGGUUUAAUGGAGAAUUAUUUGUGUGCCAAAUUUAUGUUGAUGAUAUCAUAUUUGGAUCAACUAACCCUCAUUUUAGUGAGAAGUUUGGGAAGCUUAUGUCGGAGAUGUUUGAUAUGUCUAUGACGAGUGAACUCAAGUUCUUUCUUGGUUUGCAGAUCAAGCAAACUAAGGAGGGAACCUUUAUCUCUCAAACAAAGUAUACCAAGGACUUAUUCAAGAAGUUCAACAUGCAAGAGUGCAAAGGUAUGAAUACCCCCAUGCCUACUAGUGGACAUCUUGACUUGACAAAGGAUGGCGAACCGGUUGACCAAAAGGUUUACCUCUCUAUGAUUGGUUCAUUGUUAUAUCUAUGUGCAUCCCGUCCCGAUAUCAUGUUAAGUGUGUGCAUGUGUGGACGAUAUCAAGCAGCCCCCAAAGAAUGUCAUCUUAAGGCUGUCAAAAGGAUAGUGAGAUACUUAAUACACACACCAAAUUUUGGCAUUUGGUAUCCUAAGAGGUCUUCUUUUGAUCUUCUUGGCUACUCCAACUCAGACUAUGCCGGUGACAAGGUCGAUAGAAAGUCCACUUCAGGUACUUGCUAAUUUCUUGGUAGAUCUCUUGUGUCUUGGUCCUCCAAGAAACAAAACUCAGUAUCCUUAUCCACCGCCGAAGCGGAAUACAUUGCCGCUAGUUCACGUUGUGCUCAAUUACUUUGGAUGACCCAAACUCUUAAAGAUUAUGGGAUAUAUGUGAAACAUGUUCCAUUGCUUUGCGACAAUGAGAGUGCUAUUAACAUUGCUCAUAAUCCCAUGCAACAUUCUCGAACUAAGCAUAUUGAAGUUCGUCAUCAUUUCAUUCAAGAUCAUGUUGCUAAGGGAGAUAUCAAACUUAAGCAUGUUCGUACCGACAAGCAAUUAGCGGAUAUAUUCACUAAACCACUUGAUGAGAAAGUGUUUUGCAGGUUGAGAGGCGAAUUGAACAUCAUUGAUGCCUCAAAUUUGGAGUAGAAACUCCAUGUGGAUGCAUGCAAGGCAUGAGCCAUACUAUGACUAAUCCUUGACCAUUCUCUUAUGAUGAUAAUCAUAUGUCUUGGAUACUCUUGUACUCUUGCAUGCUAUCUAACCCUUGUAGGUACUUGGAAAAGCCCAACUCUAUGAGAUUGCAGCUCAAUCACAUUUUAAGCAAUCUCUACAUCUCCAAAUCUCUACAAAAUGGUGGAGGAAGACAAGGAAGUACGAAUCCAUUCAAUAUAUCCUUAGACAAAUUCCUAUAUCAAAAUUUCAUGAUUGUCAUUUUGGAUACAUGUGACAGCCUGGUUUUUGCCCUCUUUUCUUUGCCUGGUUUUCAGUUGAGUUGGUUUUGAAUUUGGAGUUUUUGAAUCACUUCAUUUGGACUUAACCACUUGGGUACCCCUUGAAUUUCACCCAAGUGCUCCCUCUCCUCCUCAAAACCAUCAUUUCACCUCUGGAUCAACUCAAAAUAUUGCUUGGAAUAUUUUUCUUAAAUGAAAAAUAUUCAUUUUGCCAUCCAAAACCCUAGCUAGCCCUUUGUGCUCCAAAGCAACCCUAAUUUUUCUUGCCCCAAAAAUCCUGAGAAAAAUCCCAAUUAUUCUUUGAACCCUAGGGCACCUUUCUGAGCAAAAAUAUUUCAUCACUCUUUAGAAUAUUUUGGAUAUAGAAAAUAAAUUCAUUUCUAGACAGAAAUGGUAGUUUCUACAGCAACUACCAUUUUACUAGCUCCAUUGUAGCUGGUUUUUCUUGUGCCUAUUUACCUUAGUAAGUGUAAGCUAGCCUCCAAAGCUCAUCCCUUAACUCCCAGUGAUUUGACCUCAGUAAACCUCCAAAGUUACUGUACAGAAACUUGCUAGCAGUACAAAUCCAUUUCUACUGCACUUGGAUCCAACCCCAACCGUGGUAACACUUCAAACUACCAAGGACUACACGCCAGACAUCAAGUUAGCGCUUAGGGUGGCCUGAUGUCACGGUUCACGCGGUGACCACGUUCGUCCGGGCGUGCUGGCAUGCAAAACACGCACUUUGCGUGCCGCCUAGCGCUCUGUUGAGUGUGUGCUCGCUGCCUAGCCUGCCCGAGCAUGCCAAGCCUCACCACCAUCCCCAUCUCCACUCCCUUAACUCCCCCCUAGCACUCGCCGAUGCCGGAGCUCGCCGCAGCGGGCAUGGGCACGGUCCGGCCAACGACACAGUGAAUGGCGCACUGUGCUCGUCGUCUUCCCCCUCGCCCCUGUGCUCGUCCGCGCCCACCAAUAGUUCCCGCGUGACCUCCGUCGUCUUCCCCCUCUCUCACUGGCGUCGUUCGUCACCGGGCGCCAUGGAAAGGUGUCCUCCGGCGGAGCUCGAACCCCUCUCACCGCCCGCCUAUAAAUGUUGCCACCCCAACCCUCCUUGAGCACCCGCUGCUACUCCCACACCCUCCACAAACUAGUAGAAGACGCAGCCCGACCGGGCAGGCCGCUGGCUGCCGUCCCGAAGCCCGAGCUCGCCGGCGAUCCCCUCCGGAUCGUCCCCACAGCUCGGAUCCCUCCCAGGCCAGGCGACCCUGCCAAGGCCUCCGCCACUCUUCGGUGAAGCUGUUCCGCCCCACUGGAGCCCCUGGACACGCCCCGAGCCGCCGUCGUCUUUGUCUCCAGCGACCUCUGCCCUCUGCCUCCGCUGGAGAGGCCGUUUCCGACGCCGUCCGGUCACCUCUAGCCACGCUACGGGUACGGGCAGGUGUGCCAUCUUCUUCUCCUUCGAUCCCCCUCUUGUUUGACCCCAAGAACCCUCGUCGCCGGCGUGUGCUCCGAUGAAGCUCCGCCUCCCUCUGUUUCCUUCUCCCCCUCCUUCUGGCCUGACUAGCAGGGCCUGCUAGCUAGCCACUCAGUACGCGCGCGAAGCGGUACGAGUGGUGGCGUCCUGGGCUUUUACGCCUUUGACGUCACCCCCUCCCCCAGUAUGUUUAUUUUUUAUUUCAAAUUCAUUUAAAUCCAGGAGACUUCAAACAGCCAUAACUUUUUAUCUAUAAGUCCAAAUGCAUUGAUUCUUUUUGCAUUGUGUUCUUUGUCAAAAAAUCUAACAGCACCCAAAAUAUGGGAUUUUUCCUUGCUGCCUAGAUUUUCUGGUAAUUUUCAGAAGGUUUCUUGAUGUUUUCUUUCUGUGGUUUUAUUUAUUUUCAGAAGAGCAAGCUUGUCUUGAGGAUCACCAGGAGAUUUGUGAACCUCAUCAGCACUAAGGCAAGCCACAACAACAUUUUCAUAGUGACACUUCAAUAUUUGUGAUUUUCCUACUUGAACUUAUGAUUAUUCAUGCAUUUAAAUAAUUAUUAUGAUAAUUAUAUUCUGUUAGAUGCUUGUCAUGUUAAAUAUGCUUGAUUUACAGAAAGUUUGAAAUGAAUCUUGCUGGUAAGCUAACAAGAACUUAGAUAUGAGUAAUGAUAAAAUGAUAUGGUCAUGGAGGUUAAUAAUUAGUUUAAUUAUUAUUCUUGCAUGAUGAAAAAUGAUGAGAUUGCUAGAAAUGGUUCUGGUUUAAGUGAGGUUUGAUCUUAACCAGAGAAGUAUCUUGAGUUGACGAUGGCUCCGUGGGAGCGUAGUUGAUUUAGUUAUUUUCAUGGUUAUGUGAUGCAUAUGUUAGUGAUGCAUAGCAUGGCAUUAUGACACCGGUUACUUUCACUUUAAGUUGAACCUGAUAAAUAACUCAACUUGAAUAUGUUGUUGACCGGGUCGUGGUGCCGCUGAAGCGAGUUUUUCCCAGUGCAACCACAUUUGCCGGUAUGGGACGGCCUUAAUGUGUUUCAUUGUCGUGCCUCUGGUCGGUGCCUCCAUCUAGGGAAGGUUAUGGGCAUGCUAUACCCUUGCCCAGUAAGCAGGCAUAACCUUGUGUGCACGUUGAUGAGUUAAGUGUUUGGGUCCCAGAGUGGAUCGUUGCCACGACGGUGGUUUGACGUGUCUUGAGGUAGACACGGGGCCACCCAGGACUAGCCCGAUGGGGAUUGAGUCGGAGUGGCUGGGAGAGUGUCAUGACAAUGAAGUGGUUUCGUCGGAAUGCCGUUGGUCCACCCGAAUGGGAGUGCGAGGCCAUGGGCUCCAUAGUGUGGGUCCAGUGCGCUACCUCUGCAGAGUGUAUUAAUCUAUCGAUAGCCGAGUCCACGGUUAUGGACAUGCUCGAAAGUAGGGUACACCAUGGGUCAACACUUAAUAAAUUUGCACACUGAGAUUUGCACUGAGGUAAUGGCAGUGAGGCCAUCGUGUUGAGUUGGACCAGGUGUGGUCUGGUUGUGAUCGCCAUAAGGAUCACGGUUUGAGACCAAGUGUUGGUCAGGGUUGUGAUCGCCGUAAGGAUCACGAGAUUGUUGUUGAGUUCUUCAUGUUUGUGGUCUGGAAAUGAUCACGUUCGGUAAGCCAGACCAUGGGACGAGUACCACUUGAGCAUAUUCAUAGGAUGUUGGAUAUAUUAUUGCAUUGUUAUUAAUUGGUUAAGUAUUAUGAUAUUGUUUGUCAUUAUGUUUAUGCUUGUUGUGAGAUUGCAAGUACAUUCAAUGUACUGACCUGGCGUGUCAUGCCAGAUUUCAGGAAAGUCUCGUUGGAAAGGGGAGCUGUCCGAGUCUAGAUCGUCUCCACAUUGGUGUCCCUGUGCUAUGGAGUCCCGCUACGACGUUGUUCCACUGUCGCGUAGUUGUCAUGAUCGAGGCCCCUUUAUGUUUACUAAAUAAUGUACAUAUUGUUCAGCCGCACCGUCUGUGCCGCUUGGCCUCGCUAACUGUUGUAAUAUGAAUUAUGCUCCGCUAGCAUGAAUAAAGCGGUUGUUUUUCUGUACCAAGUUGUUGUGUGUUGCCAGAAGACAAGGUCUCUGGGCUGGCAAUACAGGGUAAACCGGUCGCUCUCAGCUGGGGUGCCACAACACUUGGUAUCAGAGCCGCGCUGACUGUAGGCCACGCUAGACUACGCCGAGUUAACUGGAUGUUAGAUACGAGUUGUAGUUGAGUGUCGGUAGCCUAUUGUAGCUGCUUGUUGCAUUGCAUGCACUGAUUUUUAUUUUUAUGCUAACAUGCUAAUGGUUGUCAGUGUAGAUGGCUCCGGUGAUGUAUCCGUGCCAGUUGCAGCUGAUGCCGUACACGUCGCCGCAUCUCCUUCGUAACGUGUGGUGUCGGCUGUACCCUCACGAUGACGAUCCAGUCUAUCGUGUGUACUGGGAGCGUCUAGCUGACUCAGUGUAUGAGUAUCACGCCGUGGUUACUCUGCGUACCAGUUCCGAUUCCAGCUCUUACAUUCGUACUUCUCGAAGCGGCUACGCUUCUACCGCUUCUCAGGCUGUCCAGUUUGUUGCAUUCGAGGUACUCGUUGAGCUCCGUUACAACGAGGUCCGGAUGCAUAACCACCCCGGUUUCCACUACUAUCCUUCUCUCCACGAUAAUGGUCAUGUCCGUUUCCCUGUCAUUGAUCCGGAGUCUGAUAGUGUAGGUAGCCACCUUUCUCGCUAUAUCAUUGCUAGCUAUCUUCUGAGCUACGAGCUGGCUCGUGAGCUGAGUCGUGGUUGUACUGCUUUAGCCUCUGCUUUAGUCUCUGCUAGCUCAGCCACUACUCCACCAUCUGUAGGAUUUACUCCCUAUAUUCCUGCCAGUUCUAGAUCCCCUGUUUCCCCGUUUACUCCUCCGAGUAGCUCGGGCACCGCAACUGUGAGUCCACUUAGUGCUCCUGCUGAGUGGGUUUCACUCCUCGCCACUCCUUUAGCCCCGAUGAUUCACCCUCCACCUGCCCCAGAGGGAGAGCCCUCGAGGCAGCGUCGUCGUGUCACUUUUAACCUGGAGGUCUCAGUUAACCCCGUCAGUUUAGGAUCCGAAUCCGCUUCAGGAGAGGACUUCGCAGCACCAGCAGAGCAGUAGAGCUUCCGAGUAUUCGCAGUCAUCGGGAUGGAGUAUGGAUGUAGUUGUACGAGUCCUGAUGUUUCAUGUAUGAGGGUAGUUGGACCUGGCAUGUUGUUAUCAUUCAUGUAUGAGUCUAUGUAUAAUUAUGUUGGACUUUAUUUUAUUCGUCGUAUUUUCUUUGCCAUUUCAGUUUUACUUGGAUUUUGUUGUUGGCUUCUCCCCAACUUAUUUUGAAUGCUUCUCAUCUCGGUUGUGUUGCCUUGGGAAUAAUCAUAUUAGGAUGACGCGGGGAGGCUGCAGUAGCAAUGUUCGUGAGGGUUCUCCUGUUCAUUGUUCCACACGACAGGCAGGACACUCACCCGAGCCGUACGUUCCACCAGCGCCUCCACCGCCAAAUCCGCCCUCCACCGAGCAAAUUAUGCGUAUGUUUGAGGAAAGACGAAAUAAUGAUCUGAUGGAAAUAUUCAGAAGUAUUCAAGCUGUGGUUGGACAGAAUGGAAAUCAGCCCGGUCAUCACUCCAAGCUAUCUGAUUUUCAAAGGACUAAGCCUCCCAGUUUCAGUCAGGCCAUUGAUCCCUUGGAUGCAGACGAUUGGCUGAGAACUAUGGACAAGAAGCUUGAGGUUGCUCGAACUGAUGAAGGGGAUAAAGUUCCAUUUGUAACACAUUAUCUUGAAGGCGCUGCUGCCAUAUGGUGGGAAAAUGAAAAAGCCAUGUGGACUGCUGAUGAAGAAAUUAGCUGGUUAAGAUUCAAGGAACGAUUCCGGAAAUAUCACAUCCCUAAGGGAAUUAUGAAGACUAAGCAACGUGAAUUUCUCGCGCUCCUCCAAGGAAGUCAGCCUGUGGGAGAAUAUUUGCAGAAAUUCAAUCAUCUGUCACGUUACUCUCAAUAUGACGUGGCCACUGAGGAAAGAAAGAUGGACAGGUUUCUUGGUGGGUUAAACCCGCAACUCCGUUGUACUCUCAGUAUGUUCGAUUUCCCAGACUUCCAAGCUCUAGUGAACAAGGCUUUCAUUGCUGAAAGGGAACACAAGCUUGUAUCAGAUGCUAAGCCUGCCAACAAUGAUCACAAGCGCAAGUUUGAGCCAAGAAAAGAAAUGCAACCAGUGCAGAAGGCUCGUACCUAGCAGCCGACUCAGGUAGCAUACAAGCCCAAUUGGCAACAAAAUGUUAAUAAGACCACCACCCAAGUCAAGAAUGACAUGUUCAACCCAAUUCUAGAGAAUCGUCUGUGCAGCAAUUCCUGUUUCAAUUGUGGGCAAACCGGACAUUAUGCCAAGCAGUGUCCCAUGAACAAUCGGACCAAUACUACAUUCAAGCCACAAGUCCAUUAUAUGGAGGCAUGCCCAGAUCAGCAUGACCUCACGGGAUACAUUCAUCACAUUUACGCCGACGAAGCCCAAGAGAACCCCGAAGUCGUCAUUGGUAUGUUCCCUGUUAAUAACAUACCUGCAGUAAUUUUAUUUGACUCUGGGGCUUCCCACUCUUUUAUUUCUCGGAGUUUUGUUGCCCAAAACAAAUUUCCUUGUUUGCUUUUGGGCAAGAAUAUGCUGGUACAAACCUCGGGAUCUCUAAUCAGAAGCAAUAUAGUCUGCCGUAAUCUCGAAGUCAAUAUCAAUGGAGUCCAUUUUCCAACUUCUUUGAUACUUAUUGAAUCCAAUAAGUUGGAUGUUAUCUUGGGUAUGAAUUGGCUGACUCAGUAUCAAGUAUGCAUAAAUUGUGCGACCUGAGAAGUCAACUUGACCAGCCAAGAGGGACAAACUACAAAAUUUAUUGCUCGUAGGAGCAUACCCUCCAAGGAAAUGGUCUUUACAGCAACGGCUGAAAUGGAGUUAAUUCCGGUGGUCAACGAGUUUCCUGAUGUAUUCCCAGAAGAACUGCCAGGCAUGCCACCAGAUUGAGAGCUUGAUUUUGUGAUAGAUCUUGUGCCCGGAACCGCACCAAUACACAAGAAGUAUUAUCGAAUGCCGUCAUCAGAAUUAGUGGAGCUAAAGAAAUAGCUUGAUGAAAUACUCCAGAAAGGGUAUAUCUGCCCCAGCUCCUCACCAUGGGGAUCACCUGCUAUUUUCGUGGACAAGAAAGAUGGUAGCCUCCGCAUGUGUGUGGAUUACCAUCAGCUGAAUGAUGUCACAAUCAAAAACAAAUACCCUCUGCCAAGAAUUGAUGAUUUGUUUGAUCAGCUUAGUGGGGCCAAGGUAUUCUCCAAGAUCGAUUUACGGACUGGGUAUUAUCAGCUCAAAAUUAAAUAGGAGGAUAUUCCCAAGACCGCAUUCACCACUCGCUACGGUCUCUAUGAAUAUACAGUCAUGUCUUUUGGCCUCACCAACGCCCCCGCCUUCUUCAUGCACAUGAAGAAUAAAGUAUUCAUGGACUUCCUCGAUAAGUUCGUGGUCGUCUUCAUCGAUGAUAUAUGAAGGAAAUAUGCCCUAGAGGCAAUAAUAAAGUUAUUAUUUAUUUCCUUAUAAUCAUGAUAAAUGUUUAUUAUUCAUGCUAGAAUUGUAUUAACCGAAAACAUAAUACAUGUGUGAAUACAUAGACAAACAAAGUGUCACUAGUAUGCCUCUACUUGACUAGCUCGUUAAUCAAAGAUGGUUAUGUUUCCUAACCAUGAACAAUGAGUUGUUAUUUGAUUAACGAGGUCAUAUCAUUAGUUGAAUGAUCUGAUUGACAUGACCCAUUCCAUUAGCUUAGCACCCGAUCGUUUAGUAUGUUGCUAUUGCUUUCUUCAUGACUUAUACAUGUUCCUAUGACUAUGAGAUUAUGCAACUCCCAUUUUCCAGAGGAACACUUUGGGUGCUACCAAACGUCACAACGUUACUGGGUGAUUAUAAAGGAGCAUUACAGGUGUCUCCAAAGGUAGAUGUUGGGUUGGCGUAUUUCGAGAUUAGGAUUUGUCACUCCGAUUGUCGGAGAGGUAUCUGUGGGCCCUCUCGGUAAUACACAUCACAUAAGCCUUGCAAGCACUACAAAUAAUAUGUUAGUUGUGAGAUGAUGUAUUACGGAACGACUAAAGAGACUUGCCAGUAACGAGAUUGAACUAGGUAUUGGAUACCGACGAUCGAAUCUCAGGCAAGUAACAUACCGAUGACAAAGGGAACAACGUAUGUUGUUAUGCGGUCUGACCGAUAAAGAUCUUCGUAGAAUAUGUAGGAGCCAAUAUGGGCAUCCAGGUCCCGCUAUUGGUUAUUGACCGGAGACGUGUCUCGGUCAUGUCUACAUUGUUCUCGAACCCAUAGGGUCCGCACGCUUAAGGUUACGAUGACAGUUAUAUUAUGAGUUUAUGCAUUUUGAUGUACCGAAGGUUGUUCGAAGUCCCGGAUGUGAUCACGAACAUGACGAGGAGUCUCGAAAUGGUCGAGACAUAAAGAUUGAUAUAUUGGAAGCCUAUAUUUGGAUAUCGGAAGUGUUUCGGGUGAAAUCGGGAUUUUACCGGGUUACCGGGAGGUUACCGGAACCCCCCGGGAACCAUAUGGGCCUUCGUGGGCCUUAGUGGAAAGAAGAAAGGGGCAGCCCAAGGUGGCUGCGCCACUUCCCCCUCCCCUAGUCCUAUUAGGACUAGGAGAAGGUGGCCGGCCCCCCUCUCCCUCUUUCCCCCUUUGGGGAAUCCUAGUUGGAAUAGGAUUGGGGGGGAGUCCUACUCCCGGAAGGAGUAGGACUCCUCCUGCGCCCUCCUCCCUUGGCCGGCGCCCCCUCCCCCCUUGGAUCCUUUAUAUACUGAGGCAGAGGCACCCCAGAAACAGACAAGUUGAUCCACGUGAUCUAUUCCUUAGCCGUGUGCGGUGCCCCCUGCCACCAUAUUCCUCGAUAAUACUGUAACGGAGUUUAGGCGAAGCCCUGCUGCUGUAGUUCAUCAAGAUCGUCACCACGCCGUCGUGCUGACGGAACUCUUCCCCGACACUUUGCUGGAUCGGAGUCCGGGGAUCGUCAUCAAGAUGAACGUGUGCUCAAACUCGGAGGUGCCGUAGUUUUGGUGCUUGAUCGGUUGGAUCGUGAAGACGUACGACUACUUCCUCUACGUCGUGUCAUCGCUUCCGCAGUCGGUCUACGUUGGGUACGUAGACAACACUCUCCCCCUCGUUGCUAUGCAUCACAUGACCUUGCGUGUGCGUAGGAAAAUUUUGAAAUUACUACGAAACCCAACAAUAUACUCAUUUACUCAAGAAGUGAAGAAGAGCAUAAGGAACACCUCCGAGCAGUGUUACAACGACUCCGUGAGCAUCAGUUAUACGCCAAAUUCAGUAAAUGUGAGUUUUGGCUCAAGCAAGUUGGAUUCCUCGGGCAUGUGCUAUCCGCUGAAGGUAUAGCCAUGGACCCAAGCAAGGUAAAGGAUGUGCUCGGCUGGUUGCCACCCGCAACCGUAUCCCAGAUCCGGAGUUUUCUUGGAUUAGCCGGAUAUUACCACCGUUUCAUUGAAAGGUUUUCCAAGAUUGCUAAACCCAUGACAGAGCUGCUCAAAAAGGAUAAAAAGUUUGAAUGGACUGAGGAUUGUGAGAAAAGUUUCACUGAGUUAAAGAAACGACUGACAAUUGCACCAGUAUUAACACUUCCAGAUAUAUACCGCAGCUUUGAUGUGUACAGCGACGCUUCCAGGCAAGGUCUGGGAUGCGUGCUUAUGCAAGAUGGCAAGGUAGUAGCUUACGCCUCACGAUAGCUACAAACCCACGAAGGGAAAUACCCCACUCAUGAUUUGGAAAUGGCCGUGGUAGUUCAUGCUUUAAAAAUUUGGAGACACUACCUCAUCGGAAAAAGGUGCCAAAUUUUUACCGAUCACAAAAGCCUCAAAUAUAUAUUUACUCGGCCAGAUUUAAAUCUCCGUCAAUGAAGAUGGCUUGAUUUGGUCAAGGAUUAUGACCUUGGAAUAAAUUACCAUCCGGGUAAGGCCAACGUGGUUGCCGAUGUGCUCAGUCGAAAGCCCGUCAGUUUAAAUGUCCUAUUGGAAUCUUUGCCUCCUGAACUUAAAGAAGAGAUUGCUCAGCUCAACCUGGUCAUAGUUGAGGCCGGCCUUGCCAAUAUUCUGGAAGUUACCCCUACUCUUGAGGAAGAAAUCCGCAAGGCCCAGCCAGGUGACACCGAUCUGCAAAAACAUGCCAAGCAUUCCGAUUUCUCGAAGAAUCAGUACGGUACCCUCUGAUUUAGGGGAAGGAUUUGUGUGCCCAAUCAAGCGGAUUUAAAGCAGAAGAUCCUGUCAGAAGCCCACGAAUCCUCAUAUUCCAUUCACCCUGGAGGUACAAAAAUGUAUGAAAACCUUCGAAAAUAUUCUGGUGGGAUGGAUUGAAGAAAUACAUUGCUUAUUUCGUGGCUUGUUGCGACAUAUGCAACAAAGUAAAGGCAGAACAUCAGAAGCCAGCUGGACUUCUCCAACUGUUGCCAGUGUCACAAUGGAAAUGGGAUGUCUGUAUGGAUUUUAUCACCGGACUACCUAAGACCCGACGGGGCAGUGAUGCGAUCUGGGUCAUAGUGGACACAUUAACCAAGGUAGCCCACUUCCUCCCGAUCAGGACCUCAUAUCGAGCAGAUGAGCUUGCACAAUUGUAUGUGUCCAAAAUAGCCAGUCUGCAUGGAGUCCCCCGAACCAUUACUUCUGACCGAGGUUCACUUUUUACCUCCGCUUUUUGGUCCAGUCUCCAUCGAGCCUUAGGGACAGAGUUGAAGUAUAGUACCGCUUAUCAUCCUCAGACUGAUGGACAGGCAGAACGAGUAAACCAAAUACUCGAGGAUAUGUCGCGAGCCUGUGUUUUGGCCCAAGGCCCAAAAUGGGAAGACUGCUUGCCGUACGCCAAGUUCUCGUAUAACAAUAGCUUCCAGACUAGUUUAAAGAUGUCACCGUAUGAAGCUUUGUUUGGCCGUAAGUGCUGCACUCCAUUAAAUUGGUCUCAAACCGGAGAUAGCCAUGUUUUCGGAACGGAUCUCAUGCUGGAAGCCGAAAAGAAAGUCAAGGAAAUUAGAGACAGACUGCAGUUGGCCAAAUCACGACAAAGAAGUUAUUAUGAUGCAAAGCACCGUUAGAUCAGCUUUGAACCCGGAGAACAUGUCUAUCUUUGAGUCACGCCUAUGAAUGGUAUCAAGAGGUUUCAGACUCGUGGAAAAUUGGCACCCAGAUUCAUUGGUCCAUUUCCUGUUAUGACGCGGGUGGGUGUUGUGGCAUAUCAGUUGGAGUUGCCCCCUGAAUUGUCAAACAUGCACAACGUGUUCCAUGUUUCCCAAUUGCGACGAUGCAUAUCGCUGCCUGACACAAAGACUGAUUUGACAGAAAUAGACCUGGCAAAGGACUUAACAUAUGAAGAAAGGCCGGUAAAUAUUUUGGAUCAAAUGGAAAUAUUUACUCGCAGUAAAGCACGGAAGUUUUACAAAGUCCAAUGGAAGCAUCAUACCGAGUCAGAAUCAACAUGGGAAUCAGAAGAAUUUCUAAGGGCAUGUUAUCCAGAAUGGUUUUCCCAAGCAACCGAAUCUCGAGGACGAGAUUCAUUCUAAGUGGGGGAGGUUUGUGACAGCCUGGUUUUUGCCCUCUUUUCUUUGUCUGGUUUUCAGUUGAGUUGGUUUUGAAUUUGGAGUUUUUGAAUCACUUCAUUUGGACUUAACCACUUGGGUACCCCUUGACUUUCACCCAAAUGCUCCGCAUCCUCCUCAAAACCAUCAUUUCACCUCUGGAUCAACUCAAAAUAUUGCUUGGAAUAUUUUUCUUAAAUGAAAAAUAUUCAUUUUGCCAUCCAAAACCCUAGCUAGCCCUUUGUGCUCCAAAGCAACCCUAAUUUUUCUUGCCCCAAAAAUCCUGAGAAAAAUCCCAAUUUUUCUUUGAACCCUAGGGAACCUUUCUGAGCAAAAAUAUGCCAUCACUCUUUGGAAAAUUUUGGCUACAGAAAAUAAAUUCGUUUCUGGACAUAAAUGGUAGUUUCUACAGAACCUACCAUUUUACUAGCUCCAUUGUAGCUGGUUUUUCUUGUGCCUAUUUACCUUAGUAAGUGUAAGCUAGUCUCCAAAGCUCAGCCCUUAACUCCCAGUGGUUUGACCUCAGUAAACCUCCAAAGUUACUGUCCAGAAACUUGCUAGCAGCAUAAAUCCAUUUCUACUGCACCUGGAUCCAAGCCCGACCGUGGUAACACUUCAAACUACCAAGGACUACACGCCAGACAUCAAGUUAGCGCUUAGGGUGGCCUGAUGUCACGGUUCAUGCGGUGACCGUGUUCGUCCGGGUAUGCUGGCAUGCAAAACACGCGCUCUGCGUGCCGCCUAGCGCUCUGUUGAGCGUGUGCUCGCUGCCCAGCGUGCCCGAGCAUGCCAAGCCUCACCACCAUCCUCGUAUCCACUCCCUUAACUCCCCAUGGCACUCGCUGAUGCCGGAGCUCGCCUCGGCGGUCACGGGCACGGACCGGCAAACGACACAGCGCAUAGUGCAUUGUGCUCGUCGUCUUCCCCUUCGCCCAAGUGCUCGUCGGCGCCUGCCAAUAGUUCCCGCGUGACCUCUAUCAUCUUCCCCGUCUCUCACUGGUGCCGUUCGUCGCCGGGCACCGUGGAUAGGUGUCCUCCGGCGGAGCCCGAACCCCUCUCGCCGCCCGCCUAUAAAUGUCGCCACCCCAGCCCUCCUUGAGCACCCACAGCUACUCCCACACCCUCCACAAACUAGUAGAAGACGCAGCCCGGCCGGGCAGGCCGCGGGCUGUUGUCCCGAAGCCCGAGCUCACCGGUGAUCCCCUCCGGAUCGUGCCCGACGCUCCGACCCCUCCCAAUCUAGGGCGACCCUGCCAGGGCCUCCGCCACUCUUCGGUGAAGCCAUUCCGCCCCGCUGGAGCCCCUAGCGCCGCCCCGAGCCGCUGUCGUCUUCGUCUUUGGCGACCUCUGCCCUCUGCCUCUGCUGGAGAGGCCGUUUCCGACACCGUCCGGUCACUUCUAUCCACGCUAGGGGUAUGGGCAGGUGCGCCAUCUUCUUCUCCUUCGAUCCUCCCCCCCCCUCAUGUUUCACCCCAAGAACCCUCGUCGCGGGCGUGUGCUCCGACGAAGCUCCGCCUCCCUCUGUUUCCUUCUCCCCCUCCUUUUGGCCUGACUAGUGGGGCCUGCUAGCCAGCCACUCAGUAUGUGCGCGAAGCGGUACGAGUGGUGGCGUCCUGGGCUUUUACGCCUUCGACGUCACCCCCCCCCCAGUCUAUUUAUUUUUAUUUCAAAUUCAUUUAAAUCCAGGAAACUUCAAACAGCCAUAACUUUUUAUCUAUAAGUCCAAAUGCAUUGAUUCUUUUUGCAUUGUGUUCUUUGUCCAUAUCUAACAGCACCCAAAAGAUGGGAUUUUUCCUUGCUACCUAGAUUUUCUGGUAAUUUUCAGAAGGUUUCUUGAUGUUUUCUUUCUGUGGUUUUAUUUAUUUUCAGAAGAGCAAGCUUGUCUUGUGGAUCACCAGGAGAUUUGUGAACCUCAUCAGCACUAAGGCAAGCCACAACAACAUUUUCAUAGUGCCACUUCAAUAUUUGUGAUUUUCCUACUUGAACUUAUGAUUAUUCAUGCAUUUAAAUAAUUAUUAUGAUAAUUAUAUUCUGUUAGAUGCUUGUCGUGUUAAAUAUGCUUGAUUUACAGAAAGUUUGAAAUGAAUCUUGUUGGUAAGCUAACAAGAACUUAGAUAUGAGUAAUGAUAAAAUGAGUGUAUUAAUCUAUCGAUAGCCGAGUCCACGGUUACGGACACGCUCGAAAGUAGGGUACACCAUGGGUCAACACUUAAUAAAUUUGCACACUGAGAUUUGCACUGAGGUAAUGGCAGUGAGACCAUCGUGUUGAGUUGGACCAGGUGUGGUCUGGUUGUGAUCGCCGUAAGGAUCACGGUUUGAGACCAAGUGUUGGUCAGGGUUGUGAUCGCCGUAAGGAUCACGAGAUUGUUGUUGAGUUCUUCAUGUUUGUGGUCUGGAAAUGAUCACGUUCGGCAAGCCAGACCAUGGGACGAGUACCACUUGAGCAUAUUCAUAGGAUGUUGGAUAUAUUGUUGCAUUGUUAUUGAUUGGUUAAGUAUUAUGAUAUUGUUUGUCAUUAUGUUUAUGCUUGUUGUGAGAUUGCAAGUACAUUCAAUGUACUGACCUGGCGUGUCAUGCCAGAUUUCAGGAAAGUCUCGUUGGAAAGGAGAGCUGUCCGAGUCUAGAUUGUGUCCACAUUGGUGUCCCUGUGCUAUGGAGUCCCGCUACAACGUUGUUCCGCUGUCGCGUAGUUGUCAUGAUCGAGGCCCCUUUAUGUUUACUAAAUAAUGUACAUAUUGUUCAGCCGCACCGUGAGUGCCGCUUGGCCUCGCUAACUGUCGUAAUAUGAAUUAUGCUCCGCUAGCAUGAAUAAAGUGGUUGUUUUUCUAUACCAAGUUGUUGUGUGUUGCCAGAAGACAAGGUCUCUGGGCUGGAAAUACAGGGUAAACCGGUCACUCUGAGCCGGGGUGCCACAAUACACAAGUGUUCUUCCUUGCAAGACUAACCCAUGUAGGAAGAUGAACUUCAAAUACAAGUGAUGCUACGAACUCUUGAUGAUCUACAUUAACUUGAGCCCCAUACACAAGUUCAACUACAUGACCAAGUUCAUCACCACCGCCCGAGGUAUGUCAUUCCAUCUUAGAGAAGCUUAACCCCAAGACAUGGGUCAAAGCAACUCAACAAGAUGAGAAUACAUCAAAAUGCUUAAAUGAAAAAUGGCAACCCCAUUUUGAGCUUAAACAAUGAGUAUGACCUAUGAUCAAGUGUCUUCACUUGACUCCUAAGUCAAUAUACUCUAACAUAGGUGACUUUGUCGCCGACAAAUUCUAGAUGAAGUUCUCUGUUGUUUCUUUGUGCCCUUGCAUUUGUCUCAUGCAUGCUAGUUCCCCUUUAAAAAAAACUUCAUCUAGAUUUCUUUUCUUUUCUUUUCUCUGUUAUUUUCUGCAUUUCCCUACAUCCAAUUCAUUGUAGAUCAUUCAGUUAAUUCCUUGCAUAUCCUUGUGAGAUCUUAUUUGCCUAAGUGAGCUAAGGUGACAAGAAUUUACUCUCCGGGUUGAACUCGGUCUCACCGGAUUGGUUUCUUCGGCUGAACCGAAUCAACUCGGUGCCAUCGAAUGCAACCACUCAAUGCUACCGAUUUCAGUCCUGAGUCAAAAUCUGUGUCACUUGCAUUCUGCAUAUUUGUCCCAGCUCCACUCUUUGUAACUUGUCCUCUACCAGCAUCAAUAUUACAUGUGGCUUUGUAAUGUGACUCUAGGACCAAACCCACUUGACUCAUGCUCCAGAAGUCCCUUGUUGGAAAUUGAUGUCAAAGGGGGAGAGAGAACACAUCAAAGUUUAUCACAUAAGAGAGAAUGCACUCAUAAUAGCUUCUCCUGAUGCUCUUAUUCUUAAGAGGAAAGUUGUCUCAUGUCUUCAAGAGGGGAAAGACAUGAUAGUAUAUGUUAUGGUCCUAUCUUGCUCUGAUUAGAAUAUUUUCUUGUUUGCUCUGAUUUUCUAAUACUCUAUCUACUCCCAUUAUCUCAUGUCAGAUUCAUGGGGAGAAAGACAUCUAAGGGAAGAAAACUUUAUUCUUGGGGACAUGUCAAUAUCCAAAUAGAGUACCUAGUACUCACACUCUACAUGUCAUCCCAGUCUUGGUAUUGCUGUGCUCUUUAGUUCUUGCUCUGUCUAGUAGAUGUUCCUGUGUUAUCUAACCUUGUUUACCAAGGUACAUCUUCUUCAAGCUAGCUCAAGACCACAAGGUAAGUAUAUGCAUCACACUCAUGUGCAUGAAGAUCUCUUGCUGUGGUACAUAUUGUUUGCAAGAGAGACUCAUGGACAUGAAGGUAUAAUUCCAGUAUCUAUAUCAUUUGCUCUGAUGCAUAUAGCCAAGAUACAUGUAACUCAUUGCUUGCUCUGACAUGUUUAUGCAUUCUCAUACUCUUAUGGUCUAUCAUCACAUGAUUGCAUACAUUGUAGGGGGAGCCAAUGCAUGUUGCAUGUCCUUCCAAAGCUUUACUAGCUAUUUCCUUAUAUCUUUAUCUAAAGCUUUGAUUUAUGUUGUCAUCAAUUACCAAAAAGGGGGAGAUUGAAAGCAUAAGUGCUCCCUGGGUGAUUUUGGUAAUUCAUGACAACAUAUCUCUUGUUGGACUAAUACUUCUACCUAGUGCAUUUCAGAAAAGUUCAACAUUGGAGUGGCAUGGGCAUGGACAAGAGGAUGUGGAACUCGUUCAAGAUGCUAAGGACAAACAUUGGCAAAAGAUCAAGACUCUGCAUUUUCUAUUUUAGUGAUCCAAGAUCACAUUGAGUCCAUAGGAAAGCCAAUACUAUUAAAAGGGGAUGAGGUGUUGCUUAAUGGCUUGCUUGCUCAAAGUGCUUAGUGAUAUGCUCCAAAACCCUCAGCCACUUUCUCACAUCCACAUAUGUCCUAAAACCUAAAUGUCAAACUCGGCCCCACCGGUUUGAACUAUCCGGCGCCACCGAGUUCAUCUUCUCCAGCCACUACCAAACCCUAGUUACUUCGGUAUCACUGAUGGGAUCUCGGUCUCACCUAGAUGGGCUUGCAAUCUCUCUGUGAUCUGGUGCAACCUUCUCGGUCUAACCGAGUUUGUGCAGUCGGUCCCACCGAGUUUGCUUGACCAAUCCUCUGUUUACUUAUUACCAAAAUCGGUCCUAUCAAGUUUGAGUAGUCGGUGAAACCGAGUUGAGGUUUUACCCUAACCCCUUCACAUCGGUCCCACCGAGAUGACUAUAUCGGUCCCACCGAAAAUCUAACGUUCACAUUUUUACCUGGAUCAGUCUGACCGAGUUUGUUAAUUCGGUCCCAACGGUUAGAUCUUGUGUGGAGGCUAUAUAUACCCCUCCACCCACUCUUCAUUCGUGGAGAGAGCCAUCAGAACAAACCUACACUUGCACUACUUCUCGAUCCUUUCACAUAAUUCUCCCCCCCCCCUCUAGACACCUCUUCUCGAUCCUUUCACAUAAUUCUUCUGUGCAGCAAUGAGCAUAAUCCUCAAGUUACGGACCUUGUCCGUGUAGUUGCUGCCAUCAUCUUUCAACUUAGCUUUCUCUAGGAACACAUUAAAAUUCAAAGGAACGGUAGCACGGGCCAUUGAUCUACAACAUAGAUAUGCAAAAACUAUCAGGACUAAGUUCAUGAUAAAUUAAGUUCAGUUAAUUAUAUUACUUAAGAACUCCCACUUAGAUAGACAUCCCUCUAGUCAUCUAAAUGAUACGUGAUCCAAAUCGACUAAACCAUGUUCGAUCAUCACGUGAUAUGGAGUAGUCCCAAUGGUGAACAUCACUAUGUUGAUCAUAUCUACUAUAAGAUUCACGUUCGACCUUUCGGUCUCCAGUGUUCCGAGGCCAUAUCUAUAUAUGCUAGUCUCAUCAAGUUUAACCCGAGUAUUCUGCGUGUGCAAAUAUGGCUUGCACCCGUUGUAUUUGAACGUAGAGCUUAUCACACCCGAUCAUCACAUGGUGUCUCGGUACGAAGAACUUUUGCAAUGGUGCAUACUCGGGGAGAACACUUAUACCUUGAAAUUUAGUGAGGGGUCAUCUUAUAAUGCUACCGCCCUACUAAGAAAAAUAAGAUUCAUAAAAGAUAACCAUCGCAUGCAAUCAAAAUAUGUGACAUGAUAUAGCCAUCAUCAUCUUGUGCUCAUGAUCUCCAUCACCAAAGCAACAUCAUGAUCUCCAUCGUCACCGGCUUGACCCCUUGAUCUCCAUCGCAGCGUCAUGGUGGUCUCGCAAACCGUUGCUUAGCGAUAAAGUAAAGCAAUUAAAUAGCGCUUACAAAAAAGUGACAAUCAUAUGGCUCCUGCCAGUUGCCGAUAACUUUUACAAAACAUGAUCAUCUCAUACAACAAUCUUUAUAUCACUUUCAUUUACCAAAAAUGACAUUGCAGUUUCCAGCCGGGAGGCACAGUCUCAUACAAGCAACUUCUCUUCCUCUUUCGAAAAGUAGCAUCAUGUCUUGACCAUAUCACAUCACAACAUGCCUUGCAAAAACAAGUUAGACAUCCUCUACUUUGUUUGUUGCACGUUUUACGUGACUGCUACAGGCUUCUAGCAUGAACCGUACAUACCUACAACACAAAAACCACAACAGUGAUUUAUCAAGUUUGUUGUUUUAACCUUCACAAGGACCGGCCGCAGUCAAAUCCGAUUCAAAUAAAGUUGGAGAAACAGACACGCGCUAGCCACCUUUAUGCAAAACUAGUUGCAUGUCAGUCGGUGGAAUCGGUCUCAUGAACGCGGUCAUGUAAGGUUGGUCCAGGCCGCUUCAUCCAACAAUACCGCUGAAUCAAAAUAAGACAUUGGUGGUAAGUAGUAUGAUGAUCACCGCCCACAACUCUUUGUGCUUAUGCAUAUCAUCUACGCAUAGACCUGGCUCGGAUGCCACUGUUGGGAAAUGCAACAUGCAAUUUAAAAAAAAAAUCCUACGCUCAUGCAAGAUCUAUCUAGGAGAUGCAUAGCAAUGAGAGGGGGAAAGUGUGUCCACGUACCCUCGUAGACUGAAAGCGGAAGCAUUAACUUAACGUGGUUGAUGUAGUCGAACGUCAUCUCGAAUCAACCGGUCAAGUACCGAAUGUACGACACCUUUGAAUUUUGCACACGUUUAGCUCGAUGACGUCCCUCGAACUCUUGAUCCAGCAGAGUGUUGAUGGAGUCAAUGAGUUCCGUCAGCAUGACGGCGUGAUGACGGUGUUGGUGAUGUGAUCCGCGCAGGGCUUCGCCUAAGCACUACGAUGAUACUAUCCGAGGAGUAAACGGUGGAGGGGGGCACCGCACAUGGCUAAGAGAAUAACUGUUGUGUCUUUGGGUACCCCCUGCUCCCGUAUAAAAGGAGGGGGGGAGGAUUCCUACUAGGACUCCACUCCUAGUAGGAUUCCCCCCCCCCCCAUUUUUUUCCUUCUUUCCGGAGGGGAAAAGGGGAAGGAGAGGGAAUCGAAGAAGGAAAGGGGGCGCACCCCUCCCUAGUCCAAUUCAGACUCCCUAUGGGAGGGGGGUGCGACCACCCCUUGUGGGCUGCCUCCCCUCUCCCCUAUGGCCCAUGUUGGCACAUUAAUUCCCCGGGGGGUUCCGGUAACCUCCCGGUACCCCGAAAAUCAUCUGAAACUUCCCAAAACAAUUCUGGGGUCUAAAUGUAACCUUCCAAUAAACCGAUCUUUACCUCUCGACUAUUUCGAGACUCCUCGUCAUGUCCAUGAUCUCAUCCGGGACUCCAAACAACCUUCGGUCACCAAAACUCAUAACUCAUAUAAUACCAAUCGUCAUCGAAUGUUAAGCGUGCGGACCCUAUGGGUUCGAGAACGAUGUAGACAUGGUCGAGACACCUCUCCGGUCAAUAACCAAUUGCGGAACCUGGAUGCUCAGAUUGGUUCCCACAUAUUCUACAAAGAUCUUUAUCGGUUGAACCGCAAUGUCAGUAUGGUUAUUCCCUUUGUCAUCGGUAUGUUACUUGCCCGAGAUUCAAUCGUUGGUAUCUUCAUAACUAGUUCAAUCUCGUUACCGGCAAGUCUCUUUACUCAUUCCGUAGUGCAUCAUCCCGUAACUAACUCAUUAGUCACAUUGCUUGCAAGGCUUCAUGAGGGAGUCCUGGAUUAGGGGGUGUCCGGAUGGCCGGACUAAGACCUUUGGUCGGACUCCCGGACUAUGAAGAUACAAGAUUGAAGACUCCGUCCCGUGUCCGGAUGGGACUUUCCUUGGCGUGGAAGGCAAGCUUGGCGAUACGACACGAAGAUCUCCUCCCAUUGUAACCGACUCUGUGUAACCCUAGCCCUCUCCGGUGUCUAUAUAAACCGGAGAGUUUUAGUCUGUAGGACGAACAACAAUCAUACCAUAGGCUAGAUUCUAGGGUUUAGCCACUCCGAUCUCAUGGUAGAUCUACUCUUGUACUACCCAUAUCAUCAAUAUUAAUGAAGCAGGAGUAGGGUUUUACCUCCAUCGAGAGGGCCCGAACCUGGGUAAAAACAUCGUGUCCCUUGUCUCCUGUUACCAUCCGCCUAGACGCACAGUUCGGGACCCCCUACCCGAGAUCCGUCAGUUUUGACACCGACAUUGGUGCUUUCAUUGAGAGUUCCGCUGUGUCGUCACCAUCAGGAAGAUGCCGCAUCCCGUCUUUAAAGACGGCGUCGUUGCUAAAGGAGCUUUGGCUGUCGGCCAAACUCUCCGGCUAGGCAGGUUUUUGAUGGCCGCCAAUCCGGCCGCCGCGCCAACGAUGACCUCUCGGGCCAUCGAAAGCAAUCUUCACAUCAGCUCGGAGCUCGCCGAGUACUUAGAUCCGAUGGAGCUCUUCUCCCUGAACGAACUCUUGGAUCGCAUCUCAGCCCUGGGAGUCGUUCUGAUUACGACCAGAUUGGGCUUAAACCUGAUCAGAGAGAGAUUGACUCUCCCCAGAUUACCCACCACGUCGAAGUGGUGGAAGAACAAUGCGGCGAGUCUUCACCCGCCCUAAGGACCAGAUGCGUCCGGAUUCCCGAUCCCUCCAAGCCGGAUACCCGUGGAGGGGAGGAUGUCGCCCGAACCCUGAACCUAAAGUCAGGCAGCAGGCCCGAUUCAUUGAAUAAUAUCCGAGAAAGCAAGCUUCCGAAUUCGGAAAUCACUCGACCCCUGAAUCUUACAUCGGGCAGGGUUCCGGAUUUAUUUCCACCUGCCCACCCAACUAUAUAGGAUUUAUCCCUAAUACGGCAAGAGUCCGGAGAAAUAGUACACCACUACUGGGCCAGAUUCCUCCUGGUUAUGAACAGGAUAAAGGACUGCCGUGAGAAAGAAGCAAUUUCACUCUUCCUUAACAACUGCACGGACAUCGGAAUCCUCAACGCCAUAAGUCGCCGCGAAAUUACAUGAUUUGCCGACUUGACAUCCAUAGUAUGAAAGUAUUGUGCGACUGAAAGCGUUCGGAAAACCGAAGAUAAAUUCUGGGACAAUCUGGCCCCAAAUAUAACAUGAGUCCGAAACAAAAGGGCGCAUUAUCGCCAGGCAUCUGAGCCAAACAUCAAAAAACAAAAACCCUCUACAGGGUACGGGGCCGUAUUGGAAGGAUGGCUCAAUGGACCCUGUAGAAUUCAUAAUUCAGGAAAAGCCACACCAACGCACAGCCUCAGAGCAUGUUGGAUACUACGGCAGGUAGCCAGAAGUGGCGAGGAGCUUUUAACUCCAGCACCCGAAGAAUACCUCCCCAGUACGGUGUCGAUAGUCUUCGAGACCUUCACAUCAAACAAUGCAAGGAAACGAACGCUCCGCAACCUUGCCGAAGUCUACCAAGUAGCAACAAUAAACCCAUGGAGUGACACGGCUAUCACCUUUAAUGCCAGUGAUGAACCUAAAUUCCGGACAGCCCGAGCACCAGCCGCAUUGGUCCUCAGUCCGAUAGUGGACGGCUUCCGACUUACAAAGGUACUCAUGGACGGCGGCAGCGGACUCAACCUCAUCUACGAGGAAACCCUGCGAAAAAUGGAAAUUGACUGGAGCCGCAUUGAGCGAAGCAACACAACUUUUAGGGGAAUAAUCCCAAGCCGGGAAGCGUGCUGUUCAGGAAAAAUCACACUGGAUGUGGUGUUCGCCACGCCGGACAAUUACAGAUCCGAGGAGGUCACGUUUCAAGUGGCCCCAUUCAGCAGCGGCUACCACGCUCUGCUAGGGCGAGAAGCAUUUACAGUUUUCCAAGCCAUACCCCAUUACGGGUACAUGAAGCUCAAAAUGCCCGGGCCCAACGGAAUCAUCACUCUCGCAAGUGAUCCGGACAUAGCGCUCUACGCUGAAAACAAGACAGCCGCACUGGCCCUGGAGGCACUAUCUGAGGCCCUAGCGGCUGAGGAAUUAACGGCGUUGCGCUCCACGGUGGACAGGGACGAUGUGAUACUAGACAAGAGAUCCAAGUCCACCUCUUUUAAACCAGCAGACGAAAUAGUCAAAUUCCAAGUCCAUCCAACGGACCCUACAAAAACGGCCUCCAUCGGGGCACAAUUAAAAUCCGAUGUAGACGCCGCACUCAGAGACUUUCUGCGAGAAAAUUGGGACAUCUUCGCCUGGCACCCCUCGGAUAUGCCAGGAAUCCCAUGCAGGCUGGCCGAGCACAACCUGAACAUCAUAAAAGGGUUCAAACCCGUCAAGCAGACCCUACAGCGCUUUUCCGAACCUAAGAGACAAGCCAUGGGAGAGGAGCUAGCAAAACUGCUGGAAGCCGGAUUCAUCAGAGACAUAAAACAUCCGGACUGGCUAGCAAACCUGGUGAUGGUACCAAAGAAGGACAAAUCUUGGCGCUUAUGUGUCGAUUUCAAAGACCUAAACAAGGCCUGUCCAAAGGACCCUUUCCCACUCCCCCGAAUUGAUCAAAUCAUCGACGCCACCGCAGGACACGACUCAUUGUGUUUCCUCGAUGCAUACUCUGGCUACCAUCAAAUCAAGAUGGCAGAGUCAGACCAGGCCGCAACAGCAUUCAUCACCCCAUACGGCCCAUUCUGCUUCAACACGAUGCCCUUCGGGCUCAAAAACGCCGACGCAACAUAUCGGCGCAUGAUUCAGACAUGUCUGGCCAACCAGAUCGGCAAAACAGUCGAAGCAUAUGUAGAUGACAUGGUCGUCAAAACAAAACACGUCGAUACUCUAGUAGACGACUUGAGGCUCACGUUCGACAAUCUCCGAACAUAUGACAUUAAGCUCAACCCGGAAAAAUGCGUUUUCGGCGUACCAGCCGGGAAGCUCCUGGGCUUCAUCGUAUCCGAUAGAGGAAUUGAAGCCAACCCAGCCAAGAUCCGAGCUCUGUCACAAUUAGAUACCCCAAAGGACCUCAAGCAAAUACAAAAACUGACAGGAUGCAUGGCGGCUCUAAGCCGCUUUAUCUCCCGCUUAGGAGAAAAGGCAUUACCCCCCUAUCGCCUCCUGCGGCGCACCGACCACUUCGAGUGGACGGAGGCCGCCACGGCCGGACUCGAAGAAAUAAAAGCCAUAUUGGCAACAAAUCCGGUCCUGGCCGCGCCCAACACGGGCGAACCAAUGCUAUUAUACAUCGCGGCAACCCAUCAAGUUGUAAGCGCGGUGCUCGUCGUCGAACGAGAAGCGGACGGACACAAGUCCCCCCUGCAAAAACCAGUGUACUACGUGUCCACUGUGCUAACUCCAUGCAAGUCACGGUACCCGCAUUAUCAAAAGAUAGCAUACGCGGUGUUCAUGGCAUCCCGGAAGCUGCGACACUACUUUCAAGAGUGCUCCAUAACAGUGGCAUCCGAAGUACCCCUUAAUGACAUUAUAAACAACCGCGACGCAACGGGCCGGAAUGCCAAAUGGGCCAUCAAACUCCUCCCGUUCGACAUAACCUACAAGCCAAGGCGAGCUAUUAAGUCGCAGGUUUUGGCCGACUUCAUUGCCGAAUGGACUGAAGCCAAACUCCCUAAAGAAUACAGCGCAUACUCCAACUGGAUCAUGCACUUCGACGGCUCCAAAAUGUUGGCUGGCCUGGGCGCUGGCGUCGUUCUGACGUCCCCAACCGGGGACACAGUCCAAUACGUACUUCAGAUAAUGUACACGGAUUCGAAUAACGCAGCCGAAUACGAGGCCCUUUUACAUGGCCUCCGAAUGGCAGUCUCCAUGGGCAUUCAGCACCUAGAGGUCCGCGGGGAUUCAAAUCUCGCAAUAUCCCAAAUAAAUGGAGACUUCGACGCCAAGGACCCGAAAAUGGCAGCUUACCGCAACGCCAUCUUAAAGAUGUUAGCUCGGUUCGAGGGCCUCGAAUUUCAUCACAUAGCCCGGGAAAAUAACCAAGCAGCAGACGUGUUGGCACGCAUCGGCGCCAAGCGCGAGGCCGUCCCUCCCAACAUCUUCCUAGAAAGGUUGUUCAAGCCAUCUAUAUCAUGGGAAGGAGAAUCCGGAAAUAAUAGCCCGGACACAACUACACUGCCCCUCACCGAGCAUUUUGACACAAUUGGGGGCUACACCAACGAAACAACGCCGUCAACCCACGAAAUAAUGGCAGUCAUUGCCCCUUGGACAGAGCCAUUCCUAGCCUACCUAACUAGGCAGGAACUUCCCGUGGACCAAAAUGAGGCCCGCUGCAUAGUGCGGCGAUCUAAAGCCUACAAAGUCCACGAGGGAGAGCUUUACAAGAAAAGCACAACCGGAGUCCUUCAAAGGUGUAUCUCCGAAGAAGAAGGGCGAGUCCUUUUGGCUGAAAUCCAUGCCGGACUCGGCGGGCACCACGCCGCAGCCCGGGCCCUUGUAAGCAAGGCCUUCCGUACUGGAUUUUAUUGGCCAACAGCCUGGGCAGACGCUCAGGACUUAGUGCAACGAUGUGUUGGUUGCCAGUUAUUCGCCAACCAAAGCCACAUGCCGCCUACCACCCUACAAACUAUACCCAUUACCUGGCCUUUCGCGGUCUGGGGGCUUGACAUGGUCGGACCCCUUAAAGGAGGAACCCACAAGCAAAAAUACCUACUAGUCAUGGUGGACAAAUUCACCAAAUGGAUAGAAGCCAAGCCUGUAAAGACGGCCGAAUCUGGACCAGUGAUAGACUUCAUAUCCGGGGUCGUACACCAUUACGGUGUCCCCCACAGCAUCAUAACAGACAACGGCACAAACUUCACGGCCGAUGAAGUCAAACUUUGGUGCAAAAACAUGGGCAUCAAGCUCGACUAUGCUUCAGUCUAUCACCCUCAAACUAACGGUCAAGUCGAACGGGCCAAUGGUCUCAUUAUGAGCGGCAUCAAACCCAGACUAGUGCGAUCCCUCAAGGAAUCUGACACGCACUGGGUAGAGGAGCUUGACUCCGUACUCUGGGGGCUGCGGACCACGCCGAAUCGCACUACCGGAUUCACACAAUUUUUUAUGGUAUACGGCGCAGAGGCAGUACUGCCAUGCGACAUAAUCCAUGACUCACCUCGAGUGCGCAUGUACGAAGAAAGAGAAGCCGAGCUCGAUCGGCAGGACAGCUUGGACGCAUUGGAAGAGGAGCGCGACGUGGCAAAGGCUCGUUCCGCAUUCUAUCAACAGCAGGCUCGAAGAUACCAAAGCAGAGAAGUAUGGGCCAAAACAUAUAGCGUUGGCGAACUAGUUCUACGCCUGCCGGACAAGAAAAAGGAUAAAUUAAAGCCCAAAUGGGAGGGCCCCUUCAUCAUCGACCAAGUACUGACCGGCGGAGCGUACCGUCUGCGAGGCGCAUCGGACAACCGACUCGAGCCGAACCCAUGGAAUGCAGCACACCUACGAAGGUUCUACGCCUAGCACCGGACUCCGUGUUCGUCUCCUUCCCUCAUCCCUUUGUUUUAUUUUUUAUUUUUUUUAUUUUUUGGCAGUCCGGGAUUUUGUUCCUUCUCCCUCCCCUUUUUUCUCACAAGCCCUUAGGGGCUUGCACGUGCAAUAUUCGCACGCACCCGACGCGCUACCUGCGCUCCCAAUACCUGGGGGCUUCUCUACCAAGAAGUUUAUAUAAAAUGGGCCUCAUGCCCAAAACAUGUGUAAUGCUUCCGCAUGAACCUUUUAUACACCAUUAUAUGCAUCGAUAUGACUUAAGUUUUGCCCAAGCUGGGUUGCCUGGCUCCUGUGCUUACCCCUACGUUCCCGUUCGUUCGGCUAGGUGGUAAAGGGAGCACCUCUACGAUUGUUACUGUCGGGUCAGCCGGAUGUGUACCUCAGACUGGGUGAAGCUGAAAGCUAGCGUUCUUAAGGGAAUAUUAGGUCGGUGAACUAAAAGAUGAUCUUUCGUAUUUACUCAUUUGCCCCCAGACGCUUUUCUGCUCUUUCCGGUAGUUCAGACAUGCACUUUAGGGCAUGCCUCCCAGGGAAAGGAACCCCUAAAGGAACUAUUCUAUCUGGAAGAUGUUUCUUACUAACCAUGUAAUAUAACAUAACUAGUUGGGCACUUGUCUGCUAAAGCACUUAUGACCCCUACGCCUUGUCUCCAUGCAUGCCCCGGUUCUUACAUAACCAAGAGGGUAUUCGGACACACUCCGGACUAUAGGGUCCAGAGGUCGAAGCGAAAAGGUCCGCAAUGACAAACGAUCUACAAUCCGGCUAGAGGACAUUUUUUAUGUCAUUUUUACAUAGUCAAUCCGAUUCGGCAUAUUCUUCUUCAAUGCCAUCUAACAGGCGGUCUAAUUUACAGUCUUGUUGGGAAUUCUUUGCAGCCAACUCCACCUGGCCAUAUGCCAAGCUGACCGGGAUCUCCUUUCCGUCCGGACCUAUAGGGCCGACCUCGGCCAUGUGGUUUGGGUCAGCCUUCGUGUACCGAGUCUUCACCAUGGCCCAGGCCUCCUUGGCACCUUGACGGCAAGCCGAUAUCUUCCAUAACCGGAAGCGCUGCCACACUCCCUCCAGCUUCUUGGCAAGCUCCUCAAGGCCUUCGGGCACGGAGAGGGAUGGCCACAUAGCCUGGAUGACGCCUUGCAUUGCCUGUCGAACUCGCUCGUGUAGUGGCAACAGCUCGGGAAGAAGGUCUCCCGAUGAACCGGGCAUUUCCUCCGCCGGACGACCCGUCAGCAGACCUACAGACAUAGCUCUGUCAACCGACUUCCUCGCCGAAUUCUUUUUUCGAAGAUUCGUUCAAGCACUUACUAAAAAUGCCGCGUUGAAGUCGUCGAUUCUCCUUCGCAGCAGAAGACAGCUGAAUAUGAACAUCUUUCAGUUCCUCGCCUAGCUGGGUAUUGGCGUCUUGAAGCUUGUUCUUCUCUUGCCUCACCCUCGUCAGCACGUUCUUGCCAGCCUUUAGUUGGCGUAGGAGUUGUUGCUGGUCCGGAUUUACUCCGGCCUCAUCUGCAUUAUUAUAGUCAGGGUUGCACGCCUGCCGCGUUUCAAAAUGGAGGUACCUUUCGAAGCACAUAUUACCUGCGAGCGUCCCCUUGACAUUCUCUGAAGUGGCCAAUGCGGCCUCGAGCUGAGCCUUGCACUCUUCGAGCUCCUGGGACAAUUGCAUGUUCCUCUUUGUAAGACACUGCAUAGCACAUGAUCCUUCAAACAGUUAUCUUCACUGUUUCAAGUCUCGGGGGCUACUAACAUAUAUAACCUUCAAUUUUACUCACCUGUAUGUCUUUCACAUACUGCUCCGUGGCUCUGGCUAGACCAUUUUGAGAAGCACGGAGAUACGCAUCUCUUGUAUUAAAGGCGUCCAACACCUCUGGGGAAAAACACGCGUCACAAAGAAUAGUCCGGCGACGCUUGUGGUUCAGGGCACUCUCCACCUCUGAAUUGGUGGCAGAUAGCCCGUCGGCGUCCUCUGUCGGAGGAGCGCCCGAGGCGUGUUCCGUGUCCGUCUCCGCUCCCGGACCCGGCCUCGAACCUUGGCCGGUGGACAUAGUCCGGCGGGCUCUCUUCUUCCUAAGAAAAUCAUGAGCAUUAGUAAGACUCAAGGGUGUAAACCCUAGGCGUUAAAUCCGCACGACAUACCGUUGCGCCGGAAUCUUGAUCCGGUCCGCACUUCUUUUUGGGUCGCUUGGCUUCAGCGGCCCUUGUUGGCUGCCCACCGCGGGCUCGGCCUUCUGCCUCAAGGAUUUACCCUGCGAAACGUUGUUAGUGCACGGCAUGCAAGAUAAAGCAUUAGAAUACUGGGACUUCGGUCUUAGUUACCUUGGAGGCUGGAAGUAGUCCGGGAUAGUCGGCCUUGAUGGCCACUAAGGAGUUAUUCUUGCUCAACUUCUUGGGAGUCCGAAUCGAGGGGUCAUCCCGGGUCUUCGGGUUAUGGAGCAGGGCUGUUUAUUUCCUUCACAGCCUGGCGCAGCUCCUGCGUUUGAACAUUACUAAGUCUAAGUACUCAACUACGGGAAUUUCACAAACGGACAGGCAAGUGGAAGUGUCCGCUCACCCAACUAGGAGGAUUGUACAUAGAGAAUCCGCCUUCCGGGUUGACACAAAGGAAUUCUUCCUCUUCCCCCUUGUACAAAGCGGAUAAGAUUCUCGUUAAAGUGGCGGCCGAAUCUGGCCCCUUGCGACCGCACCCGGGUGGCGUCAUCUUCCCCGUUGAAAUCCCACAUGGGGUGGCCUCUGUAUUGAAGCGGCUGCACCCCUCGCGUAAUGCAUACGGCCAUGACCUUAAUCAUGGUCAGUCCGGAGUGAGCCAACAACCUUAUCCGGCUCAUCAGGUACAGGACGUCCCUGUCGGCUUCCCUCUGAGGGUUCCGUGGGCGCCAACUCAGGCGCUUCCUCAACUGGACAUUAUUGAAUUCGGGGAGUCCGAUCCGUACAGGGUCCGGCAGGGGAACGUCAUCUAUAUAAAACCACUCCAAGGGCCAGUCUUCGGACACCCUCUUUGGGGUGCUGAAUAGAUAUCCGGUCCCGGCGAUGCGCCAUAGUUUGGCUCCGCCCACCUGAUAAAUAGACCCCUCCUGAGAACGGGGCACAAGGCAAAACAACCUCUUCCACAGCGCGAAAUAGGCCUCAACACCCAAGAACAGCUCGCAGAGGGCCACGAAGCCCGCGAUGUGCAAAAUGGAGGUGGGCGUGAGGUUAUGUAACUGGAGGCCAUAGAACUCUAGCAACCCUUGGAGAAAUAGAUGAAUUGGAAAUCCUAGUCCUCUCAUAAAAUAAGGGACUAGGCAUACCCGCUCUCCUUGAGAGGGGUUGGGAAUGCCCUCCGCCUGCUCUCCGCCGCUAUGGGCAGCAAUCCCGGCCCGAACGGGGACCAUAUAUGCUGGGGGAGAAGCCCCUUGGACUGAAGCACUACUAACUUGCUAUGUGGGACGGAGCACCGCCCCCGAUCUCCGGGCUGAGGGCUGGAGGAGCGAGAGGAGGAGCGGCAUCGACUGGCCAUGUUGGAAUGGAUCUCUGUCGGAGGCGCUCUGAUGAAGACUCACGGAGGGAAGAUGGUGCGAGUUGGAUCUAAAUCCCCGUCUCUUUUAUGGGCGGCUCGGGAGGGGUAAGCGAAAACAAAACCCCCUGGCUUUUCACAUCCGCCUAACGCGUGGAAGAUGGUCAUUAUGGGGCACAGAAGCCGAGGAGGACAGCACACACUCGAAGCCGGACACUAUUCGACGGAUACAGAGAAUUUGCAGGAGAACCCACCUUGCAAUGUCAAAGACAACUUGCGCGCCGGACUCGUCGUCAUUGAAGCCUGGUUCAGGGGCUACUGAGGGAGUCCUGGAUUAGGGGGUGUCCGGAUGGCCGGACUAAGACCUUUGGUCGGACUCCCGGACUAUGAAGAUACAAGAUUGAAGACUCCGUCCCGUGUCCGGAUGGGACUUUCCUUGGCGUGGAAGGCAAGCUUGGCGAUACGACACGAAGAUCUCCUCCCAUUGUAACCGACUCUGUGUAACCCUAGCCCUCUUCGGUGUCUAUAUAAACUGGAGAGUUUUAGUUCGUAGGACGAACAAAAAUCAUACCAUAGGCUAGAUUCUAGGGUUUAGCCACUCCGAUCUCGUGGUAGAUCUACUCUUGUACUACCCAUAUCAUCAAUAUUAAUCAAGCAGGAGUAGGGUUUUACCUCCAUCGAGAGGGCCCGAACCUGGGUAAAAACAUCGCGUCCCUUGUCUCCUGUUACCAUCCGCCUAGACGCACAGUUCGGGACCCCCUACCCGAGAUCCGCCGGUUUUGACACCGACACUUCAUAUGAUGGGCAUUACCGAGAGGGCCCAGAGAUACUCUCUGAUACUCGGAGUGACAAAUCCUAAUCUCGAUUUAUGCCAACCCAACAAACACCUUCGGAGAUACCUGUAGAGCAUCUUUAUAAUCACCCAGUUACCUUGUGACGUUUGAUAUCACACAAGGCAUUCCUCCGGUGUCCGGGAGUUGCAUAAUCUCAUAGUCAGAGGAAUAUACAUAUGACACGAAGAAAGCAGUAGCAAUAAAAUUGAACGAUCAUUAUGCUAAUCUAAUGAAUAGGUCUUGUCCCUCACAUCAUUCUACUAAUGAUGUGAUCCCGUUAUUAAAUGACAACUUAUGUCCAUGGCUAGGAAACUUAACCAUCUUUUGAUCAACGAGCUAGUCUAGUAGAGGCAUACUAGGGACAUGUUGUUUUGUCUAUGUAUCCACACAUGUAUCAAGUUUUAGGUUAAUACAAUUCUAGCAUGAAUAAUAAACAUUUAUCAUGAAUAAGGAAAUAUAAAAUGACAAAUUUAUUAUUGCCUCGAGGGCAUAUUUCCUUCAGUUUCUUCAUCGCCAUUAGACCAGCCCAAAAGUGUGAGUCACCAGUUUUCCAAUAGGCCUGUGACACAGCUUUUUGGCCUAGAUACUUAUUGCGCAGCAGGGUUUGCCAAAUGCCAUCCUCAGUAAGUAGUUUUAAAAACUAUUUACUAAGUAAGGCAUCAUUCUUGACCUGAAGGUCAUGAAUGCCAAGUCCACCUUGGUCUUUCGGCCUACAAACCACGCUCCAUUUGGUUAGCAUGUAUUUUUUUUUCACUGUCCCCUUGCCAAAAGAAUCUGGAUCUGAAAUAAUCCAGCCUCUGCAGGACCCCUCUUGGGACUUGGAAAAAAGAGAGCAUAUAGAGAACCAUAUUUGUGAGCACUGGGUUGAUUAAGACCAGCCGUCCUCCAACAGAGAGCAACUUGCCUUUCCAACUACUCAACCGUUUCUCUAAGCGCUCCUCUACAUGUUUCCACUCUGCAUUAGUGAGACACUGAUAAUGAAUCGGGAUUCCCAAAUAUUUAAUCAGGAAUUGGCCUUGUGAACAACCAAAUAGGUCGGCAUACUUAGCCGCUGCCUCACUGGCUUCUCCCAAGCAAAACAAUUCGCUUUUAUGGAAGUUAAUUUUAAGAUCUCACAUCUGCUCAAACGCUGAAAGUAAUUAUUUCAGGUUUCGAGCCUUAUCCAGGUCAUGUUCCAUAAAAGGAAUUGUAUCAUCGGCAUAUUGCACAAUAGAGAGGCCACCAUCCACAAGGUGGGGCACUACUCCUGCAAUUUGACCGUCCUGCUUGGCACGAUCAAUCAGAAUAGACAACAUGCCAGCCACGAUGUUAAAUAACAUUGGAGACAUGGAGUCACCCUGUUGUAGUCCUUUUUUUGUUUGAAAGUAAUGGCAUAUGUCAUCAUUGACUUUGAUAGCCACACUACCUCCAGUAACAAAAUUUUGGAUCCACUGGCGCCAUUUAUUGGAGAAUCCUUUCAUUCUUAGGGCCCAUUGAAGGAACGACCAUUUGACCUUAUCAUAGGCCUUUUCAAAAUCAAUCUUGAACACAACUGCCCUCAUGUGUUUACAGUGCAUCUCGUGAACGGUCUCAUGUAGGAUUACUACUCCAUCGAGUAUAUUUCUACCUUGCAUGAAAGCCGUUUGAGAUGGCCGGACGACAUGGUCAGCAACCGUGUUGAGCCUAUUAGUAGCCACUUUGGUGAAAAUCUUGUUGGAAAUAUGCCCUAGAGGCAAUAAUAAAAUGGUUCUUAUUAUAUUUCCUUGUUCAUGAUAAUUGUCUAUUGUUCAUGCUAUAAUUGUAUUAACCAGAAACCGUAAUACAUGUGUGAAUACAUAGACCACAACAUGUCCCUAGUGAGCCUCUAGUUGACUAGCUCGUUGAUCAAUAGAUGGUUAUGGUUUUCUGACCAUGGACAUUGGAUGUCAUUGAUAACGCGAUCACAUCAUUAGGAGAAUGAUGUGAUGGACAAGACCCAAUCCUAAGCAUAGCACAAUAUCGUGUAGUUCGUUUGCUAGAGCUUUUCUAAUGUCAAGUAUCUUUCCUUAGACCAUGAGAUUGUGCAACUCCUGGAUACCGUAGGAAUUCUUUGGGUGUAUCAAACAUCACAAUGUAACUGGGUGGCCAUAAAGGUGCACUACAGGUAUCUGCAAAAGUGUCUGUUGGGUUGGCACGAAUCAAGACUGGGAUUUGUCACUCCGUAUGACGGAGAGGUAUCUUUGGGCCCACUCGGUAAUGCAUCAUCAUAAUGAGCUCAAUGUGACUAAGGAGUUAGCCAUGGGAUCAUGCGUUACGGAACGAGUAAAGAGACUUGCCGGUAAUGAGAUUGAACGAGGUAUAGGGAUACCGAUGAUCGAAUCUCAAGCAAGUAACAUACUAAUGGAUAAAGGGAAUUGUAUACGAGAUUAAUUGGAUCCCCGACAUCGUGGUUCAUCCGAUGAGAUCAUCGUGGAACAUGUGGGAGCCAAUAUGGGUAUCCAGAUCCCGCUAUCGGUUACUGGCUAGAGAGGCAUCUCAGUUAUGUCUGCAUGGUUCCCGAACUCGUAGGGUCUACACACUAAAGGUUCGAUGACGCUAGACAGGGCCGGUCCUGAGAUUUGGGGGGCCCGGGGCGAAAAUAACAUUCGGGGCCCCUUAAUAAUAUCAUCAUAACAAUAAUAAUUAAUUUAAUUCUACACAAAAUAUUACCAAUAGAAUACUUAACUACAUCCAAAAUCCAUAUUUAUAUAAUAACUUAUACACAUUAUUAUCUUAAAUUUUUCUUGUAACAUUCUUUGAUGCAAAGUCGCUUAUGCUUGUGACAAUGUCAAUCUCAUCCAUCUUUCUGAUGCAUGAUGUUGCCUAACCAUUUAAGCUCUAUUGGGCCAUUGUUUAUGCCAAAUGGUCCUUCAAUAAUUUCAAGUUUGAAAAGCUUCUUUUAGCUGAUGCAAAAAUCACAUGCACAAUAAAUCUGAAUAAAUCUUUACACACCAUGAGUUUUUUAAACCCUUUCUUCAAUGAAGUGAUUCAUAUCAACCAAAACAAACAAAUACUUAACAUGAAAAAUCUUUCUCACCUUCUAGAAUUUCUUCUUGGUCAACUACUUUUAUCAAACUGUUUAUUCCCUCAUAGCACUAAAGUUUGCUUGAAAUUGUCGGGAAUAGUAAUUUAUACCUCAGAUUGAUUGGAUCGGGGCAAUGGUGUGAUGUGGAUGUAUAGUGGCAGGUGCUCGGCUAUGCACACGUGCGCCAACUCCAUCGGUGUCAAUUUUUAGGAGCCAGGCGAUGUCCAUGCUGCGUCUUCGCUGUGUACAGCACCUUCAGACCGGCCAGCCCUCUGCGACUUGGGAUCUGAUGUUUGGAACAAGGGAACAGAGAAUAGGAAAUUUGGGAUGAAGAACAGACAAUGUUUCACGAUCGUAAGGAAUAAGGAAAGAGAACGGUACUGUCAAAAAGAAAAAAAGGAAAGAGAACGGGGACGACGUGAUUUACGUGCAUACGCUGAUUUUUUUCCCUCGCGAUGUGAUUUACAUGAUUUACGUGCGUACACUAUUACCUGCCAUCCCUUGCUAGGCUUAUUCUUUUUUUCAACCAGAAGCUAUGGGCUACUGUAUCUUUAUACGUACAUCACACGUGGAAGGGGGCCCUUGGAUCUUGGGGGCCCGGGGCGGCCGCCCCCCCUACCCCCCCUCAGGGUCGGCCCUGACGCUAGAGUUGUAAUGGGAAUUGUAUGUGGUUACCAAAAGUUGUUCGGAGUCUCGGAUGAUAUCCCGGACAUCACGAGGAGUUCCGGAAUGGUCCGUAGGUAAAGAUUUAUAUAUGGGAAGUCCUAUUUUGGCCACCGGAAAAUGUUCGGGAUUUUCCGGUAUUGUACCGGGAAGGUUCUAGAAGGUUUCGGAGUGGGGCCCACCUGCAUGGGGGGACCCACAUGAACGUGGGUAGUGGGGCAAGGCCCCACACUCCUGGUUAAGGCGCACCAAGAUCCCCCCUUAGAAGGAAUAAGAUCAUAUCCCGAAGGGAUAAAAUCAAGAUCCCUAAAAAAGGGGAUAACAAUCGGUGGGGAAGGGAAAGGAUGGGAUUUCAUUCCCACCUUUGCCAACGCUCCAAUGGACUUGGAGGGCAAGAAAUCAGCCCCUCCACCCCUAUAUAUAGUGGGGAGGCGCCUUGCCCCUGGCACAACCCCCCCUCCAACUCCUCCUCCUCUGUUGAGUGUAGCGAAGCUCUGCCGGAGAACCACGAGCUCCACCACCACACCGUCGCGCUGCCGGAGUCCUCCCUCAACUUCUCCUCUACCCUUACUGGAUCAAGAAGGAGGAGACAUCCCCGGGCUGUACGUGUGUUGAACGCUGAGGCGCCGUCCAUUUGGCGCUUGGAUCGGAUCUUCCAUGAUUUGAAUCACCAUGAGUACGACUCCAUCAACCGUGUUCUUGUAACGCUUCUGCUUAGCGAUCUUCAAGGGUAUUAAGAUGCACUCCCUCUCUCUCGUUUCUAGCAUCUUCUAGAUUGAUCUUGGUGACACGUAGAAUUUUUUUAAUUAUUACUAUGUUCCCCAACAGUGGUAUCAGAGCCAGGUUUAUGCGUAGAUUCUAUGCACGAGUAGAACACAAGUAGUUGUGGGCAAUGAUUUGUUCAAUUUGCUUACCGUUACUAGUCUUAUCUUGAUUCGGUGGCAUUCUGGGAUGAAGCAGCCCGGACCGACCUUACACGUACGCUUACAUGAGACAGGUUCCACCGACUGACAUGCACUUUUUGCAUAAGGUGGCUAGUGGGUGUCUAUCUCUCCCACUUUAGUCAGAUCGGAUUCGAUGAAGAGGGUCAUGAUGAAGGGUAAAUAGCAAUUGGCAUAUCACUGUUGUGGCUUUUGCAUAGAUAAGAAACGUUCUUGCUAGAAACCCAUAGGAGCCACGUAAAACAUGCAACAACAAUUAGAGGACAUCUAACUUGUUUUUGCAGGGUAUGCUAUGUGUUGUGAUAUGGCCAAAAGGAUGUGACGAAUUAUAUAUGUGGUGUAUGAGAUUGAUCAUGUUCUUGUAAUAGGAAUCACGACUUGCAUGUCGAUGAGUAUAACAAUCGGCAGGAGCCAUAGGAGUUGUCUUAAUUUAUUGUAUGACCUGUGAGUCAAUAUAAGCGCCAUGUAAUUACUUUACUUUAUUGCUAACCGUUAGCCAUAGUAGUAGAAGUAAUAGCUGGCGAGACAACUUCAUGAAGACACGAUGAUGGAGAUCAUGGUGUCAUGCCGGUGAUGAUGGUGAUCAUGCAGCGCCUCGAAGAUGGAGAUCAAAAGUGCAAGAUGAUAUUGGCCAUAUCAUGUCACUUUAUGAUUUGCAUGUGAUGUUUGUCAUGUUUACAUCUUAUCUGCUUAGAACGACGAUAGCAUAAAUAAGAUGAUCCCUCACUAAAAUUUCAAGAAAUGUGAUCCCCCUAACUGUGCACCGUUGCGAAGGUUCAUUGUUUCAAAGCACCAUGUGAAGAUCGAGUGUGAUAGAUUCUAAGGUUCACAUACAACGGGUGUAAGCCAGAUUUACACAUGCGAAACACUUAGGGACUUGAUGAGCCUACCAUGUACAGACAUGGCCUCGGAACACGAGAGACCAAAAGGUCGAACAUGAGUCGUAUGGUAGAUGCGAUCAACAUGGAGAUGUUCACCAUUGAUGACUAGUCCGUCUCACAUGAUGAUCGGACACGGCUUAGUCGAUUCGGAUCAUGUAUCACUUAGAUGACUAGAGGGGUGUCUAACUGAGUGGGAGUUCAUUAAAUAAUUUGAUAGUUGAACUCAUUAUCAUGAACAUAGUCUAAAUUGUCCUUGCAAAUUAUGUUGUAGAUAAAUAGCUCGUGAUUUAGAUCCCUGUUUUAAUACGUUCCUAGAGAGAGACUAAGUUGAAAGAUAUUGUGAGCAAUUGUGCGGACUAGGGCCGUAGUCUCAGGAUUGUCCUCACUGCUACACAGAAGGCUUCUGUCCUUGAUGCACCGCUCCGUGUGCCAACCCCUCUAGCGGCGUCUGUGGAUGUUGUGAAUAUAUGGCAGACACGUUCUGAUGACUACUUGAUAGUUUAUUGCGCCAUGCUUUACGGCUUAGAAUUGGGGCUCCAAAGGCGCUUUUGAACGCCAUGGAACAUAUGAGAUGUUCCAAGUGCUGAAAUUGGUAUUUCAGGCCCAUGCCCGUGUUGAGAGGUUUGAGACCUCUGACAAGAUCUUUGCCUACAAGAUGGAGGAGAAUAGCUCAGCCAGUGAGCAUGUGCUCAGAAUGUCUGGGUACUUCAAUCGCUUGAAUCAAGUGGGAGUUAAUCUUCCAGAUAAGUUAGUGAUUGACAAAGUUCUCCAGUCACUAUCACUAAGCUACUAGAGCUUCGUGAUGAACUAUAACAUGCAAGGGAAGAUGAUCCCGGAGCUGUUCGUCAUGCUUAAGGCUGUGAAGGAAGGUAGAAAUCAAGAAGGAGCAUCAAGUGUUGAUGGUAACAACACCACUCAUUUCAAGAAGGGCAAGGGUAAGAAGGGAAACUUCAUGAAUGGGAAGCCAGUUGCCGCUCCAGUGAAGAACCCCAAGAACCCAAACCCGAGACGAAGUGCUUCUAUUAGGGGAACGGCCAUUGGUAGCGGAGCUGCCUCAAAUACUUGGUAGAUAAGAAGGCUGGCAAUUUCAACAAAAGUAUAUUUGAUAUAUGUGUUAUUGAUGUGUACCUUACUAGUACUCCUAGUAGCACUUGUGUAUUAGAUACCGGUUCAGUUGCUAAUAUUGGUAACUCAAAACAAAAGCUACGAAAUAGACGGAGACUAGCUAAGGGCGAGGUGACGAUGUGUGUUGGAAGUGUUUCCAAGGUUGAUGUGAUCACCAUCGCACGCUCCCUCUACCUUCGGGAUUAGUGUUGAACCUAGAUACAUGUUGUUUGCAUUGGUGUCUGUGCUGAGCAUGAAUAUGAUUAGAUCAUGUUUAUUGCAAUACAGUUAUUCAUUUAAGUCAGAGAAUAAUGGUUAUUCUGUUUGCAUGAAUAACACCUUCUAUGGUCAUGCACCCAAUGUGAAUGGUUUAUUGAAUCUCGAUCGUAGUGAUACACAUGUUCAUAACAUUGAUGCCAAAAGAUGUAGAGUUGAUAAUGAUAGUACCACUUUCUUGUGGCACUGCCAUUUAGGUCAUAUUGGUGUAAAGCGCAUGAAGAACCUCCAUGCCGAUGGACUUUUUAAGUCACUUGAUUUUGAAUCACUUGACACAUGCGAACCAUGCCUCGUUGGCAAGAUGACUAAACCCCCAUUUUUGGAACAAUAGAACAGGCAAGUGACUCAUUGGAAAUCAUACAUGCUGAUGUGUGCGGUCCGAUGAGUGUUGACGCGUGCGGUGGAUAUCAUUAUUUUCUCACCUUCACUGAUGAAUUGAGUAGAUAUGGUCAUGUUUACUUAAUGAAGCAUAAGUCUGAAACGUUUCAAAAGUUCAAGCAAUUUCAGAGUGAAGUUGAGAAUCAUCAUAACAAGAAGAUCAAGUUCCUACGAUAUGAUCAAGGGGAGAGUAUCUGAGUUAUGAGUUUGGCAAUCACUUAAGACAAGGUGGAAUCGUUUCACAGUUGACGCCACCUGGAACACCAUAGUGUAAUGGUGUGUCCGAACAUCGUAAUCGCACUCUAUUGGAUAUGGUGCGAUCUAUGAUGUCUCUUAUCGAUCUACCGCUAUUGUUUUGGGGUUAUGUAUUAGAGACAACUAUAUUCACUUUAAAUAGGGCACCAUCUAAGUCCGUGGAGACGACACCGUAUGAACUAUGGUUUGGCAAGAAACCUAAGUUGUUGUUUCUUAAGGUUUGGGGCUGCGAUGCUUAUGUUGAUAGGCUUCAGCCAGAAAAGCCCGAACCCAAAGCAGACAACUGUGUCUUCAUAGAAUACCCAGAGAAGACGAUUGGGUAUACCUUCUAUCUCAGAUCUAAGGGCAAAGUGUUUGUCGCUAAGAACAGGUCCUUUCUCGAGAAAGAGUUUCUCUCAAAAGAAUUGAGUGGAAGGAAGAUAAAACUUGAUGAGGUUGUUGAACCUUUACUUCAACCAGAGAGUAGCGCAGCACAGAAAGAUGUUUAUGUGGCACCUACGUCAGUUGAAUAGAAAGCUAAUGAUGAUGAUCAUGAAGCUUCAGAACAAGUUACUAUCGAACCUCGUAGGUCGACAAGGGUGCGUACUACUUCUGAGUGGUAACCAUGUCUUAAAAGUCAUGUUGUUGGACAACGAUGGACCUACGAGCUAUGGAGAAGCGAUGGUGGGCCCAGAUUCCAACAAAUGGCUAGGAGCCAUGAAAUCCGAGAUAGGAUCCAUGUAUGAGAACAAAGUAUGGACUUUGGUGGACUUGCACGAUGAUCGGCAAGCCAUUGAGAAUAAAUGGAUCUUUAAGAAGAAGACAAACGCUGAUGGUAAUGUCACCAUUUAUGAAGUUCGACUUGUCUCAAAGAAGUUUCCGACAAGUUCAAGGAGUUGACUGUGAUGAGACUCUCUCAAUCAUAGCGAAGCUGAAGUCUAUUAGAAUUAUGUUAGAAGUUGCUGCAUUUUCAUUUACAAAAUCUGGCAGAUGGAUGUCAAAACAAAGUUUCCUUGACAAUUUUCGUGAGGAAAGGCUGUAUGUGAUACAACCAGAAGGUUUUGUCGAUCCUAAGGAUGCUAAAAGGUAUGGAAGCUCUAGCGAUCCUUCUAUGGACUUGAUCAAGCAUCUUGGAGUUGGAACAUAUACUUUGAUGAGGUAAUCAAAGCUUUUGGGUUUAUACAAAGUUUGCAAGAAACUUGUAUUUACAAGAAAGUGAGUGGGAGCACUACAACAUUUCUGAUAAGUACAUUUGGAUGACAUAUUGUUGAUCGGAAAUGAUGUAGAAUUUCUGUAAAGCAUGAAGGGUUGUUUGAAUGGAGUUUUCCAAAGGAAGACCUAGGUAAAACUGCUUACAUAUUGGGUAUCAAGAUCUAUAGAGAUAGGUCAAGACGCCUGAUAAGACUUCCACAGAGCACAUACCUUGACAUGAUUUUGAAGGAAUUUAAAAUGGACUAGUCAAAGAAGGAGUUCUUGCUUGAGUUGUAAGGUGUGAAGUUAAGACUUAAAGCUCGACCACGGCAGAAGAAAGAGAAAGGACGAAGGUCGUCCCCUAUGCCUUAGCCAUAGGCUCUAUAUGAUAUGACAUGCUGUGUACCACACCUGAUAUGUGCCUUGCCACGUGUCUGGAAAGGGGGUACAAGAGUGAUCCAGGAGUGGAUCAUUGGACAACGGUCAAAAUUGUCCUUAGAGGAAUAAGGAAAUGUUUCUCGGUUAUGGAGGUGAUAAAGAGUUCGGCGUAAAGCGUUACGUCGAUGCAAGCGUUAACACCUAUCCGGAUGACUCUGAGUAGCAAACCAGAUACGUAUAGUGGAGCAACCAUUUGGGAUUGCUCCAAGUGGAGCAUGGAAGCAGCAUCUACAAUAUGACCUAGAGAUUUGCGAACUACAUACGGAUCUGAAUGUCGUAGACCCGUUGACAAAACCUCUUCCACGAGCAAAACAUGAUCAGCACCAGAACAAUAUGGGUGUUUGAUUCAUCACAAUGUAACUAGAUUAUUGACUCUAGUGCAAGUGGGAGACUAUUGGAAAUAUGCCCUAGAGGCAAUAACAAAAUGGUUAUUAUUAUAUUUCCUUGUUCAUGAUAAUUGUCUAUUGUUCAUGCUAUAAUUGUAUUAAUCGAAAACCAUAAUACAUGUGUGAAUACAUAGACCACAACAUGUCCGAAGUGAGCCUCUAGUUGACUAGCCCAUUGAUCAAUAGAUGGUUAUGGUUUUCUGACCAUGGACAUUGGAUGACAUUGAUAAUGAGAUCACAUCAUUAGGAGAAUGAUGUGAUGGACAAGACCCAAUCCUAAGCAUAGCACAAGAUCGUGUAGUUCGUUUGCUAGAGCUUUUCUAAUGUCAAGUAUCUUUCCUUAGACUAUGAGAUUGUGCAACUCCCAGAUACCGUAGGAAUGCUUUGGGUGUAUCAAACGUCACAACAUAACUGGGUGACCAUAAAGGUGCAGUACAGGUAUCUCCGAAAGUGUCUGUUGGGUUGGCACGAAUCAAGACUGGGAUUUGUCACUCCGUAUGAUGGAGAGGUAUCUUUGGGCCCACUCGGUAAUGCAUCAUCAUAAUGAGAUCAAUGUGACUAAGGAGUUAGCCAUGGAAUUGUGCAUUACAGAAUGAGUAAAGAGACUUGCCGGUAACGAGAUUGAAUGAGGUAUAGGGAUACCGACGAUCGAAUCUCGGGCAAGUAACAUACCCAUGGACAAAGGGAAUUGUAUACGGGAUUGAUUGAAUCCUCGACAUCAUGGUUCAUCCGAUGAGAUCAUCGUGGAACAUGUGGGAGCCGAUAUGGGUAUCUAGAUCCCUCUAUUGGUUAUUGGCCGGAGAGGCAUCUCUGUCAUGUCUGCAUGGUUCCCGAACCCGUAGGGUCUACACACUUAAGGUUCGGUCGCGCUAGAGUUGUAAUGGGAAUUGUAUGUGGUUACUAAAAGUUGUUCGGAGUCUCGGAUGAGAUCCCGGACGCCACGAGGAGUUCCAGAAUGGUCCGGAGGUAAAGAUUUAUACAUGGGAAGUCCUAUUUUGGCCACUGGAAAAUGUUGGGAUUUUUCGGUAUUUUACCAGGAAGGUUCUAGAAGGUUUCGGAGUGGGGCCCACCUGCAUGAGGGGACCCACAUGAACGUGGGUAGUGAGGCAAGGCCCCACACCCCUCGUUAAGGCGCACCAAGAUCCCCCCUUAGAAGGAAUAAGAUUAUAUCCCAAAGGGAUAAAACCAAGAUCCCUAAAAAGGGGGAUAACAAUCGGUGGGGAAGGGAAAGGAUGGGAUUUCUUUACUCCCACCUUUGCCAACGCCCCAAUGGACUUGGAGGGCAAGAAACCAGCCCCUCCAUCCCUAUAUAUAGUGGGGAGGCGCAUGGGAGUUGGACGCCUUGCCCCUGGCGCAACCCUCCCCCUCCAACUCCUCCUCCUCCGUUGAGCAUAGCGAAGCUCUGCCGGAGAACCACGAGCUCGACCACCAUGUCGUCGUGCUGCCGAAGUUCUCCCUCAACUUCUUCUCUCCCCUUGUUGGAUCAAGAAUGAGGAGACGUCCCCGGGUUGUACGUGUGUUGAACGCGAAGGCGUCGCCCGUUCGGCGCUUGGAUAGGAUCUUCCGUGAUUUGAAUCGCCGCGAGUACGACUCCAUCAACCGCAUUCUUGUAAUGCUUCCGCUUAGCAAUCUUCAAGGGUAUGAAGAUGCACUCCCUCUCUCUCAUUGCUAGCAUCUCCUAGAUUGAUCUUUGUGACACAUAGGAAAAUUUUGAAUUAUUACUACGUUCCCCAACAAAUCUUGAAGCUGACAUUAAGGAGACAUAUAGGUCUGUAUUGUUGGAUUCGCUCAGCCUCCUUAAUUUUUGGCAAUAAAACAAUCUCGUCAAAGUUAAGUCGAAAUAGAUCAAGUUGGCCGGCAUGAAGACAAUUUAACAACUCCAAUAGAUCAGUCUUGAUGAUAUCCCAGAAAUUCUGAUAGGAUUCAGCAGGGAAGCCAUCAGGGCCUGGAGCUUUGUUAUGUUCCAUUUGAAACACCGCCGCUCUCACCUCCUCCUUAGAGAAAUGUGACAUGAGGAUAUCGUUCUCUUCUGUUGUGACUUGUGGAAUAUCAUCUGUUUGUGUCUUGUCAAGGGUGAAGUUCCCUUCAUCAGGUACCCCAAACAAAGAUUUGUACUAUUUGGAGAUAUAACUUUUGAGCUCUGCCUGAUCUUCGAUCCGCCCCUCAUCUUGUUGGAGAAUGAAUAUACACUUCUUCCUAUGCCGACCAUUGGCGACAAGUUUGAAGUAUCAUGUAUUACUGUCUCCCUUCAAGAUGAAGUCGGCUUUGGAUCUUUGGUAAUAUUUGUUUUCCUCUUCUCGCGAAAGACGAGCAAUCUUCUCAUUGGAUUGAUUUUUCAAUUCAACUCUUGUUACAAGAUGCGAGUUUCUGCGAGAUUCUGAUGUCCAAUCUUAGAAAUCAAAUGAAAAUGGAGGCACUUGUAAUACAUAUGUACAAGUUUUUGUUUGGAGUUACAUAGAUUGAAACUUACUUUGAGUUGAAUGUAUUAGUGAAUUCAGUUGUAUGAACCGAUCAAAAUAGGAAUAUAUUGUAUUUAUUCAUUAUAGUUGAUAAGUAUGAAAUGUUCCGUGUGAGAAUAGAUAAACAAUGUAGCAAAAAUAAUGUAUUAAUUAUAGUACCGGGCAUUGAUUAUAUAAUUGUAAGUUCUGGGAUGUACUUGAACAUAAAGAGCCCUAUGUUAUCUUCAAAAUUGUCUUGUAUUAUAUAUAUUUGAUAUAUAAGUUUUAAAUGUUAUUUAAUAUGAUAAGUUUAGUUUUGGGGUUUUAUUUAUUGAUAAAGUUUGAUUUGAGUGAUAUAGACAUAUUUGUUUGCUUUAUUCACUAAGUUUUGUUUGAGCCAUAGAAAGAUGACUUCUAGAUCAAGUUAUCCAGCAACUAUGUCAUCAAAAUAUACUAAAUAAUGAAGAUAUUAUUUCACCAAAGAAGAUGAUUCAUGCCUGAAAAUGAGGAUGAAAACCACUUGUGAGUCCAGCUCAGUCUGCAAGGUCAUUCUGGCACCUAAGUUGGAUUAUCUGCCGACCCCCACUGACUUCAGCAAGCACAUGACAAUAGUACUACAUGAAAUCGUUCUUCGGAUAAGCACCGACUGCAACUAGAGGGUCACAGUCCGGGUGGUCAAUAGUAGGCCCGCCCUUGCUUCUUCGUACCUCACCAGUUUCAUGUCGAGUACCUCGUCAUCUUCAAGGUGUUCACUCCUGACAAAUUCAAGGUCAACAUCUUCAACCUCUCUGGCACUGAGGUGGUGACCAAGUGUAAGGAGCACGAUGAAGCAUUUGCAUAGAAGCAUUAGUGUGUUUUCUUUAGUAGUGUAUGUUGGUAUAAGACUCUAUGUGGUUAAUCCUUAGGGGCAUGUUUCUUUUAAGAGUGUUGUUAUGCGGUCGUUAAUGUACUGACUAAUGCUUGUUCAAAUUGCUAUGUUGUGUCUAUGAAUAUGUGUGUUGGUAACCUCACCACUCGAAAAAGCGAUGUCUGCUAUGUAACCAAAAACAGUUAUUUGCAUCUGGUUAGCACAGGCUUGCAACCAAACACAUGUUUGUCUCUGUGCUUCUGCUCAGCCAGGCUGGGGGUGGAGGAAUGCAUGCAACUAAACUAUGCGCAGAACAUGGUUUUCUGUUUAUAUUCACUCAGUCUGUCCCAUCAGACAAUAGAUGCGAGGAUGCCAAAAUUCAUGCAGGUAACCAAACAGAGAAUAAAUGUAUGAAGUAGCAGUACUGUUAUCAAGGCAGAAGAAGAUGAACAAGAGCAAUGAAGCAAAUGUACCGAGGAUUAAGAAGACAAACAAGAGAGGUCAAAUGUACCACAAGGUCAGGUGGAAGAACGAAGAAGAAUAGAAACAGGAAGGGGAGAUCGAAAGAACAUACAAGAAGUAGAUGUAUGAAUUAGCGGUACAAGAUAGAUAUGUAUAUCAUCUUGUACUUAUAGGAUUUUGCAGCCAGAUUCAGUCUGUAUUUAGUUCUCCAAUCGCGGACAAGGAGGUGCGCAUGUGGGCCAUUGUGUGUCCUGUGAUUUUCUCUUAUUUGGUAAAGUGAGAACGGGGCAUCGCUCCGUUGCCUGGCCGCUUAAGUUGGUAGCCAGUCAGCCCACGUUUGAGCCUCGACUGUAGUGCAUGGUGCUUGUGAAGUUUUCUUCUAUAAAAAAAAAGCCAACAAGGGUUAACCCUGGAUUGAUCUCAUUUUCUUUUAUUUCGUGGAGUGUUUGACGUGUGUGUAGAGAGAGAUUGGCAUGACAAAAGUGACCUUCUAAGCUUAAGCUCAUACGAUCUCGCUAUGGACUACUCCCUCCGUUCCUAAAUAGUUGUCUUUCUAGAGAUUUCAACAAGUGACUACAUACAGAGCAAAAUGAGCGAAUCUACACUCUAAAAUAUGUCUAUAUACAUUCGUAUGUAGUAGUCUAUUUGGAAUCUCUAAAAAGACAAGUAUUUAGGAACGGGGGGAGUAGUAAAAUCUGAAAAAUUGAAUCAAAUUCAAAAAAUUCUGAUUUUUUGUGGCAAAUAUUGACAACAUUGAAAACAUUUGUCAAUAUUUGCUAAAAAAUCAGAUUUUUUUAAAGAUUUAUCCGAGCUUACUUGAGCUCGAGCUCAGAUACUCCAUGUCCAGGGGCGAAAGUGCCCGAUUAAGCUAGUUGUUAUGGCUUAGAUGCUUUGAAACUGAUGGAGCAUGGCAGCACAUGUGGAUCCAGUAGGCGUUACUGACGCUGCAUUCAUUUAUCUAUGCCCAUCUUAGCUAGUAGCUGAGGUGGUUAAUAGUUACGCAGCAUGUUGUCGCCGCCUGCUCUGACUCCGUCACUCGCUCUCUACAGAUGGGCAUGGCAUGGUGAAACAGUCCCAGGCAUUCAAACCUCAGCGUGUCCGUCCUGCCCGCCCAUACAUUCUCUCCGUCCAUUUCACCUCUUUUCUCGUCUUGUACUCAACUUGUGUACCACUCAUGUUCAAAAAGAAGAAGAAAAAUGUGUACCACUCCAAAUAAGAGAACUAUGACCCAUGCCCAUGUGCCACCGGCCAGGAAAUGAAGCAAAUGCAUGCAUGCAGCAAGACGGAGCCCACAUUAACUGCAUGCGUUCUUGCACAAAAUAAAUCGUCUACUUUCCUAGUCUUGUUCCCCUCAAAACUUAGUUGUUGUUUCUCUUCAAAUACAGUAUGACAUAACCUAGGAGGAUCCUAGAUCGAGAUAGCCGACCAAGCAUUUGGCAGCGGAACAUCAAGUUUCUGCACAUCUUUUUCUCCAAGAAUCAGCACGGAAUAUACUACUCCGGCAGCAGGUCGCAGAAUCUCGCCCGACCUUAAAAAAACAUUUUUACUCGUCCCAUCUUCCUCACAUGGAGGCGCUAGGUCGGUCUGAUCGACGUAACCACAAGAUUAAUUUACCCAGCGACGGACAAAAAUUAGCGAACGUAUACAGGGGAAGGCAUCGUUGGCGUCCAGGCCUCGGGCCUCGUCUCCUCCGACGCCUUUCGUCCUCUCGCCCUAGCACAGGAGAAGUGCGUUUUUUUCUUUUUGAAACCAACCACUUUGGAUUGUUGUUCACAAGGAGUAGUGACAAAUCGGAUGUGGUAGCGGCGAGAAAACAUGAUGGGACAGAAAAAGAGUGUAACUAUCCACAAUUUUAAAACGCUACAAGUCUCCAUAUAGUAGCUCACAAACUGUAUAAGUAAAUCAACCGAUUCGCUGUGCUCAACUUUUGCACCACUGCUUUUUGUACGGCGGUUGCAAUGUGUUAGCGGGCACGAAACUGUGAAUAAUUCUCUCUAUCCCUUGAAGAAGGGCCUCAAAUAAGUUUCGUCCAGUACCCAGCAUACAUUUUUUAUUAAGGUUCUCGGUGUGCUUAAAAAGUUAAACCUCUUAUUUUCUGAACCCUCCAGAGACUAUGCGUGCUGAGCAUAUAGUAUAAAACUACCGACUACCUGGUUUAUUUUUUCAUGGAUAACUACCGCAUUUUUUUAAAAUAACCCAAAGGACCGGCUGAUUAAUUUUUUAUCCCGUUUUAUGAUAUCUCUGGUCCUCCCAUUUGGCCACGUGGCAGCAACUAUUGACCCCACUUGAUUGAACCGUUAAGUCUGACGAGGGCCCACCCUCCAAAUUCUUCUUCUCCCUUCUCUUUCUUCACUCGUCCAGUGCCACCUCACCCUGCAGUAUACCUGGUCAUGGAAAACCCUGCCCAGUCGGACUAACCCGACCCAGCCCGACCCAACCCGGCACGGUCUUGGCCACGGGCCAAGCAUGCACCUAAGUUUUGAGCCUGAAGGCCAAGGCGGGCCGAGCUUGGGCUUUGCAUAUGUGCGUUUUAAGGAAGAGUCCCCGUCGAGGCUCAACGGACUUUUCCACUGAUGGGUCGGUUUGAGCUUGAAAUCUAGGCUCGAAUGCCGGAUUGGGCUUGGGCCUGGGUUUUCUGCUGGGGGCUUUUUUAGGCCCGCCACGACUUAUGGCCAGGUAUACCCUGGAGCACUCCCUUUCUCCCUACCACGCACAGCCGUCGUGAGUAACGACAACACGAACAUGACCUCUAGGAUGUCGCCGAGCGCGGCCCGUUGCUCAGCGCUCCUGGGAUGCCAUGUCUUCUACCUGAUGACCUCAAUCAUGUCGCCUCGCCAACGGAUCUCCUCCCCUAGGGGAAAUAUCAGGUGCUCCCAUCCUUGGGGUGCUCCCCAUGCUCCAACUUAAAAAAAUUGUUCAGAAACCAAAUAAUCAUUAGAGAACAGCAAAUGAGACAUCCUCCUCCUGAUCACGGGCUCUUCUUCUACCAAAACCCCUUCGAAAGGGUGCAACACCGCUUCCUCUCACAGAUCCCCUACAAGAGCCACAGGCACCUCCUAGAUUUCUCCACUCAUCGGCAAGGAUGAACUCACCCAAUUUUAAUUUGGAAGCAUCAUAUUCUCCCAUUCCACACUCCUCACACCAUUACCCCAAAAUUCCAUAGUUAUUACAAAAGUUCGGCAAUUUUCCAUACUUUACUUGGUACCAAUCAUUCUUUCCCGCCUUCGUGAUCGAUACAGAUCUUUCUAGUUUUUUACAUCAAGAUUCACUUACACUCCAACAAAAACACCAACAUACCCUGCUCACAACUGAAUUUGAACCUCAAGAAUCUUUCCCAUCUUUGCACACAUACCUUUGAUCACCACAUCAUUUAAAUAGUUCUCCGACAACUUCAAGACUCUCGCCCACACUGCUAUCAUAUCCAAGGCAACCCAUUUAGGGUUUAUGAAUCAAUCGUAUUCCACCAAGAUAAGAGCUUGAUUUGUAAAUUGCCACAGUCCAUUGAACAUUGAUGUGUUCCAGUCGCCAAGACACCCAAACUGCAUCAUAAAAAGUUUUCUUCGAUCAAUCUCCGACGAACCUCCUUUGCCGGAUUCCAAGUCCAUCUCAUAUCCACAUAUAGCUUCGACGGACUAGAGCCUUUCUCCGUAUGGACCGUGUCUAUUGCUAGCCACUUUGAUUGAACAUCCGGCAGAUCCGACUCCUCUUCCCGUACGAAAUCAUCCCCGUCACCUUCAUGGAGAUCGAGGCUAUUGAGCAGCGCCUCCACAUCCUUACUAUCCUUCCUCUUCCUCCUUGAACCGCUAUCUUCUGUCGCCAUCCUACCUUCUGCAGACUUGCGAACCCUAAACCUUUUGUGUAACCCCUAACGAACCAAAGUCGGGAAGGAACGCUAGGUUGCGUUUAGAUCAACACGAGUUGGUGUAGGGAUUCCGCGGUGUGGAGGGUAGAUUGGUCGGAAGCAAAGAAACUCUUAACCUUCGCGCCGCUAGAGGGCUCCUAAACCCUAGCUCUUGGCUUAGGGGAAAACCCAUUUUUCGUAUGGAUCGUUUUUGGUACUCUUGCGUGAAAACAAGUAGUUUUAUGCUAUAUACUCAUUUGCGCUGCUACAAAUUUGAUGAGGCCCAACCGUGAUUCACACUCCUUCUUACGGGGUUCAGCAGUUACGAGUCAAUCAGGCCGAAAAACUAUGGAUUUUGAUAAAUAACGAACGUGCCCUGGGAGGACAUGUCAAACAAAUGUAUUUUAUGACAUUUUGAGUUGUCAUGAGGACAACAUUUUUGUAGGAAGCAUGACAAAUUCGUCUAGCCCAAUUUCUCUCAGAAUUUACCGUGCUUACUAAAAAAAAUGCCAUCCUCACAACAACCUGCCAUAAAACGCGUGUCUAGUCAUGCCCUUCGAGAAAAACUUCAGCACAAUAACAUUUCCCAUAACAUACAUGCACGGGGGCAUUCCGUAUGCAGCUGGUACAAGAGUCGUACACAACAAAAACAGAGACGAAGGAAUUAGGUAUAAUGCCGCGAUGGAUACCAUUUGGGAAAACAAGGUGCACCUUUCUUCGCCUCUCGGCCGCGGCCCGCGACGGGACGGAGAUUCCCAUGCUCCAUCGUCGACGGCCGCGAUUUUUCCUCGGCCGCUUCUCGUGACUGACCGGGACUCUUCACUGCAGCCCGUUCCUAUGUUUACCCCUAUUUCCCGGAACUACCCUCUCAGCCGCGCACGGUGUAUCCGUGCAUGCAAUUUGCUCCCGCAACCGGACCACCUGUCGCCUCUUGAUGGUGUCCCGCCCGCAUUGAUCACAGAAUGACACGAGGGUAGGACGGUCAUUUCACCUAGUACUCAUAGUUAGGAAUUAAUUAAUAGGUUAAUUAAUUGUUAAUCUAUGCUAAUGUCGGUGGCCAUGUUUGGCAACCGUCUCCUUUGUAACCGCCUUGUAACGAGGGUAUAAAUACCCCAAUGUUCAAUCAAUGAAAGAACUGUUCCACCAUUUGCUCCUCUCUCUCGUUUCUCUCUAAACACGUUAUCACGCACGCCUCUUCCAGAGAGCAAUUAGGCCAAGAACUCGACGGCACCACCGUCCCUGACCAUCGGCCUGAUACACGGCUGUGGCGGCGACUCCCUCCGGCCCCAAGGACACAAGGACCCUCGGCCUCGACAGCGCUCCAGCGGCGCAGCACCAGCGCGCGAUGCAGGCGGCUGAGGCACCCCAUGGUUGACGACGCCCUCCUCUGUAGGCGCUUCGAAGCGGCGCCCUCCGGCGCUUCAAUCCGCCACAUGACUGCCGACGACAGCGGCGGCAAACGGCAAGGCCUCUCUAUGGCCAGAGGAGGCCACUCCGGCGAUCUGCAAUUGCCGCAGAUGAUGACUAGACAAGUCUGGAGAAGUUGGCUACUAGAGUUUCGGCCACCACGCGAUUCACGGUGGAGACGAGAUGUUCCUCGUACAAAAAGGAAAGAAACUAAUCAGGAGAUUGAUUGAUUGAUCUUGUCUUCUUGCAAUCAUCAAUUAAUAAUCUAACAAUGAAUUGUUUUUCUCCUGUAUGUAUAUGCGCUCACACGAAUCUCACGAAGAAUUGAUCAAUCGUGAACUACAAAGAAAGAAGAACUGAUGGAAGAACGCAGCGCCAGCCUCCAUCGAUUCAACAAUUGGAAGCCUCGAACACACUCUGCCAAAGGACAGAAAAUCAAUCAAUUGAGCGGAUUUAUCAUACUCCAAGCAGGAACAUCAGAACUUGAAAUUGGGCACAAUUUUCAAUUACACAAGGAAGACACACAGAAAAGGAUAUGGGCGUUGGCAUCCAGGAUCACUCGAUCGAAAAUCCAUACCAAUAACUGUAAGCAUCCAUGUGAUUUCUUCAAUUUGUGAUGUUCUUGCCUCUUAAAUGAGAUCGGCCGCGGAUCAGCGGACUCGAUUCCGGACGGAGGAAGGUCUAAGCGGCGGCCGCCUGUCCACUCUCCUCCUCCCUUUUCCCCCUGGAUGCGGAUGGUUGAGGCUACACCGCGGCCUCCAUCGGCACGGCCGUCUACAGCGGCGACGACCACAUCCCGGCAGCAACGCUCCUCCCUCCGGAGGAGCACCACGGCCCGCCACGCAGCCCGGCAACAGAGACGGCCAACGUGCAUGCGGAGCGCAGUUCUCUCCGCCACACCUUGGCACGGCGGCGGCCUUCGGCUCCGACGCCGCUUCUCCUGAUGCGGCGCGAUGGCGCGGCGGCCGGCGGUGGCGGCGGCCAACAUCCGUCCCACGGCGUGGAGAUGCUGCCCAGGCGCGGACGACCUUAGAUUGGCGACGCCAUCUUACCUCCUAAUUCCUCACGAGGAGAUGUGCUAUGACUCUGUACAGCCAAAGCUAACUCAAUCGAUGGAUUCUUGGCCGUAGCGAGAAUCACCGGAGAACCUUAUCUCUUCGGCCAUUUAACAAUUUGCAUUUUUUUUCUAUUGCCAAAUAAGGACAUCAGCUUUAGUACUACUUGCAUAGAAGCCCUCAGGCUAAUUGUGAUCGUAUCACUCAGACCCUCUGGUCUUGUCAUAUUGUGCAUCAUAUUUUAAAAAAUGAAUUCCACAUGUAUUAUGAGCAUAGUAGUAUUGUUCAAGUGUUCAUACCUUGAAUUUCCAUUAUAUAUUAGAGACGACAUUGUGCCAUAUUAUACAUGUUUGCCUCAACAUUCAUUGUAAAUAUUAAUUUUAGAACAACAUUUUUCUGUCUUUUGCAAUUGGAAUUAAUUUUUCUUGCAAAUCUUAACAAAAUCCAAAAUAAGGAUUUUGAAGUGUCAUACUUAAUAUGACCACAUCAUAUUUUAUUUGUGAAUCACAAGGUAUUGAUGGCAUCUACUGCAUAAUUUGCAGAUUAUCUAUCACUACUGUGAGGUCUACAUCUUGUUAUUUUGAUAAGAUGACUACCUUCAAGUGUUCUUCCAAAUAUUAAUGUGACUAUUCCAAAUUUAAUUUGUGAAUCACAAGGUAUUGGUGGUAUCUACUGCACCAUUUGCAGAUUAUCAACCACUAUUGUGAGGUCUACAUCUUGUCAUUUUAACAAGAUUAUUACCUUCAAAGUGUUGUUCCAAAUAUUAAUAUUAUAUGUGACUACCUCAAGAUAUCAUAAGGUAAUACUGGCAUCUACUGCAAAUUUUGCAGACUAUCCAUUAUUACUGCAAGGUCUACAUCAUGUCACUUUGACAGAUGAUUACCUUCAAAGUGAUUUCACACAUUUUACAUAACAUAAGGUAAUAGAAUUAUGAACAUCUACUGACAAAAGUCAGACUAUGUUUCCUAUUACUGCGAGAUCUACACCGCAUCCGGUGAUUAUCUUCAAAGUGUUAUCCUAUAUAAAUUGAGGUCUACACAUAUGAGUGUAGAGCAUCAGCUAUCAUAAAAUUUGCUCCUCUGAAGCAAUUAUUGUUGUUCACUAAAAUUAUUUACUCUCCUAAUAAAAAAAUUAUAUUGAUCUUACAUGAUUAAAAUGGCAUUUUUUUUCUUCUAGUACCAAUUAUUUAAGCAUCAUUUUGCUUGAAUAAGUCGUGGAAAAUUACACAAAUAUUACUUUUUGUGAUGAUAUUGUCGUCCAUACAUAAAGGUGGAGACCAUAAUUUAUAGCAAAGAUCGAGUGUCUCAAACACUAUUACAAGAUCUACAUCACAUUUUUGGUUGGUAUUUUAUACUGACUAACCCCAUGUUCAAAAAAAUGUCAUGGCUAUUCUCUUGAUAGCUAAAUAUGUACAUAUUUCAUUUUACAUCUCGCAAACUUCACUCAGUUCUCAAACUAAGUACAUAAUGGAUGGAUAUUUAUUCAUCUCGAAUAUUUCCCUUAAGAGAAACAUGUUGUCAUGAGUACAUCACGAAUGAUCACCCAUUCGUUUUUCAAGACCUCAAGUCUAUCGCAUCUCACAAUUAUGUCAUGUAAUCAACUUCAAGUUGAGAUCCCAUGAUCAUAUAUUUUCAUAUGUAAUCCGGUUGAAAAUCCCUUAAUACCCUUUACAUCCUCAUAUGAUGGUAUUAUCAUUUUUCCACGAUGGAGAAACAUGGAAUUUCUUAAAAUCAUCAGAUUUACCCAACGGGUGCUAUACCAUUAUUUGAAAUUCUUGCUUGUACCGAGAAUACUAUGCAACUUAGUGGUCACAAAAUAGAACAAUGAGGAAUACGAAGUAAAGUGGAGGCUAAUAGACAACCAAAGACAAAAUUACCUCUUAAUAGGGAAUAUAUCGUCUUCAAAGGAUCACAAAGACAACUUUCAAGUUUGUCAAAUGUGUGGUUAUACAAAGAUUAUACCUAUGAUUACCAAACCCUCAAAUACAUAGUCAAACCACACCACAUAUUUGGGAUAAAUUUUAAAAUUUGCAAACUUACAACCAGAAAAUAUUUUGGUAAAUGAUCGUUCUCAAAUCUUCAUCAGAAGGUGAGAACCAAAAAUCUAGUGCAAUAAAAGGAUGGUGAAUUCCAUUGCGACGAUGAUAUGUUUGCGUAAUAAAUUUUUCAAUAAUAUUGGAGACCUCAUGUAAUCUUUUAAUUAUCCCAAAAUAUUAUUAACCUAUACUUGUUGUACUACAAGUAGUGCGAUGUUCAAUAUCUUAUUUCUUGGACAUCAUAUUCGAUAAAUUUUGAAUGUAUGAAUCAAGUCAUACUCAAUAUUGUUGCGUACACAAUAAUUUUAUAGAUAUUAAUAAAUUAAAUAUUUGGCUUGGUAGCCUUAACCAUCCUGUUUUGGGGAUGAUUAGAAAAUUAUUGACAAUCUUGUUGGUCAUAACUUAUCAAGUUAUAAAAUUUUCCCAAAUCAUCAGAUUUUAUGUGCACCGCAUGUGACAUAGGGGAAAUAAGUUUUAAGGCACUCUCACCUUAAAAUUCUAAGGAGGACACUUAUUCUCCCUUGAACACAUUCAAAAAAAAUGUCUGGAUUGCUUAACCAUUAUCUGGGGUAAUUUAGAUACUUCAUGGUACUCAUAUACACAUUCAUAAAAUGUUUUGAAGUGUGUCUCUUAUGACACACAACCAUGCAUGAUCUUACUAAAUAAAUUGCUCAACUUAUCAAAGUAAGAGCAAAUUCUCCUGAAACCAGGAUCUAUAAACCCAUUCAAAUGAACAAUGUUGUUGGACUCAUUCAAUGAGCAUUUUUUUGCAUUAAGUACUUUAUGUACAUACCCAGAAUGGUUUAGCUAAAUUUCUUAUCAAAGAGAGUUAAAUGAAUUACAUGACCACUUUUAAAGGAUUGUAAAUUUACCAACCUCUUGCCGGACACAUACGGCAUUACACACCGUAAGUAUGAUCUAAAUCAUACCAACUGCAUAUCAUACUACUUUCCCCUUGUAGUUACUACGUGGAAAUCAACAAAGUAUUUCCCAUCUACUAUAAUUCGGUUACAUACCGAUAUCACCACUCCAUCAUACAUCAAUGGGCACUCACAGAAAAUCGGGGAUCUAUGUGAGGAAUAAUAAUUUAUCCGUCAAUCAAAAUUAUUCAUAGUCCGUACGCUGAUUGCAUCAGCAAUAAGGAUAUUUUUUUCGGCAUUAGGGGGAGAUAAGUACCACAAAGAAUGCCGAGAAAUAAAUUAGAAAUGUUAUUGACAUUCAAUCCUUAUAUCCACGUACUCAAAGAAUCUGAACUAAAAGUUUAGAGAAUCAUAUAUUUGCAACACAUUGCAAAUCUGCCAUAUACAUUUACUGAUAACAAGGUGUUACUAAAUUCUAUAUUCCUGCAGUAAAGUGUCAGAAAGAGUGGAGGUACCUGAUAAACCACUCUUGUCCCCAAAUGAGAGCAAGAGGGGGAGAAAAUCUGACAAGACGAGAUAUAACUUCUCAUAUGCUUCCGCGGAAACAAAGGAAAUCAAAUUCUCAACCAGUAAAUGUAAUUCAACAUCAAGUUGAAGGACACCUCACUGGAUUCUCAUAAUCCAAAGCCCGGCAUAAAUGUGCACAAAUAUUUUGGUGCCGGGACAUCGAAACACCUUGACUCCAUUUGUUGUAGGAAAUCACAAGGAGUUAAAAAGGAAUGAAUAUAUUAUCCACAAACUUCAAUGAUUCCAUUAGAAUCAUAUAAACUAAAGACUACAUUUGUCGACAUGUAUUACUUCUCAAAUUGCUAAAACCUUUUGGGCCCUGAACCAAAAUCCAUGGUAGAGUGCCUCUUGCACUCAUAUUGGUUCACAUAAAAGGAAGCAAGUAACGAAGAAUAGUACUCGCUCUGCAAACGAGUAGUAUUUACUGCAGUAAUACCUACUCCUCAUAAGUAUCAUCCCUAUGGAAUACUAUAAACUACUCAUUCAUAGACAAAGUCAAUGAGGUGGUGAGAAAGCGAGGCUUGUAGCAAAAGGGUUCACGCAGAGACCCGACAUCCAUAACGAUGUAACAUACCCGCUUGGUAUGAGUGGUAUUACGUUUCGAUAUUAAAUAUCAUUGGCAAUAAAAAUAAUAAUAAUAUCCAUGCAGUUGAUGGAUGAAGUGGCUACAUACUCAUAUGAGUCACUCAUUUCGGAAAUCUCUAUUGAAGUCCCUGAAGGGCUUAUACUUCCGAAUCCAAAAGCAAAUCGCAACAAGUUUUGUGUAAAACUUCAUAAGUCACUCUAUGACUUGAAAUAGUCGAAAAUCAUAUGGUACUACCGACUAAAUGAGUUCCUUCUUCAAAAGGAUUACUCGAAUAAUGAUGAUUAUUUACAUGUUUAAUAAAGGAAUCCCAAAUUUGAUUUCCUUUCAUCACCUCAGUGUAUAUUGAUGACCUCAUCAUCAAUGUCUAUACAAGACCUAAACAUACACAUAAUCAUCUCAAGACGGGAAAUUUGGAUUCAACCAAAUUUAGCUUAAGCUUACAACUUGAGCAUUCUAUCAAGAAUACAUAUCAGUCUACAUAUAUCCAAGACAUAUACGAGAAGUUCAAUGUGGAUAUAUCAAACCAAUAAAAGACAUGUAAUAUGGUCAUAGUACCCCUGAUAGGGUACAAAUCCAUUCAUACCUAGGGGUGAUAAUGAAGUGAUAUCAGGACCUGAAGUUCUAUCUCACUAAUGUCAAAGCACUCAUAUAAUUGCAAAACUACGUCAGGCCUGACACUAAAUUUGCUAUCUUUGUUCAGAGUGCAACCCACAAUAAAAGGUAUAUGGACGAUAUAAGAAAUAUUAGCUUAUAUAUCAAGCUCACAAUAAAGCUUGGAUAUUUCCGUCAGGAAAUACAAGAUAUGACCAUGAUAUGAUAUAAUGAUAUUGGCUCUUUCUUUGAUCCCAACAAUGCCAUAUCAAUGACUGAAUUUGCGGGAAUAGCCUUCAUAUGGAAGUGAUCUAAAUGAGCAUUAAUGGCUAUUUCUAGUUAUCAUUUUGACAUAAUUGCUUUAUCUAAAAGAAUUGCAAAAUAUGCAUGGCUUAGCAAAAUGAUUAACCACAUUCAAAAUCAUGUGGUUGAGAUUCAUUAGAAUCACAUAACUUGAUUUAUCAAGACGCCACCACUUGUGUUACUCAAUACCUAAAGGUUAUAUGAAGAGCAAUAUCAUAAAGCACAUUGCUCGAAAAUUACUUAUCCUCAGAAAUUAUAGAAAGUGAGGAAACAAUUUGCAAACAACAUACUUUGAAAAUCCUAUAGAUUAUUAAUAAUGUCAUGAUAUAUCAAUGGAAUUUGUUUUACACAUUCUCCAGGUUUGCAAAGUUCAGGGGGAGUAAUUUCCCAAAUCUAUAACCUGUUAACAAUCAUGAGACUGCAUAUAUUGUACUCUUUUCCCUUCAUGAGUUUUUCCUAAUGGUUUCUCAUAAAAGGUUUUUAAUGAGACAAUAUAAACACAAGUGUCUAUAUAUGCCAUAUCAUUUUCUCCUUAUAUUUUUCCUACCGGGUUUUAAAGGAGUUUUCAAUGGCAUAUUAGAUCGCACUCUUUUCCAUUAUGAGUUUUCUCUCAAUGUUUCUCAUAAUGGUUUUUAACGAGGCAAUAUCUUCUCAAAGAUCAUAUAUCAUACUUUCCAUUUUCCCUACCGGGUUUUUUUUAAAGGAAGUACUCAAGAUAUAUUAAUUGUUCUCUAAACUUAUCGAUGAGUUUUCUCCUUCUUCAAAGGUUUUUCUCAUAUGAGUUAUCAAGAGACAAUAAUCAUUAUAUGUUGCAUCAUUUUCUCCUUAUUUUUCCCAUUGGGUUUAAAGGAGUUUCAGCAACGUAUCUACACUAUUUUCCUCAUAUUUUUCCCACAGGGUUUUUGGAGGAGUAUUUCUCAAGAUGAAGAUGAUGAACAUUCAAGGCAAAUACAUACUAGAAGGAGACUAUGAGGAUGAUGUAUAUUCACAAAGAGAAGCAUUGAUUAGGGGGAGUGUUAGGAAUUAAUUAAUAGGUUAAUUAAUUGUUAAUCUAUGCUAAUGUCGGUGGCCAUGUUUGGCAACCGUCUCCUUUGUAACCGCCUUGUAACGAGGGUAUAAAUACCCCAAUGUUCAAUCAAUGAAAGAACUGUUCCACCAUUUGCUCCUCUCUCUCGUUUCUCUCUAAACAGUGGCGUCCAAAGAGGCUGGUUUUUCUCUCGGUUUCGCCCACCUCGCUCGCGUGGCCGACCUGUCUCUCCUUGUUCCUCUACCCGUCUCCGGUAUUAAAGCCCCAUCGCCAUUCGCCCAACUCCUCCGUGCUCCCCUCCCUUGGGCGCACGGAUCCAUCGCCGAGGCCGAAUCAAAUACACCGCCACCAAGAGGCCAACCAACGCCAACCACCAUCCUGCGCGCUGGAUCCCUUUGCCUAGCAGCGCGUCUCCGGGACGACCGGUCCAUUCCAUCCAAGAGCGCAUGGUGCCGAGCAUUGCCGGGGCGGCGGCGGCGUCGUCGUCCGCGCACGCGCAUGCGCCGGCUGGGCGGCGGGCCAAGAGGGAGCCGGUCCACAUGCACGCCGGCAUCCGGCGGUCGCGCUCCGAGCCGCACCUCCGCUGCUCCCGCCGCGGCGGGGCCGCGGGCGCGUCGCUCACCACCAGCCGCUCCAUCGGCGUCUUCCCCUUCCAGUUCGGCGCCGCGCCGCUGCGCCCGCCGCCGCUCCCCGACAGCGUCGGCGGCGGCGACUACCGGCUCCUCACCGUGUGCGCCGGCGAGACCGACCCGGACCCGGACCCGGAAAUGCCGCAGGUCAGGACGCCCGAGGACCACUGGCUGGACCGGCUCCUGGAGCUGCGCUCCCGCUUCCACGACCCCACCAAGCGCUUCUUCACCGACAACGACAACCUCUUCGAGGAGCAGGACGACGACGACUACCACGAGGACGGCGGCUGCGGCGUGAACUACGAUGAGGAGCACACCGCGGCGGAGGCCGAUGACAAGUGGGACCGCGAGUCGUUCGUCAAGCUGCUGGCGCGGGCCCCUCCGGGCGAUGCCCGGCUGUUCGCGCAGCUGGCCUUCCUCUGCAACAUGGCCUACGUCAUCCCGGAGAUCAAGGUGAGCGCUACGGGAACGAUAGUCUGGACUUGGACGGCCCUGAUCCGCCGAUCUGGCUGCCGGAUUAGCUCAACUAAUAAAAACGCGGCCUUUAAUUGCUACGAUACGAUAGUCGCCGCGCGUACAGGCUGGGAGGUGCCCACUGGACUAGAGUAUUAAUUGCUUAAGGAAUUUAAUGUUUGCCAGAUUUAGGUAGGAAAAGCAAGCAGGCAAGCAGCACCCCGUGUCUUCAAUUUCCAUCGCCGAUUAUCUUGGUGGCCGAUCUGUCCAGCCACGUAGGAGUAGUAGGAGUAGUAGUCAUCAACUUGCGCUUCAUUCCUUUUUCAUUGACAAAUUCCUGUUCUAAUUAGUGGCCUUUUUCGUUAUCCCAAAAUACAGAAAUCAGUCGUGAUCAACAUGUAGGGGUAGUUUUCUGAAAUCAAGGGUGGCAUUUUCGAGGUAGUUGGCUGAAAAGUUUCGUGAGAGUAGCAAUUUCUGGGUGUGACUUGUGGAGCACUGUCAUAAUCUUCCACUUGCGGUCAACGAUCCAUGCAACAAUCUACACAAGUCUUAAUUUUGAUUUUCGUUGUUGCUGGAAUUACAGAGGGCUGAGCUGAGGAAACACUACGGACUCGAGCUGGUGACGUCGUCGGUACAGAAGAAGGCCGAGGCCAGCGCCGUGAGCGCUCAGGUGGACGGCGACUCCACACGGCCGCCGGGCGAUGCGCAGCAGUACGAGGUGGCUGCGGAGCCGCAGCCGCGACGGCCGGUCCGCCGCUCCAACCACCUGGCCUACGAGGUGGCCGCGUCGGCCGCGUCCUACGUCCAAGCGCGGGCCCGCGGCCUGCUCUCGCUCCGGGGGCAUCAACACCCACCGGCCGGGGAAGAAGACCGGCUGUACAACUCGGGCAUGGCGGCCUACGUUGCCGCUUCUACGGUCACGGCGGUGGUGGCCGCCGAGGACGAGGCGCGGCAAGAGGCCGCCCGUGACCUGCGGUCGCCGUUGUCCUCACCGUGCCAGUGGUUCGUCUGCGACGAGGCCGACAUGCGCACCCGCUGCUUCGUCAUCCAGGGCUCCGACUCGGUCGCGUCCUGGCAAGCCAACCUCCUCUUCGAGCCCACCACGUUCGAGGACACCGGCGUUCUCGUGCACCGCGGCAUCUAUGAGGCGGCCAAGGGCAUCUACGAGCAGCUGAUGCCGGAGAUCGUGGAUCACCUGAGGGCGCAGAAGGAGGGCGCUCGCCUGCGGUUCACGGGGCACUCGCUCGGCGGCAGUCUGGCGCUGCUUGUGAGUCUGAUGCUGGUGGCGCGCGGGGUGGUCGGCCCGGAGUCGCUGCUCCCCGUGGUCACCUUCGGCGCGCCGUCGGUGUUCUGCGGCGGACAGCGCGUGCUGGAGGCGCUCGGCGUCGGCGAGGGCCAUGUCCGCGCCGUGGCGAUGCACCGGGACAUCGUGCCGAGGGCAUUCUCGUGCCGGUACCCCGGCCACGCCGUCGCCGUGCUCAAGCGCCUCAACGGCGCGCUGCGCACGCACCCCUGCCUCAACAGCCAGAAGGUGCUGUACACGCCGAUGGGCACGACGUACAUCCUGCAGCCGGACGGCAAGGCGUCGCCGCACCACCCGUUCCUGCCGGAGGGCGCGGCGCUGUUCCGGGUGGCCAGCCCGGAGGAGCGCGCGGAGCCGUCGGGGUCGGGGAGGGCCGUGGUGGCCAGCGCCCUGCGCGCGUUCCUCAACUCGCCGCACCCGCUGGAGACGCUGAGCGACCUGUCGGCCUACGGGUCCGAGGGCGCCAUCCUCCGGGACCACGAGUCCGGCAACUACUUCCGGGCGCUCUACGCCCUCACCAAGGUGGCGCCGCGCCGCCGGAAGCAGCCGGAGAUCGUGUGGAGGCUUCCCGGCGUGGAGCGGCUGCAACAGUACUGGUGGCCGGGGGUCGCCGGCACCGUGGUCCCGAGGCCGGUGGCCGUCCACAGCAAGGAGCUGGUAUCCGAAGCCUGAAUCACUGCGAUUCAAGCAGGUCUACAUUCUUUUCUUUGGGUUCUUUGAUGUGUGGAGCGAAUGCAUCAAUGGCACGUACAUACGAGAGUACAGAAAACCAGUCGACUUUCUUGGUGUAGGUUUAGUGUAGUAGAGUACGUACACAUUGCAAGCGUAUGCGUAUAGUAUAGUAGGAGCAUUGAUGUGGUUUGUUGUCCUGGCUGGUGGCCUGCAAAGUUGUGCAGGCCGCUGAAUAAUGCAAUGGUGAUUUGUCAAAGGAUCAUGUGAUUGUGAUCCGAUGAACUACACCUGUAAAUUCGUUGUUAUAAAGGAAAUGAAAUUUGAAAUGUUGUUCUAAAGGAAAAUCCCAACGAAAAUGACGUUUCUCUUGCUCUGCUACUCACUGCAUCCAAUGCACCUCUGUAUUGUAUAGGUCACUUCCCAAUUCCUUCGCCAUUUGGCCAUACACUCCAAAUGGAUUCCUUCUAAAGGCUCCAUACACUUCACUUUUCUAUAUCUAGUCAGUAGUACUCGUAAAAUACUUCCUCUGUCUGCGCAAAUAUAACGGCUCAUUUGAUUCAGAAGGUUUUCAUAGCAAUUUUGGAGGAUUAAAACCCUUAGGAAUUUUUUCUUUGUUGGUUGUUUGAUUCAAUGUGAACCUAUAUGAAUUUUUUCAAGGAUUUUUUGUACUAUUUCCUAUAUGAUUUCUAGCAUUUUUAGAAUCGUUUUGAAAGAAUCCUUUGUUUUUCUAUGAUGCAAUCAAGCAACCCAAAAUCAUGUAGGAUUGAAAUGAGCAUGACAUUUUAAUCCUAUGUUUUUCAUAUUCCCGCAUUUUUAGAAUCCUGAGAAUCAAAGAGGCCCUAAGAUGUUUUGAGUAUCUUAGUAUAGACUAGAUACAGACUGAAGUGAAUGACAAACACACUAAAACGUGUAUAUGUACAUCUGAUUUUUAAGAAAAAAACAUCUUAUAUUUGUGAACGGAGGGAGUACUCACACAUGAUGCGAAAGAACAACAAACUGAGAUAUACUAGUAACAUUGGAAUAAAACAAGAGUCUUACAACUUGCGCAAGAUGAUAAAUUGUUUCUUCUCUCUCCCGAUCAUUCAAAGGCGGUGGCGGGGGUGGUGCAUCAAGGUGACCGGCAUCGGAGGUGAUGAUGGACGACGCUCGUUGUCGGCUGCUGGUCGAAUCAGCACUGUCGUACGGUGAGUCAUCCCCACCCCCCCUGAUUAUGUCGCCCCUCUCCCACCCAUGUUUUGGGUAGGGUUAAUCGAAGACAUGAUCAUGCAUUCAAGGCUUUGUUUUGCAUCUUUAAUCCACGUUAUGACGGAGAUAUUUGUAUGGCUUGACAACAUUUACCCCCUGCACCAUGAAUCACGUUAGGGUUAUUUAGGGGUUUUGAAGGAGGCAACUUUGCCGAGCAAAAUCGUUGAUCAAUGACACGAGGGCAGCUAAUUUACCAACAUUAGUGCUCAAAUUUAUUCAGUAAUCCCAAGGGGGCAUGUUUUUUUUUUCAAAAUUGUAAUGUGCUGCAACUGAAAAUUUCGUAAUGUUGGUUGGCUGAAUUUUAGUACAGUAGUACAAUUUGUUUACUGAAUUUUUUGUGACACAUGUAGUAGUAUUGCAGUUAAUGGAGAAUUGUGUGCACUGAAUUUUAUGCGGUUAGUUUUGUGACAGUAUCAGUACCGCAGUUAAGUGAAUUGCUGAAUUUGUUGAACUGUCGUGUAGUGUGUUGGUUAACUGAAUUUGUGAAAUACUGUGACACUUCUUGUACAAUUAUCUGAAUUAUUGUGGCACUGUAUUUCUGAGUUAUCUAAAUUUAUGAUCUGAAGUUGUGCUAUGUUUUCAAUGCAGGAUCAUUUGCCUAGAGUAAUUACUCCAACUAAGAUAAGCAAGGGAAAAGAAAACGUGUGUGCUGAUUAGAAAUACCUCAAAAUCCAUUAGAGAUGAGAUCAAGGACAACAAGGAGGUUUGUGUCAUUUAGUGAAGGUUUGAUUCUGAUGUUGCCACGGAAGAAACAUAGGAACAAGUGGAUGACAACAGCGACGAAGAGGGUAAGGGUGACAAUGCAGAAGUUGAAACACAUGAGAGUUUUACCGAAAAUGACUUUGAAGUAGCAGAUGGUGGUGAUUUGGUUGAGGCCAAUGUAGACUAACAUGUUGACGAUCUUAAGAUAAGGAGAUCUUACAUAACUUUGAAGAAUUUGCAUAACAUGUUGACUAUCACUUACACAUUGAUACGUCAAUUUUGCAUCACUAUUUCUUACUAUAAAUUGUUCAUCAUUACUUAUUUCUCUUAUUUUGUUUGUUGCAAUGGAGGUGGGGGAAUUGAUGAAAAACUACAAAAAAGUGCCGAAAAGAAGAGCAGCAAAGAAAAUAAUUUAAUGAACUAUAUCAUGUACAAACCCAUUCCGAGUCAAUCCACUUCUCACUUUAUAAACAUACUUUUGUUCUGUAACAUGGUCAUGUGUAUCCUCUGCAUUUUUUGGUGAAAACUUCACUACAAUCUUUUCGCCACUCUUAGAUGCUUCCUGGCUGAAUACAAACGACUAGUCAACUCACAGCAGGCAGGGUGGAAACCGUUUCCAUAGGCACUCAGCCUCACGCUACUGAAGCCUGCACCCCUUUUCUAUUGCCGAAUCACAGAGCUUUUUUGCUCACAUCCUUUUACAACACCAAUAUAUAUGAAACUGCCUUGGGGUAAAAACUAAAAAGACAGUACUGUAAUUGCAGUUUUGAACAGCGAGUUUCUGAAAAGAAAACCAAAACAGAACAUGCCAGACAUAAUAAUUGACCACAUCCGCGUAACAUGUUACGACGCAAUAGAAUGAGACAGUUAUAUGGACGGUUUCCUUUAAACAAUGGCGAGGCAUAGAAUUGAAAAGAAGAAAUAAUCUAGAAUCCAAAAUAUGCAAUGUCACAUCUGUAUUGCUUCCCUAUCUAAACCAAGCGUGAUGCACUUCUCAGCUCAGGGGCUUCAUGUUGGGUAAAAGGCAGGCGCUGGUGAGUCUCGCCGCGUCACAGAUAUGUCAAUAGCUCACAAUCAUGCAACACCCUCCGAUAAUCUCAUCUUUCAAUUUCCUGCAUGCCAGCCUAAUGGUGCCGAGAAGGAAAUGCACCCAAGUUUACCCCACUUCGCAAAAUGGUGAGUAAUGACUUUCCAAUUACUGUACACGGAUUUACAGUCGAAACUACCACCUUGAUGCAACAAAAGGUAAUAUGUCUAA
rnacentral:lncRNA from 1 species